rnacentral:lncRNA from 1 species
GCGGAACUUGAAUCUUUUGCUUCUGCGGGAGUCAAGGGUGAUAGGUAUGGGCCUGGCCUUGGUACUUGGCAAACUUCUGAAACUCCACCUUUGUCAACCUGGAAGAGAACAUGAAGACAUACUUUGUUAUUGCAAUAAUUCCUUCUAGCUAUGUGCCUGAUGGUGGAUUCCACUAUAUUAAGAGUUGAGUGAUAUGUAUUUGUUCCAAUAAAGUUUGACAUACUAUUGUCUCUAGGGUUAAGGCAAGUAAAGUUAUAAGAAGAAUGGAGUUUCUUCAGAGGUUGUAAUGAAUAAAUAUCUGGUCAUGUAAAAGCAGAAUAUAAUUUUCCUUGCAGUUGAAUGCAUUAAAGGUUAUAUAUUGUACUUUUGAAUGCUAUAGUGGUCCAUUUUUUAUGUGCUACUGCUACGAGAGUUAUAGAUUGUCGAACAGCAUUCAAUUCAGGACUUAUUAAACAUAAGCAUAUAAACAUUUUAUGCUCGGAAUAUUUACAUCAAAAGAAACUCCAAGGUCACAUCAUUGUAAAGUGUAAACUACAUCAUAUUAACAAAAAGCAAAAAAAAAAAAAAAAAGGUCUAAAUGAGGAAAAAAAUGUACUAUAGAAGUAGUCAACAAUGUCAUGUAAUCAUUUGAUCCUAAAAUUGAGAUUAAAAUUUAGUUGAUUUGUAUUUUGAGUUUCAUCUUUGAUGGGAAAUGUAUCUCAGAACUCAACUCCAAUAGUUGAUGUUUCCUACUUGGAGUACUCAGUCCACCUUGAUGCAUUGAUCUUUCCCCUGAACUUGUGCCCGUCAAACAAUAUUUCUGAUCAUCUUGAAGUAAUUAGUACCAUCUGUUCAUUACUCCCUUUUGAUUUCUUGCAUUAUAGUUUCCUCUUUAAUGGGAAAUGUAUGUCAAGAUCUACCUUCUACAAUUGAGAUUUCUUAGAGUACUCAGUCCACCUUACUAGAUUGUUCUUUUCCGUGAACUUUGUUCACUUCAAACAUUACUAUGAUCAUCUUGAAGUUAUUCGUAUUGUUGUCUUUUGUAGACGACACAUGCUUUACUAAUUACUGCACUUUGAAUUUCUGCAUUGCAGUUGCUUAAAUUUUGAAAUUCAUACAAUUUAGAAUAUGCCAAGGUUUCAAGUAGAGAAUUUGGAGCACAACAAGAAGUUGUAUGAGCGGGGUCAAUGCCAUUGCUUCAAGGAAGAGUUGUACUCCAUCACAGCAAGCGUUGGCCUGGGUCCAUACCAAGGCAAUGAUGUUUGUCCCAUAACUAGCACUACCAAGAUUGGAAACCUCAAUCAGAAUAUAGGAGCUUUGUCUGUAAAACUGUCAGCAGAAGAUAUGGCUGAACUUGAAUCUAUUGCAUCAGCUAGAGUCAAGGGUGAUAGAUAUGAUCCUGGCCGUAUCAAGGGCAGAGGUUAUGGGAUCUGAUUAUGGGCAACUGAUUAUGGAAUCUAUUCUAUCAUAAUUGCAAAGAUUAUGACUGAAAUUAUGGGAUCUGCUCUAUCAUGUAUAUUAGCUGUAUAUUAGCAUAUGUGUCAUUAAUAUAUCAGAUAGGUAGAUAUAUUCUUACAUAGAAUAGAAUGUACAGAGUUUCUAUUUAAUGGAAAAGAUGCACAAAAGACAGCAUUCAGUCUUUGAUCUAGAAAAUUGUCAUGGUAUCAGAGCUGGUUAUUUGAAUUUCUGUGUCUUUCAAAAUUUGCUGAGUUGUUAUUCUUCUUGGGUUGAUUAUUUUGAUCAAUCAUUUGGUUUCAAGAUAUCAUUUUGGGUCAAUCAUAUUGUGGUUGGCAGCCUUUCUUGUAAUUCAGAUCUUUGUUUUUUUGAAAGUAUGUCUGUGGCAAACUCUUUGGGAAAAACACAUACGGAAUCUUUGUCUAUCAAGUUCAUUGGGAAAAAUUAUGCAGCAUGGGAUUUAGAAUGUUUCUAAAGGCAAAGAGCUUUGGAGUCAUAUUGAUGGGUCUUCUACAGAACCUAGAGAUGGAAAAGAAUUUAGUCAAUGGGAGGCAAAGGAUGCUAGAAUUAUUUCUUGGAUUCUAGCAUCUAUUGAAGCUCAUAUGGUGAAUAAUUUACACUCCUUUAAUACAGCAAAGGAGAUGUAGGAUCAUUUGAAGCGUGUAUAUCAUCAAGAUAAUACAGCAAGAAGAUUUCAACUUGAAUUGGAAAUUAGUAACUACGGCCAAGAUAACCUCUCUAUUAAGCAGUAUUAUUCUGGAUUUUUUAAUUUAUGGAGCGAAUACUCUGGUAUAAUCUAUUCUAAGGUACCAAGCGAAGCCUUAGCUGGUAUUCAAGCAGUUCAUGAAGUUAGUAAGCGUGACCAGUUUCUAAUGAAACUAAAGCUUGAAUUUGAAGCGGUCAGAGCUGGAUUGUUAAAUAGAAAUCCAAUUCCUUCUUUAGAUGUAUGUCUUGGUGACUUGUUGCAAGAAGAACUGAGAAUGGCUACACAAACUAUCAUAGGUGCAUCGAAGGAGAUAUCCGAAGUUGUCAAUAUUGCCUAUGCUGCUCAAGGGAGGAAUCGCGAAAAGGGACAAGUACAGUGCUUAAAAGCAGUCUGUUUGCCAGACACAUGGUGAGCCACAUUUAAAAAUUGGUUUCUAUCAUAAAGCCUAUCAUGUCCGGACAGAAGAUGGACUGUUUUUUAAAUUUUUUAUGAAAGCAAGUGAAAAGUGUUGCAACUCAGGACUUGGAUGGUAAUUCUAAAAUUUAUUAGUGCACCUACCUUUUAACUUUUGGUGUGCUUUUAAGGUAUCAAAUGGGGGAAAAAAAACCAACACCAUAUAACUUCAAAUGCAAGAUGGUACGAAAUUUGUAUCCAUUGACAUGUAAAAAGUGCACCGUUCAUCACAAAGAUAUUUAUCCUAAUAUUUAGAUUCAUUUUUUCAAAAAUUUCAACUUUGCAUGCAAACAUGUAAUCAAUAUGCAUAAAUAGAUAGCAUUAGAUGAAUUUAAACAAGUAGCCUUCAAAUUUAAAAUAUAUUGAUUUCAUAAAGGUGCAUUCGCAAUUUAGAAAAGGACUUUUCAAAUGGCAAAUCUAGAGAGCAAUAAAUACUCCUACUUUAUUUUGAUUUCAAAUCUUAUUUUGACUUGUCAAAAAAGUGAAACACGAAACCAAUAAUGGUCGAUACAAGGCUAAUUACUCAGAAUAUCGAUGUAAAAAUAUUGGACAUAUAUGAUUUUGACAAUGGGCAUGUAUAAAACUAUUGCUGUAAGGUUGUGUCAGCCCGGCAGCAAAAGAGGGUUUUUUUUAAAGCCUGCCAUUGCCACCGAGCUGACACGGCUCGGCAGCAAUAGUUUAAUUUUUUUUAAACGCUGCCGGGCCUUGUCAGCCAGAUAGAACAAAAAAAAAAAAUUUUUUUUAAACACAGCCGGCAGCGGGCAACAUUUGCAAAAAACUUUAAAAAGCUGGCUGCCGGGCUACGACAGUUCAAAAGAUUUUGCUAUCCGCCUACAACACCAGGUGAUAAAGAUAAGGGCAAAGGCGUACCGGGCAUUGAUAUGAUCAUUUCCGGUGCAUGUUUUAAAAUUUCAAAUAUUUGAAUAUGGGGAUUUAGCGUUAUUUUAAUCUUUUAUUAUUAUAAUGCUUGUCGUUAUUUUUAAAUUUCACAAUUUCAGCAUGUCAUGUUGCAUUUUUCCUUCUUUUUUUUUUUGCCUAUUUUGUUUUUAUAUUGCACAAUAACUUUAUAUUUAUAAAAUUAUAUUGUACAUUAAAAAUUACAUAAUAAUUUUAACAAACAAUUUUCCGGUACAAUUUGAAAACUGCAUCUUAUUGUAAAAUGAAAGAGAUUUUUUGUUUAAAAAAACCUUUUUUUAGUUUUUUACCUAUCGGAGUAAUUAUUAAUUUUACAAAUCUGUUUUCAUCUUUUUCUUACGUUCCAACUUUGAAACGUAAUUUAAUUAACUUAAAAGACUGUCGGGUUUAGUAUGUCAGGUAUCACACUUGUUGUAAUUAAAAAAAAUUUUCUUCUUAUUUUUUCAUUUUUUUGUUUUUAUAUUGCAAAAUAAAUUUAUACAUUUUUUCGAUUUUUCUAUACAAUUUAUAACAAAAAAAAAUAAUAUCAAAUAUUAUACAUUGUAAUUUUAACAAUUAUUUUGCAACGGUUUAAAAAACCUUUUUUAGUUUAACAUCCUAUAUAUUUUACGAAAAUGAUUUGAAUAUUUUUUAAUCAUUUAAAGAAAAGAUAGAUUUCUACAAUUACUAUUUUUUAAAUUUUAAUCCUUAAGAUAAAGAUUUUUGCGGGAAAGAUGAAGAUUUAAAGAAACAAUAAAGAGGCAAAGAAAAUAAAAGAGAAAAAUAGGAGAGGUAAUUUUGUCCAAUGGAGGAUAUAAUGAGACAGAAAAAUUCCGAUGAGGAUAAAGUAAAAAAAGAGAUAUAUUUUAAGGACAUUAAUUGUGAUUAACCCUAUUUCUUAUGCUCAAUUUGUAACUGGUCCAAAGCAUCAAAAGUAGCGUCCGCCUCCCAGGUGAUGAAUUCAUGGUCUUGAAUGUCCAAUAACCUAAGAAGAGUAAAAAGAUCACUUUAAAGUUGCUCCACACCCUACAAAUGCUUCUGAUACUAACUUUCUCGUCAUAUUAACAAAUGCUCCGCACCUUAAUGCUUCAGCACCCGUAAAAAACGUGUUUUUGCAACUGGUCCAAGAGUUGAACCCUUCGCUCAGAGUUACUUCUGGAUGUUGAAAAAAAACAUUUCGAUCACUUGAAUCUAACCUCCGCGUCUAAUCAAGCCAGAAGGCCAGCUUUUUUUUCACUGACCCUUCACGUGAACCUUCUGAGAACUUAUCUCAAGGGAAACUUUUAGUGGUUCAGUAGAAUUUUUUUUAAUCCUCUUACAUGUUUCAUUCGUAUCUCUCUACUUCAUGUCCGUGCAUUGUUGAAUUCUGAAGUGCAGGUCUUCUUUCGCCCGUAUUGUUAACCUUCUUUUUCAUGUUCAUUGAAGCACAGCAUUCUUUUUUUUUGAAAUUUUUUUUAAAAUUGGACUAGCUGCUGGACUGAGCUUUUUAAAGUUUUUUGCAGAUGUGCGUCAGCCCGGCAGCCAGCGAAUUAAGAAAAAAAAAAUUUUUUUGAGGCCGGCAGCGUUUAAAAAAAAAAAACUAUUGCUACCGGGCAAGCUUUAAAAAAAAAAAAAAAACCCUAACAGCAAUAUUUUUAUACAUGCCCAUUGUCAGAACCAUAUAUGUCCAAUUUUUUUUUCAUCGAUAUUCUGAGUAAUUAGCUGAGAUAGAGAGGAGUAUUAGAAAUUUGUUUUCUAGAUUCUUUGGUCUCCCAAUUUUUUCAACGGUCAACUCCGAUCAUUAUUAUCACAGUCAUGUGAUUGUAGGUCUACCACGCUUCAUAGUCCACAACGUGGAUUGGCACCACAAAGGAUGGUUUCAAAACACCAUUUUAGUCUAGUAAGGAUUGUGUAUAUAACACAAGUCUUUUUAGGUUUUCCCUCCCCUGUAAUCUAAAAUAAAAUAAAUAGGUUAUACAAUUGUUAUAGUCUUCAGAAAAAAAGGAUAGGUCCCACCCUAUUAUUAUUAUUUUUCUUUUAUAAUCAACAACGCCUAUUCUACACCUAUUUCAACUUCUAUUCUAGGGGAACGGGAGUUCAACUGAAAAAUUAAUGGUGAUUGAACCACGAACGGACCAAAAACUUUCAAGAUAAAAUUUGAUCUAAAAAUAAAUAAUAAUAUAUUAACUUAUUAUUUAAUGCGAUACAUAUUCAAAUAUAUUAAAUUUAAUAAUUUAAUAAAUUUUAAAUUUUACAUUUUAAAUUUUAAUUUUCAACCUUCAAUGUUGCCGUACUUACAACAACAACUUCUAGAUGGUCAACACUUAGAGUCGUAGCCCUUGCUUUUGGCAUACCCUAGUCCCUAUUUCUGUUGUUAUCAAUGAGGAAGCAAAUGUCUGCUAUUAAUUACACGAGACAUCAGUAGGUUUGUUUGGAUUGGAGGUUAUUUGAAAUAUUUUUUGAGAUAAUUAAUGUAGUACUUUUUGUGAUGUAAUGUAUAUAAGAUAAAAUUGUGAUUGGAAAUUGUGUGGAUGCAAAACAAAAUUUUGAAAUUUUUUUUUGAAAACCUUAAUAUUAUUGGCUGCACUACAAAUCAGUCAAAACUCAAGAGAUGAUAUUAAUUGAAACAAGUGGGCAAAUUGAACGAGGAUGCGUAAUUGACAUGGAAGUCUUGGUAGACUUGGAGGUAGGCUUGUCAACGGAUUGGGUCUGGGUCGGAAUUCAUUAUUCUGGACCCGGAUCCGACAUACUAUAUUGGACUCGGAUUCGACCCAUUUAUUCGACGGGCCUUCUACUCUAUAUUCUGAAUCCGGAUCCGACGGGUCUCGGAUUCGGGUCGAGUCUACCCGAAAAAAUCUAUCAAAACUUACAAAUUCUAAUAAAAAUGAGAAAAAAAUAUAUUUGUAAACCAAUUUUUAACUAAUAAAAAAAAUCAAAUAAGAAAAAAAAUCAAAUUGACUUUACUCAAAUACAUCACCCUAAUCAAAUUAUAUUGAUAAAUAUAUAUAUAUUUAAAUUGUUAAUCCAUUUAUAUCCGAAUCCGGGUCUAAUACGGGUCGAAAUAUUAUAUUCCGUAUUCGACCCGUUUUUUGUUUGAUAAAACGGAUCCGGAUCCGGGGUCCGAGUAAUGGAAUUAAAUCCCUACUCGUACCCACAAUAAUUUGACGGAUUCGAUCCGGAUCCGGAUCUAGACUCGAACUGUUGACAGGCCUACUUGGAGGGAUCAACAUUUGAAUCUGACUUGGAUGAGGUAAGCACAAAGGUAAGCAUUUUCCAUUUUUAUUUUGGUUUUCAUUUCUUGUAUACUUUAAAACGUUUUUCAUUCUACCUCACUCACAUAUAAUAUAUAAUGAAAUGUAAAUUUUUUAUGAAAACAUAUAAAAUAUAUAAAAUGAAAAAUAAAUUUUUAUAAAAACAUAUGUUUAUAUUUUUCUUUGUAUAAUGAAAAUUUAUAAUUCAUUCUACCAAUAUAUACGCAUAUAUAUAUAUAUAUAUAUAUGUAUAAUGAAAAAUAAAUUUCUUCUUCAUCUUUAGGGCUGCACCUACAAACAACAAAACUCAGCUCCACUCAACUCUUUCCUUCAUGUUUUUUAUAAAAAACAUAUAUAUAUAUAUAUAUAUAUAUAUAUAUAUAUAUAUAUAUAUAUAUAUAUAUUAAGUUACACUAAUUGUUUUAUCUCUUAAUAAUUUUUAUUUUUUUUACUAAUAUUACCUCAUGAGAGGCAAAAAGGGUAUAAAUGGAACAAAAUUAUUAUCUCAUUUUCCAAAAGAAUUUUUUAAUGGUACUUUUUCUAACAUGGGUUGAAGCUACUAUCAAAAUCUAGUUUAGGGAAAGUUAGUGCUAUUUUUUAAAUUUUAGGGUAGAUGAGUACAACUGUUAGAAACCUCAAAAAGGGAUGGUUUCUGCAAUUAUCCCUAAAAGCAUAGACCAAGACUACACUAAACACUAAAAAUUUGACACCUAUUUCUUAUAACUAUACUAGAUAAUCUCAUAAUUAUAUAGAAAAAUAAAUCAAAAUUCAUUACACAAAAGCAUUUUUGGAUAUUUAUUUAAGAAUUUGAUCAAAUUAAUAUUAUUUUAAAGUUUUAUUACAAAAACUAUCAAAUUAAAGGAGGUAGGGGUAAUGUUUCAAACCUCACAGUGAAAUUGUUAGAAACCUCAAAGAGGUUCUUGAUAUUAUCCCUAAUUUUUUUGGGUACAAAAACCUCCAAAAAAGUGGCAGUUCAAACGGGGCCAACAUUCUCCUAUCAUCACAAGUCCUCCCGCUGACCCACUAGCCGCCGGCGGCCCUGGGUCAUCUAUUAAAGGCUUAAAGCAUAGACCAAGACUGCAGUAAUCCCUCAUAUACACAUGUUAACUAGAGGGGUCAAUCACAACCCAAUUAUAUUGAUCUGUUCAAACCCGUUCACUAAUAAUCCUUUCAAAUUCGCCCAUUAAAAUUUAAAUGGGUCUAAGUGAGUACCUAAUUAAACCCAUUUAAUUGAUGGAUAGUUGAUUGAUUCAACUCACCCAUUUAUACCCAUUUAAAAAUAAAUAUAUGACAGGGUGUCGAGCCUGUGCAAUAAUAAUUAUCUACUCAAGAAAAACACAAAUUCUGUAUAUAGCAGUGAGUAGAGUCGAAUCCACACGGACUGUAGAUAAUUCGUUUCUUUUAGAGUCCAAAGUAUGGGGGUUUUGGAGAAUAUAAAAUAACUAAUUAACUAACUAAUAAAACAACUAAUAGAAAUAAAUAGAAAUUAAUCAAUAACCAAUAUGACUCUAGCCAAAGGUGCAACUUUUCAGACACGGUCCAUUCAACUGAUCAUCGAUGCAAAGAUAAUUCAAUUACUCAUUACUAGAUUGGUUAUAAUUGUCAUACACGCGAUGAACAACCAGCCUUUUCUUAAUUUCUCGAUAGUUAAAGUACGACCGUUAACUAUUUCUCUAACCAAGUAAUAACCCUAGGUACGACCAUAGGAUUUAAUUACUCGAUUACAUUAAUAAUUAGAAAAACCCAACCCUAACCAACAAACACGCUACGAGGGUUUGUUUAAAUUAGAUCAUACGUUUCCCUAACAUGAAACCAAUCACGCUAGUCGCCACUGGUAUUAAUCAAUUGAACAAUUACGGAUUCAAUCAAUUAAUUUAGCAUUAGAUCAUUAAGUUAAUUUGAAUAUCGGGCCCUUGACAUUCAAAUAACAUAACAAACAUAAGCAAUUAAAUCAGGAAACGUAAAAAUACCAAUGAAUAAAAGAAAUAAAUAAAAUUAAUUCGAUCUCACAGAUAUUUGGAACCGCGCCUUCAAAUUGGCCUUCGACUAGAUGAAAGGUUUAGUUCAUCUACAUGGAGGAAACCCCAUGUGAAAUUGCAGAAGUAAUUAUUCUAAAACAAAGCUAUGUUUUCGUCCUCCAUUGAAGAAAACGGCAAAGCUAUAUAUAAAGUAAUGAAUACGAAGGAACUACCUAGAAGCAAAAACAAAACGAAGCUCUCCUAUUCUAAAACAAAAACUACUUGUCUAGUGGUCCCCGCCGAAUUUAGAUAAAAGGGUGCAAUCCGUCAGAUCAAGCUUUGCCGACUUUUUCUCCUCUUUGUUGCCUAUUGCUAGGCAAAGACUUCAGUGCCCAGACCAUUCCUAAUCAGUGAAAAGAAAAUGCACUCCCUCUGCCGCACUCUGUGGGCCAGGUUGUUGAAGCUCUUUGGAGUCUCCUAUGUGUGGAGCUGUUUUAUCCUUCAGAUGGUCUCGCUCUUUUUUUUCUUUUUAUUUUCUUUUGUGUACUUUUCUGCUCCAUUCCUGAAAUGAGAUCCAAAUACCAAAUAUAAAUAUAUAUUAACAAUUAAACAAUAUUUAGUAAGGACAGAGGGGAAAUUAAUAAUAAAAUAAUCAAUAAUUAACACCCUAUCAAUUCCCCCCACACCUAAAUCAUACUUGCCCUCAAGCAUGGGGACGACAAAUAACACCAAAAUUUGAAAAUGGGUAUUGCCCCAUCUACCCUAUUGUCAAGAUACCAAGGAAAACAUCUAUCAAGCAUCAGUGAUCAGGGUUCAAGAAACAUCACCCCAAUUAGCUUCUAAACCACAAACUCCUCCAAUUUAAGACAAACUAAUCUAAGAAAAAGGAAUGGUUGCUCACAUUUAUCAACAAAUGGUCCAACUAUUAACUAAAAUCUCGAUAUUAAGAUCACAAACCGGCAAGCUGACUUAUUCACAUACUAACACAAUCUUUACUUUACUUCUUUUUUUUUUUUUUUUGAAUAACAAAAGACUUAGUCUAUAGCCCUUAGAGCCUUUUGACGCGAACUCCAACAUUUGCCAGAUGGAGAAGCCCGGUUUCUCAGCUCCAAUCGCUACGGGACCACGCACUCAUAGUAACUACUACCUUUUGAGGCGAAAAUCGACACUUUAGGUCAAGAUCCCCGAUCACUCAGUAGUAACCACUAGCGGAGUACAGUCAACUCUUAUUUACAACCAUAUAGCACGAUAACUAAAAAUAACAGCAGGCAGCCUCAAAUUUCCAAACAUGGAGAACUAAAAUUAAUAACUGGACCAAUUCACAUGAAAAAUGCCAACAAUCAUUCCCUAUGCCUAGAAAAGUUAACCAAAAAUUAGAAAAGUCAAGCAAUUACUGAUAUUCACAUGAAAAGUCAAGCAGAAGUAAGCAAAAGAGCAACUGUACUUCCCUGAAAUCACGGGGGGCAUGGCGGGGCCACAGCAGUGGGUGAGGCCGGAAAUGGUUGAUUUGGGUUGGGGUAGGCUAAGGUCGAGAGGUUCCGGACCUAGAAGAGGACUUUGAUCUCACCAUCGUCGCUAACAGGUAACCCAAUCAACAGAAACAAAAUUGCCAACAGAUAGAGGAACAAGUAAAUCUAGAUCAAUAGAAAUCAAUAUCCUCAAGUGAAGUCAACAAUCAACCCAAUAAGCACAGGUAUCUUCCAAUUUAAAAGGGUAGUGCACAAUAAAUGGCCCACCAAAUUUGCAAUGUAAAGCCCUGAGCAAUUCAAUCAAUACCAGAAAAUCGCCCCAAACAAUGUAACAGUUAAACUCCAUGGGCCAUGGACGUCCAACCAAUUUCACUCGAACAAACUAUGAGCAGUGCGAGUGACGAAACAAAGCAACAAAUUUCAGCAAUUAGACACAAUUCCACUCAAAAUCUCAACAAAUAUCUCCAAUGGACAGUCUUACACAACUUAACCAACUGGAAUUAGCAAAUAUCCCCAAGAAACUGACAAAACAAGCAAUAGUAGUUCAAAAUUUGGACUACAACUAAAUCAAAAUGUUGUUUCAGUUUUCAAUCAGGUAGCCAACCAAGUAGAAUCAAUAAAUGUAGACAAAAUACCCCAACCAGUACCACUGGUGUAUUCCACAGAAAAGAAUUAAUUCAAAUGCCAAUCCAAACGACUGAGAAACCCUAACCAAGACCAAACCGUACCAGAAAUUAGAAGAAAUGAAAAUGGGAAUCAAUUGGCAAGCAACUCCCAAAUCAACCCCAAAGAACUCCCAAAUAAAUGAAUUAUCAGAGGUGCCUUCAAAAACCAAAUACCAAAAAUGCAUAAAAACUCCCAACCAAUUCAACGGGAAAAACAAAAUUAAGCAAAUCACCUCCUGUGUUUAUCCAUCAAGGAACAACCCAAAAGCACAAAUUCCAGUAACUGAGGAUUCAGGAAAAAUGCCAAAACAAGGGUAGAAAGUUAAUACCUCCACCUGUCAAUUUUGACAGGUAGUGAUGCGCGGCAAGGAGGUGGCGCACGAGGUGGUGGCGAGCUUUGGAAGAUGAGUUGGCGAUAGAGGCUGUCAGCUACGCGUGCGACUGUGCGCACAAUGGGAGGAGAGAGGCGCGGCGAGCUGGUGGACAGCAGCAGCGGCACGGGCUGGUGGCAGUGGCUGUGGAGCGUGGGCAGGCGGCGGUGCGCAGCUGGUCAACGAAGGAGGAGAUGGGCGGCGCUCGGGCUAAGGAGAGAGUGAUUUGGGGGCUGUGGCGGCGUGGGGUGGAGUUGCGGCGGCGGUCAAAGGCACUGGUGAGUGGAGGUGGCGGGAUGGAGCUUGGAACGGAGGAGCUCAGCGAGCUGUGGGUGGACGGCCGUGGGCAGGGGAGCAGCGGCGGCCUUUGGAGCUGCUGAAGGUGGUCCGUGAGGUGGAGCUUGGAGCUCGGAGGCGGCGGCGAUGGAAGCUAGUCAGCGGCGUGCGGCAAUGGAUGAGAAAGGGAGACUGGUGGCGUCGGGCUAAGGAGAGAGUAAGGGAGAUGAUGGCGGAUGAGCGAAAGAAAAGAAGGAAAGGGAUACAGGGCAGCGAGGAAGAAGAGGAAGAAAAGGGAAAGAAAGGAAAGAAAAAAGAGAAGAAAAAGGAAAAAGAAAAGAGAGAAAGAAAAAAAGAAAAUAAAAUGGUUUUGGGGUUUUUUUUCAAUAUUUUUUUUUCAAUUUUUUCCCUAAUUUAAAUUUUCAAAAUUUGAAUUUUUGAAGAAAAAAAGAAAGAAAAAUGCUCUUUGAAUUUUUGAAUUUUCUCAAUGUGAAAUUUUAAAUUUUUUUUUGGUUUUGGAUCGUCAAACACCGCGUGAGCACGCCAAGAUUACACUUCCUGGUCACAGUAGAGGAAAAUAUUAAGACGACUACCACCCAAAUGAGAAAUGACAAAAUGAAAGUAAUGAACAAUGAAAAACGAUAAAACUAAUAUUUGGGUUGCCUCCCAAAAAGCGCCUUUCUUUUAUGUCUUUGGCCAGACAUUGCCAUAUUUGUUUAGGGAGGAUAAAAUCUUGUACCUCGGUUUAAUGUUUCAUCCUCUAUAUAGUCCUGAUAACCCUCGUAAAUAGAGUAAUUCUUGAACACAUGAGCUACGGUCUUCCCUGGACUAGUAAAUGGUGCCAAACAAGUCAACAAUAAGUUGAAUUUUCCAUUCACUCCUCCAUCACUUGCAUUUAUUGGUUUAAGAUAUCUUGCCAUCGCCACUCUUAAUUUAUUUCUGUCAUGAAAUUCGAAAUUUUCUGAUAUAAUAAAAUCAAUUUCAUUAACAGGAAUUGAAGAAUAAGAGUUAGAAGAAUAUUGAUGAAGGAAUGCGAUGUCACCGCAUUUGAAGAUUGUUCACUGGUUUCAUUCACUUGAACGAGUUGAUACUGGGGCAUUAUUUCUUGCACUUCACCUUUUUUUUCAACUGCAUCUUUAGAUCCGUUUUCUUGAAACUCUUGCAGUUCCAUGUCAUUUGACGGGAUAACUGCACUCUCAUCCUCUUCAAGGUUGAUAUUGGUUUGUGAGGGCAAUUCUUCAAGGUGAGAAGCUAAUCGCUCUAUCCUGGAUGUCAAUUGAUUCAUUUGAUCCGCCGGAUCCCUAAUGCUCGCUUGUGUCUCCUGAUGAAAUCGAUAUGUAUUAGUAGCAAAUAAUUCAAUCAAUUCCUGAAGAGACAUACCUGACAUGGAUGAUGGCUGUUGAGAUUCUUGCUGUUGAAAAUCCAUUGGCCCGGUCGCAUAAUUAAAAUUGGAAUCAUCCCACCAUCCUUGAUCAUACCCGUUUGAAUAAGGAUCGUACCACGUUUGAAAUCGAGGUGAAAAAUCUCCAAAAGUAUCAAUUGGAGCACUUAGAUUAUCUUGAAAUGCGGGGCAUGUGUCGGUUGAGUAACCUGAGUCAAAAUAAGUUCCACAAUUUGCAACAGUCCAUUGACCAUUAGGAAAAACUCGAGUCUCAUAACCUCAUUCGGGAAUAAAGUCCAGUCUAUCAUCAAAAUAUGGAAUGUUAGCUACCAUAAACUAUAUAUAACAAAAAAGAGAAAAAAAAAAAACAAGAUGAACUAAAAAAAAACAAAUUAAUUAGGCACCAGUCCCCGGCAAUGGCGCCAAAAAUUGACAGGGUGUCGAGCCUGUGCAAUAAUAAUUACCUACUCAAGAAAAACAUAAAUUCUGUAUAUAGCGGUGAGCAGGGUCGAAUCCACAGGGAUUGGAGAUAAUUCGUUUCUUUUAGAGUCCAAAGUAUGGGGGGGGAGUUUUUUGGAGAAUAUAAAAUAACUAAUUAACUAACUAAUAAAACAACUAAUAGAAAUAAAUAGAAAUUAAUCAAUUACCAAUAUGACUCUAGUCAAAAGUGCAACUUUUCAGAUACGGUCCAUUCAACUGAUCAUCGAUGCAAAGAUAAUUCAAUUACUCAUUACUAGAUUGGUUAUAGUUGUCAUACACGUGAUGAACAACCAGCCUUUUCUUAAUUUCUCGAUAGUUAAGGUACGACCGUUAACUAUUUUUCUAACCAAGUAAUAACCCUAGGUACGACCAUAGGAUUUAAUUACUCGAUUGCGUUAAUAAUUAGAAAAGCCCAACUCUAACCAACAAACACGCUACGAGGGUUUGUUUAAGUUAGAUCAUACGUUUCCCUAACAUGAAACCAAUCACGCUAGUCGCCACUGGUAUUAAUCAAUUGAACAAUUACGGAUUCAAUCAAUUAAUUUAGAAUUAGAUCAUUAAGUUAAUUCGAAUAUCGGGCCCUUGACAUUCAAAUAACAUAACAAACAUAAGCAAUUAAAUCAGGAAACGUACAAAUACCAAUGAAUAAAAGAAAUAAAUAAAAUUAAUUCGAUCUCACAGAUAUUUGGAACCGCGUCUUCAAAUUGACUUUCGACUAGAUAAAAGGCUUAGUUCAUCUACAUGGAGGAAACUCCAUGCGAAAUUGUAUAAGUAAUUAUUCUAAACAAAGCUAUGUUUUCGUCCUCCAUAGAAGAAAACGGCAAAGCUAUAUAUAAAGUAAUGAAUACGAAGGAACUACCUAGAAGCAAAAACAAAACGAAGCUCUCCUAUUCUAAAACAAAAACUACUUGUCUAGUGGUCCCCGCCGAAUUUAGAUAAAAAGGUGCAAUCUGUCAGAUCAAGCUCUGCCGACUUUUUCUCCUCUUAGUUGCCUAUUGCUAGGCAAAGACUUCAGUGCCCAGACCAUUCCUAAUCAGUGGAAAGAAAAUGCACUCCCUCUGCUGCACUCUGUGGGCUAGGUUGUUGAAGCUCUUUGGAGUCUCCCAUGUGUGGAGCUGUUUUAUCCUUCAGAUGGUCUCCCUCUUUUUUUUCUUUUUAUUUUCUUUUGUAUACUUUUCUGCUCCAUUCCUGAAAUGAGAUUCAAAUACUAAAUAUAAAUAUAUAUUAACAAUUAAACAAUAUUUAGUAAGGAUAGAGAGAAAAUUAAUAAUAAAAUAAUCAAUAAUUAACACCCUAUCAAUAUACAUUUAAGCUCAAUUUUUACUAAGUGUUAAGAUGAUAAAUUUGAAUUUCCUAUGACUCUAAUAACAAUAAAAUAUCAUUUUUCUUGUCAAACAACAUGCAAAAAACAAAAAAAGGUAGAAUUUCAAAUUAAUCAUAAAUGGGUAAUUGAGUAUUCUCAUGUCUAUUUGUUAAAUUGAUAUAAAUGAAUUGAUUCAAUUAUAACUAUUACUCAACUAGAAUCCGCUCAAACCCGUUUAAGUUAAUCAUUUUGACACCCCUAAUGUUAAUAUAUAUUGACAAGUGAAAAGUGCAGCAUUUAUCACGAAGAUAUACUUAUUUAUUUUAAUAUUAAAGUCAUUUUUUCAUUACAAAAAUAUUGAUAAUUUCAUAAUUUCAUGGAAGUAUGUAACCAGUGACAUAACAUAGUCGCCAGUGGCGAAUCUUGUCACGAGCCUUCUUUUCAACGCUUUGAUUAUGGCAUACACCUUUAACAAUAUGCCCCCACGUUGUCUUUCGAUCACUUUUUUUUUUUUUUUUAACCUCACAUUCGUUCGUUAUGUAUGUAUAAUUUCUUUACAAAAAAGUGAAAAACUCCAAAAACGUGGCAGCUCAAACGGGGCCAACAAUCUACUAUGUUCGCCUGUUCUCCCCGGACCCACCAGCCGCGGCGGCCAUGGGUCAUCUAUAAAAGCAUAGAUCAAGACUACACUAAUCCCUCAUCAGUCCAAUCCAUCCAUACUUCUUCUUCAGGCCUCAGCUACUAAACAAUAAACUCUGCUCCACUCAAUUCUUUCCUCUGUUUCUUGUGGUUUUUGUCUGAAAAUGGCGGCAUCAGAAGAAGUGAAAGUGCCAAGAAUCAAGCUGGGGUCGCAAGGUUUUGAAGUUUCAGCUCAAGGGCUGGGCUGCAUGGGCAUGUCAGCCUUCUACGGGCCGCCAAAGCCCGAGCCUGAUAUGAUCAAACUCAUUCACCAUGCUAUUAGCAGAGGCAUCACCCAUCUUGACACCUCCGAUAUGUAUGGACCUCACACCAACGAAAUACUCAUUGGCAAGGUACCGUAUUUGCAAAUUUUCUGCUGUUGUGUGCUAUGCAUAAACUCUUGUACUUCUAAUUUCUAAAAGAGCAUAUUUGUAAGUAUUUUAUUUGGGUAUAUUAUAUUUAACCCCCUGCACUUGAAAUCUUUGUCUCCCUUUGUGCCCCUUAAUUUUGUUUGUCAGCACUUAAACUCCAUCUGUUUAAAUUAUAAGUAUUAUUAGUCAAAUAAGACAAUAAUAUUCUUCAUUUCUUCUUCUUCUUCUUCUUCUUCUUCAUUUUUCAGAUGUUUGUCCUCAAUUGUAAGAGAAGGUCGUAGGUCUAGCACAUACGUUGAGUAGCUGUAUCCGAUUAGAAGGAUUUAGAUCAUAAUGGAGUUGGUAAAAUAGUACUAUUUUCGUCUUUGAAGUUAAAAUUGUCAUCAAUUUAUGGAAAGUUUACUAUUUCUCUGAUAAGAGAUGGUAAAAUUUACUUUUUACGAGCACUAAAGUUUUAAAGAUUAUGAAAAGAGAAUUGUACGAAUGAAUAUAAGGGAAAAGAAAGGUAAGAAAUAUGGAUUGUGUUUGGAUUGAUUUUGGGAGGGGCAAGGAGAGGAAAGGGAAAGAAAAGGAAAUGGAUGGAUUGUGUUUUGCUCAGACAUCAUUUCCAUACAAAAGUAGACGGAAACAGAGGGAAAGAAAAUCUAGUUGAUGAUUUUCUUAUAAAAUGCCUCAAGCACCCAAAUUUUACAUAAACUUGAGUAACCAUGUGUUUCAUAUCUGUAGAACUUGCCAUUUGUGAAACCUGCUUUAGAUAUGAAUUGUGGGAUGCAACAGCAGGCUAGGAAUGUUUGACUAAGCAACUUAUGUAAAUAUUUUAUCGUUAAGUGAAGUUCCUCUUUUGCUGUUCAAAAAAAAAAAAAAAAAAGAGAGAGAAAAACCAUUCCUUUAAUGUCUGUCAUUCUACCAAACAGCAGAUUUAGGUUUUCUUUUUUCCCAUCCAUAUCUAAUCCAAAUAAGGCAAAUGAGAACUAUUUUCCACUACUCUCCUUUCCUUUCUUUUUCACUAGGAUUUUUAUUUAUUCUUUCCUUUGAUCCUAAUGGUUCCUAAAAGGGCACUAAUUAUUCUACAUUGAUCGUUCCCCAUAUUUGUAUUAAUGUGCAUGUUCACGAUUCUGUGUACGUUCAUGUUGUGCAUCAAAUCUUGUGACAAAGCUAGAUUGUAAAUUUAAGUUGAAGAAACAUAAAAGAAAAAAGAAAAUGGAUUGGCUCCUUUAAGAGUAUCAGACUUCUAAACCCCAAGGAUUACAUAAUUUUCAUAUCCUUUGCUAUACAAAGAAGUGGCAUAGCCUUAACAAUGAAGUGCUGGAAAAACUCCAGAAGGACUGUGCCAUCCAUGAAAUCACAAUUCCGCUUGCUAUACCAUGCAUUAAUGUGUAUGCCCUUGAUGAUUAAUAUAAUGAAAUCAUGGUUCUAGGCCUUGAAGGAAGGAAUAAGAGCGAAAGUGGAGCUAGCAACAAAAUUUGCAAUCAGUUAUCAGGAUGGGAAAUUUGAUGUACGUGGUGAUCCAGCCUAUGUGAGGGCUUGUUGUGAAGCGAGUUUGAAGCGGCUUGAUGUGGACUGCAUUGAUCUCUAUUAUCAACAUCGCAUCGAUACACGUGUGCCCAUUGAAGUCACGGUUUGCUCGUCUUGCCUUUCUUGUAUUUUAGCUCCACCUCAUUCUUGAUGAAACAAAAGUUUGAUCAACUCCAAAUUUCGAAUAAUUCAGUUUCAUGUGCGUUUCAAUUCUUCAAAAAUUGCACAGAAAAGUUAGUCAACCUUAUGGUCUAGGCUAAUCUGCAGUAUGCUAAAUCUUAUUUAGCACCAGGCACCCUGAAAAGUGAAAACAAUGAAAAUGUCUUAUAUUAGCUUGGCAGUCCUGCUGAGGGAUAUACAGGUGGAUAUCAUGCUAUACAUUGUACAGCUUUCCUUUAGAAGCAAGAGACCUGAGCAUUCUCUUUCAUUUGAGAUAGGCUAUCCAGUUGAGUAAUGAUAUGCUAUUUACUUACCUUGUCAUUCGUUUUCAGUCGGUGCCAAAAGCACUGCAGAUAGAAGUUUUUUAGUCGAUAUCUAAAAAACGUGGUACUCAUUUUGUUCAGAGUAUAGCUUUUUGUCUAAUUGUGAAAGCCAGCUGCGACUACCAUUGACCUCUCUAAGCAAUUCAAAGAUUGCAGCUGCUUGCUUACAUUCAGCUUUUAUGAAAACAAUUUCUGUCUUCUUUUUCUAAUAUAGUCAGCAAAGAAUUGUCUUGUUUUUCCUGAGUAUUAGGAAGAAACUUUCUUGCAGUUUAAUCACUCAAAAUACAGGCAAGUAUAAAGGAAAUCAAGGAAAUUGACAACUGAUAAUUGAUAUGUACAGCCAUUAUUAUAUCUAGAAAACGUGACUGCAAAAAGCGCCUCCCACUCGCGUUUUCUGAGUCGCGUUUCCUGCACAAAACUUGCAGAAAUGGAAACGCGACUGUGCAGGUAAACGCGACUUCAAGUCGCGUUUUUGAAUCUUGACCCCUUCCUGCACUUUAUCACGCGGGCGCGUCAAGAGGAAAUGCCACCUACAUAUUAGCAACAACGAAAACUGAAACCCAAAAUCAGUCGAAUUCAAGGGAAAUAUAUUUAAACUAUCACACGAAAUCAAACAAACAAUUAAAAGAAACAAUUGGGUUGCCUCCCAAGUAGCGCCUUUCUUUAAUGUUUUUGGCUAGACAUGCUAUGCUUGUUCACGGGGGAUAAAAUCUUGUGGCUCGUUUCAAUGCUUCAUCUUCAAUAUGAUCCUGGUAACCCUCAUAGAUGGAGUAAUCUUUGAGCACACGAGUUACGGGCUUCCAUGGACUAGUAAAUGGCGUUAAACAAGUCAACAAUGAUCUGCAUUCUCCACUCACUCCUCCACCACACGCAUUCAUCGGUUCAAGAUAUUUUUUCAUUGCCACUCUUAACUUAUUCCUGUCAUGAAAUUUCAGAUUUUCUGGUAUAAUAAAAUCAAUUUCAGUAACAGGAAUUGAAGAGGAGGAAUUAGGAAAAUAUUGAUUAAGGAGUGGAGAAGAUGUCACCGCAUUUGGAAAUUGUUCACUGGAUUCAUUCACUUGAAUAAUUUGAUGUUGGAGUCUCAUGUCUUCCGCUUCAACUUCCUUUUCAACUGUAUCUUUGGAUCCUCCUUCUUGAGACUCUUGCAGUUCCAUAUCACUUGUCAGGAUAAUUGCACUCUCACCUUUCUUAGAGUCAUUGAUGGUCUGUGAGGGCAAGUCUGACAUGAAUGACGAUUGUUGAGACUCUUGCAGCUGAAAACUCAUUGGCCCCUCUUCAUAAUUAACGUUGGAGUUAUCCCACCAUCCUUGAUCAUACCGGUUUGAAUAAGGGUCAUACCACGUUUGAGAUCGAGGUGAAGAAUCUCCAAAUUUUUUUUUGAGAUAGUCACUCAGGUAGUCUUGAUAUUCGGGGCACAUACCGGUUGAAUGAUCCCUGGCAUAACAAAUUUCACAGGUUGCAGCAGCCAUUCUUUCUCUAACAGAGUUUAGUGCCUCUGCAUAUGCAGACCUCACAAAAAAACUAGCCUCAUUACCUUCCCCGGAAAUAAAAUCCAGUAUAUCACCAAAAUACGGAGUGUAAGAAACCAUAAACUAAAUAAAAAAAAAGAAUGUAAACAAGAUGAAUUGAAAAAGAAACAAAUAACUAGCGCCAGUCCCCGGCAACGGCGCCAAAAAUUGACAGGUGCCGAACCUGUACAAUAAUAAAUACCUACUCGAGAAAAAUACAGAUUUUGUAUAUAGCGGUGAAUAGGGUCGAAUCCACAGGGACUGGGGAUAAUUCGUUUCUUCUAGAGUCCAAAGUAUGGGGGGUUUUGGAUUGAAUGCUAACUAAAUAAAUUAACUGCAGAAAAUAAUUGAUUAAGAGAAAUAAUUAAGGGAAAACUCUAGCCAAGGGUACACUUCAGACAUGGUUCAGGCACUGAUCAUUGAUUCACACAUAAUUCCACAUUUAUUAAUAGACCAGUUAUAGUUGUCAUGCACGCGAUAAACAACCAACCUUUCCUUAAUUUCUCGAUAGUUAAGGUACGACCGUUAACUAUUUCUCUAACCCAAAAACAACCCUAAGUACGACCGUAGGAUUUAAUUUCUAGAUUGCAUUAAUAAUUAGAAAGGCCUAAUCCUAACUAACAAACACGCUACGAGGGUUUGUUUAAGUUAGAUCGUAUGCUCCCCUGACAUAAACUCAAUUACGCCAGUUGCUACUGAGAUAAAGAUAACGAACAAUUACGGAUUCAAUUAUCCCUAUUUAGCAAAAUAGCCUAUGUGAAUAAUUAAAUAUUGCGCAUCUAUUCAAUCACUCACACGAGCUAUAGCAAUUAAAAGCAGGAAACAUAUAAAUAUAAAUAAAUUAAGGAAGCAAUUAAAAUAAAUUAGAUCUCACAGUAAUUGUUGAACCAAAUCUUCAGUUGUCCCCUUGACUUGAAUUAAGAGGUUAGUUCUCCAUUAAUGGAGAACAACCAUGCGAAAGAGCUAAGAAAAGAAAACUCAAAACUCAACUAAAAACCUCAAACUAGUGAUUCAUUCCUCCCCGUUCUCUUGUACGUUUCUCCCUUUUUAAAGCCAAAAGGAAGUCUAAUGCUAUCUCUAGUGGUCCCCACACCAAAUUCAAAGUCUUGUACGUUUCUUUUCCUAGAGUCCAAAUGAUUCAUGCUUCUUAUCCGUGGUCCCCGCACAUGUGGACAAAGCCUUCCAAGUACUUCUUGUUCCAAGUCUCUUUCCGUAGCUUUCUUUGAAGAGCCCAAAUGACUUAUUAGCUUUUCACUAGCUUGUGGUCCCCACCACUCCAAGGGCCCAAGAAUUGAAGUCCUUAGAAGUCUCCCUAUUUUCCAUAAAGUCCUUCCUUUUUGGUAGUUUCCUGCUUCAUUCCUGAAAUUAAGUCCAGAUACCAAAUAUGAGUAAAUAUUAGCAAUUAACACAAUAUUUAUCAGGGAUGAAAGGGGAAAUUAAUAAUAAAAUUACUAACAAAUUAUACCCUAUCAAUCUAGUUCAUGAUUUUCUAGUAAAAUGCCUCAAGCACCCAAAAUUUUACGUAAACUUGAGUAAGCAUGUAUUUCAUAUCUGUAGAACUUGCCAUUUGUGAAACCUGCUUUAGAUAUGAAUUGUGGUAUGCAACAGCACGCUAGGAAUGUUUGGCUAAGCAACUUAUGUAAAUAUUUUAUCGUUAAGCAAAGUUCCUCCUUUCAUGUCUGUCAUUCUAUGCAAACCUCCUUUUAUCGUUAAGCAACUUAUGUAAAUAUUUUAUGUAAAUAUUUUGGUUUUCUUACUUUCCCAUCCAUAUCUAAUCCAAAUAUGACAAAUGAGAACUAUUUUCCUCUACUCUCCUUUCCUUUCUUUUUUACUAGGAUGUUUUAUUUAUUUAUUUAUCCUUUCCUUUGAUCCAAAUGGUUCCUAAAAGGGCACUAAUUAAUCUACAUUGAUCAGUUCCCUAUAUUUGUAUUAAUGUGCAUGUACACGAUUCUGUGAAUGACAAUUAGGCUAGAUUGCUUCAAAUCUUGUGAAUGACAGAGCUAGAUUGUAAAUUUAAGUUGAAGAAAUAUAAAACAAAAAGAAAAAGAAAAUGGAUUGGCUCCUUUAAGAGUAUCAGACUUCUAAACCCCAAGGAUUACAUAAUUUUCAUAUCCUUUGCCACACAAAGAAGUGGCAUAGCCUUAACAAUGAAGUGUUGGAAAAACUCCAGAAGGACUGUGCAAUCCAUGAAAUCACAAAAUCCGCUUGCUAUACCAUGCAUUAAUGUGUAUGUCCUUGAUGAUUAACAUAAUGAAAUCAUGGUUCUAGGCCUUGAAGGAAGGAAUAAGAGCGAAAGUGGAGCUAGCAACAAAAUUUGCAAUCAGUUAUCAGGAUGGGAAAUUUGAUGUAUGUGGUGAUCCAGCCUAUGUGAGGGCUUGUUGUGAAGCGAGUUUGAAGCGGCUUGAUGUGGACUGCAUUGAUCUCUAUUAUCAACAUCGCAUCGAUACACGUGUGCCCAUUGAAGUCACGGUUUGCUCCAUUUUGCCUUUCUUGUUUUUUAGCUCCACCUCAUUCUUGAUGAAACAAAAGUUUGAUCAACUCCAAAUUUAGAAUAAUUCAGUUUCAUGUCCGUUUCAAUUCUUCAAAAAUUGCACAGAAAAGUUAGUCAACCUUAUGGUCUAGGCUAAUCUGCAGUAUGGUAUUGCUGAAUUAGCACAAGGCAUCCUGAAAAGUGAAAACAAUGAAAAUGUCUUAUAUUAGCUUGACAGUCCUGCUGAGGGAUAUACAGGUUGAUAUCAUGCUAUACAUUAUACAGCUUUCGUUUAGAACCAAGAGACCUGAGCAUUCUUUUUCAUUUGAGAUAGGCUAUCCAGUUGAGAUAUACUAUUUACUUACCUUGUCAAUCGUUUUCAGUCGGUGCCAAAAGCACUGCAGAUAGACGUUUUUUAGUCAAUAUCUAAAAACAUGGUACUCAUUUUGUUCAGAGUAUAGCUUUUUGUCUAAUUGUGAAAGCCAACUGCAACUGCCUCAUUGACCUCUCCAAGCAAUUCAAAGAUUUCAGCAGCUUGCUUACAUUAAGCUUUUAUGAAACGAUUUCUCUGUCUUCUUUUUCUCAUGUAGUCAGCAAAGAAUUGUCUUGUUUUCCCUGAGUAUUAGGAAGAAACUUUCUUGCAGUUUAAUCACUCAAAAUACAGGCAAGUAUAAAGGAAAUCAAGCAAAAUUGGCAACUGAUAAUUGCUGCGUACAGCCAUUAUUAUAUAUAUAAGUCAACAAUGUCAUGUAAUCAUAUUGGAGGAGCAUUAUGUUGGCAUGGUCCAGUAGAACUAAGUCAUCCGUUGGGCUGUACAUAGAGAACUAUCACUGGAUGCUUAUUGCCAUUUUCAUCAACUAGGGAUUUCAGUUUGACGUAUACUUUGUCCAAGACUUCGUUGAACUAGUGCAACUUUUACUUGUUCCACGUAAUAUUUCGAUUAUCUGCCUAAGUAUUGAAUGUAAUAAAUCAGCUUCGCAUCUUCUUGUCCAUUGAAAUUCUCUAGAUUGGAGAGCUCAAGAAACUGGUUGAAGAGGGUAAAAUAAAGUAUAUAGGUCUGUCUGAGGCCUCAGCUUCAACAAUUCGAAGAGCACAUGCUGUUCAUCCAAUAACAGCUGUACAGUUGGAGUGGUCAUUGUGGACCAGAGAUGUCGAGGAAGAGAUUAUUCCCGCUUGCAGGUAGUGCGUAUAUUCUGCUGCAUUUUCUACAUGGUCUAGAAGAAAUAUGAAGUUCUCAAUUCAGUUUUUGGUAUAAUCUUUCAGAGAUCUUGGCAUAGGGAUUGUUGCAUAUAGUCCACUUGGACGAGGUUUCUUCUCAUCAGGUCCAAAGCUGAUCGAGAAUUUGGCUGAAGGUGACUUCCGAAAGGUUUGUGCAUAGCCAAAAAGAUUGUUUAUAGUUCGAAUAAGUUUCUCACUCAGUGGCAAUCUUGCUUGAUCACAUUUAAUCAAAUUUCUAUUAAGCAUAGCAAUUCAACGGGUUUUUUUUUUGUUUUCUUCUUGAACAAGUCUUGAACUCUUUAGUUUGAUUCAAUGAAUGCAGAUUUUGGUGUCCUCGGUACUUAGUUCAAAUUAAAAGAUAUAGCACUAGCUUUGUCAAAUUUUAGAUCUUAUAUGAAUUGAAGGUUGUUAUUGCAUGCUGGAAAUUUAUAUAGAGGACAACAAUCGCAAGCAAUGGAUGGUAUUGAAUUUUAAAGUGCAAAGACGUCCUAAGAUGUCAAAACAGGAAGAAACUAUGCCAGUUUUUAAGUAAAAGUCUCUUUACUGUUUUGAGGGGAAAUGGGCCUUAGACUUCAAUUUCAUCAUUUAGUCUCAGGCACAGAACUUAUGUUGUCUUGUGAAACUAUCAUUUUUCUUUUACCAUUAAUCCUAAAACUGAGUUUCAUUGGUCAGAACUCAGAAGUAUACUUCAUAGUUGAUUUGUAUUUUAAGUUUCCUCUUUGAUGGGAAAUAUAUCUCAGAACUUAACUCCAACAGUUGAUGAUUCCUACUUGGGAGUAUUCAGUCCACCUUGAUGCAUUGUUCUUUCCCCUGAACUUGUGCCCUUCAAACAAUAUUUCUGAUCAUCUUGAAGUAAUUAGUACCGUCUGUUCAUUACUCCCUUCUGAUUUCUUGCAUUAUAGUUUCCUCUUUAAUGGGAAAUGUAUCGCAGGAUCUACCUUCUACAAUUGAUGUUUCUUUCCCCUGAAGUUAUUCGUAACGUCUUCUGGCAUUAUAGUUGCUUAAAUUUUGAAAUUCAUACAAUGCAGUAUAUGCCAAGGUUUCAAGCAGAGAAUUUGGAGCACAACAAGAACUUGUACGAGCAGGUCAAUGCCAUUGCUUCAAGGAAGGGUUGUACUCCAUCACAGCUAGCACUGGCCUGGGUCCAUCACCAAGGCAAUGAUGUUUGCCCCAUACCGGGCACUACCAAGAUUGAGAACCUCAAUCAGAAUAUAGGAGCUUUGUCUGUAAAACUGUCUGCAGAGGAAAUGGCGGAACUUGAAUCCAUCGCUUCUGCAGGAGUCAAGGGUGAUAGGUAUGGGCCUGGCCUUGUUACUUGGCAAACUUCUGAAACUCCACCUUUGUCAACCUGGAAGAGGACAUGAAGACAUAUCUUUGUUAUGGCAAUAAUUCCUUCUAGCUAUGUGCCUGAGGGUGGAUUUCAGUAUAUUGACAGUUGAGUGACGUAUUUGUUCCAAUAAAUUUCGUCAUACUAUUGUCUCGAGGUUUUAGGCAAGUAAAGUUAUAAGAAGAAUGCGUUAAAGGUUUCUUCAGAGGUUGUACUGAAUAAAAAUCUGAUCAUGUAAAAAUAGAACAUAAUUUUCCUUGCAGUUGAAUGCGUUAAAGGUUAGCUAUUCUAGUUUUGAAUGCUAUAGCAGUCCAUUUCUUAUAUGCUACACUGUUACAAGAGAUAUAGACUGUCGAACAGCAUUUUAUGGUCGGAAUGUUUACAUCAAAAGCAUCUCCAAGGACAUGUCAUUCUAAAGUGUAUAAACUACAUCAUACCAACAAAAAGCAGAAAAAGGCCUAAGGUAUGGGAUAUUUCUAAAAUUUCAUGGGAGGCUUGUGAUAGCAAAAACUUCUGAAAUUGUCCCUUGAACUAAACUGAAAGACAGACAAUGGUAAGAUUUUAAGCAUGUCUUGUUAAGUUAAAAGGUUAAAACUUUACAUACAAAUAAAUGGUCAAAUUCACUUUAAAAUUGUGGUGUCAUCUUCCACCUUAAACUUUUGUACUAUCCAAGUUUGUUUUAAUUCCUUUGGGAAAAUGAAACAUCGAAUGCAUUCAAAAAAAUGGAAAGGAAAUGGCUUACCUUUGCACUUACGUAUCCAAUUCCAAUUUGAACAUUACAUCAUCCAUCCAAUUGAAAACAAACUCCUAUGGAGAUUUUUUUUUUUCCUUUAUUUUGUUAUUAGAUCUGAAUUUAUUUCACAUUUGGUUGUCAGAUCUAAAAUUUUUUUCAAAGUUUGAAUCUAUUUCAAUAUAUUUCAUUAUCAUUAUUGAAACUUAAAACAGUUUAUUAACAAAUCUGGCGAUUGCCAUAUGUACGAAAGGGAGACACUUUUAAAAUUCUUUAUAUUUUUUUAGAUCUGUUUGUAAUUUUCAAUUCUACUGUAUCUGUUAAAUUAUGAUCUGUAAUUUUUAAUGCAUGUUUGACCUACCAUUAGGGGAGUUAUGUAAAUCAAAUCAUGUUAGAUGAUUUCCAAAAAAAACUUAACCGUUAAUUUCUCUUCCCCGUUUUAUUUGUCCACUCUUCAAUUGUCAAUAACUCUUUUAAGAUACUUUGUAAUACAAAAUCAACUAAAACCGGUAGAAUCUGUAAUUAAUAGCAGUAUUCAUAUCAUGUUUUUGUAUAUUACUCGUACAUCUAAUUAGUCACAUUUGGAGAAAGAAAAAAAAAAGAUGAAAAUAAAAUUCCCCGAAUUUUGUGGUUUUUUUUGGUGCCUUGUUUAAUCUCUAAUUUUGUUUUUUGGGUUUUUAUUUUAAUCGAUUUUGGUUAUAGAGAUUAAGUUUCUCAGCCCGAUUAAUCGGUUAAUUAAUUAAACAUGGUUUGAGUUGGGUUGGUUUAGAGAUUUGGUUUAUAAAAGAACACUUGGCAAGUUUAGAAGGGGUGGGAUAGGGAAUGAGACAGGGUGUGAUACAGAGAUCCGUUGCGCAUGGCGAGCCACAUUUAAAAAUUGGUUCCUACCAUAAAGCCUAUCAUGUCCUGACACAAGAUGGACUGUUUUUUUUAAAUUUUUUUUGAAAGCAAGUGAAAAGUGUUGCAACUCAGGACUUGGAUAGUAAUUUUAAAAUUUAAUAGUGCACCUACCUUUUAACUUUUUUCGUGUGCUUUUAAGGUAUCAAAUGGGGAAAAAAACCAAUACCAUAUAACUUCAAAUGCAAGAUGGUACGAAAUUUGUUAAUAUGGAGAUGUUAAUAUACAUUGACAUGUAAAAAGUGCACUUUUAUCAAAAAGAUAUUUAUACUAAUAUUACAGUCAUUUUUUUUUCGAAAAUUCAACUUUUCAUGCAAAUAUGUAAUCAAUAUGCAUAAAUAGAUAGCAUUAGAUGAAUUUAAACAAGUAGCCUUCAAAUUUAAAAAUAUUUGAUUUCGUAAAUGUGCAUUCGCGAUUUAGAAAAAGUACUUUUCAAAUGGCAAAUCUAGAGAGCAAUAAAUACUCCUAGUUUAUUUUGAUUUUAAAUCUUCUUUUGACUUGUCAAAAAAGUGAAAACAUGAAACUAAUAAUGGGUCAGAUGCAGAUGAGUAUUAGAAAUUUGUUUUCUAGACUCUUUGGUCUCGCAAUUUUUUCAACAAUCAACUCCGACCAUUAUCACGGUCAUGUGAUUGUAGGUCUACCAGGUUUCGUAGUCCACGACAUGGAUUGGAUAUGUUGAUUAGCUGCCACCUUUUGGCGGAGGUGAGGUUCAAACCUCACCUGUAGUAAAAAAAAAAAAUUUAAGGGUUGUGUCAUAGUACUUUCUUGAUUUAGUUGAAUAUGUAUAUCCACUAACACCUAACACAAGUCUCCUUAUGCUCCCCUAGAUUAGGAUAGAAUAGGAUAUACAAUUGUAUCGUUGCCGAAAAAAAAUAUUAGUUGCCACCCUAUUGUCAUUAUUUUUCUUUUGUCAAUCAGCAACGUCUAUUCUAUUCAUAGUUAUUAAACCCGGCCCGGGAAGGAGUCCGGUGAAAGAGCUGAGUCAACGGGUUACUGGUUUAACCGGUGGGUGAGUGGUCCAACCGUUAGGUCACUACAUAUAUUUAAAUAUUAUGUUUUAUAAUUUUUUACGCCAUAAUAAAUAUUCAGUUAGUUUAAUUUAUUAUAGAUUCAUUAAUUUUUAUAAGAAUUAACAACCUAAAUUUAAUUAGUAAUCCACCAACUUUCAAGUAUAAAAUUUUAUCUCAGUGUAAUUAUCUAGUUUAUUUAUGAAUUUUAAGUGCAAAAGUUUAUUAAGAAUAAUAUUGGCCUUUAAAAUGAUUUGUGUAAUAUGUUAUUUUUAAGUCAAUUUCAUAAUUUAUAGAGUUCAGGGAAUAAUAAAAAUAUUAUUAAAAGAUUCCAAAUAACUAAUACUCUAAUAUAUAGUAUAAGAACAAAAUAAUUAAUAUAUGGUUGGCUGGUCUAGUGGUAAUGGUAGUCUACUUUUUUGCAUGAGAUCACGUGUUCGAAUCUCCAUUCUAGCAAUAUUUAUACAUUUUUUUCUUUUUCGUAGAACGGGUUCAAUGUUGAAACGAUCUUAUCAAGAACUCGGCUCGGUUUCAUGGCCGGUUUACCGGAUUGAUCGAUUGAACUGCCGGGCCGGGUCGGAUUUAAUAACUAUGAUUCUACUUCUAUUUUGAUUUCUAUUUUAGGGGAAGGGGAGGUCCAAUUGAAAAAUUGAUAGCUAUUGAACCAUCAUCGGAUAAAAUGAGUGCACUAUGCACGUAUGCGAAUCUAGGAGAAGCCGGCGCAAUGAUGGGAGGCAAUGUUUGAAUUUUUACCUGCCAUUCCACUAAGAUUUAUAGUCUUUGGUGGUGGCUAAUCACCCAAAGAGCUGUUGGUUAGCUCCCACCCUAUUAGAAACUAAAGGUUUUCAACCUUCUAAAAAAAAUGUUUUUGACUUUAAAAAAAAAUAUUUUUGUUUUUGUUUUUUCAAAAAUUAUUUUCAUCUAUCACCAACGGCAGUCAUGGGUUAUUUAUCCAAACAUAGAUCCGAACAACACUAAUCUCUCAGCAGCCAUCCCCUCAUUCCUUCUUGUAUCCUUUUUAUGAAUAGGAUUCAUCUUUUUGGUGUUCUAAAAUCACAUUUAAAAAGUUUUUUUCCCGAAAGUGUUAUUAUUUAGGAUGUGAAUGUUAAUUUUAAAAUUUUAAUAGUGGACCUAAAAAAAACUUGUAAAUUUUACAUAUGAGCACAAAGGGAAAAAAAAAACCACAUAACUUCAAGUCCAAGAUUGUAUGCAGUUUGUCCAAUAAAUAGAUAUUCAUAAUUCAUAAUUUCAUAUAUACAUGUUAACUAAAAGCGUUAAUCACAAUCCAAUUAUAUUGAUCUGUUCAAACCCGUUCACUAAUAAUCCGUCCAAAUUGGCCCAUUAACUUUAAAUGGGUUAAAGUGAGUAUAUAAGUAAACCCAUUUAAUUGGUGGAUAGUUGAUUGAUUCGUCUUACCCAUUUAUACCUAUUUAAAAAUAAAUAUACAUUUAAACUCAAAUUUUACUAAAUGUUAAGAAGAUAAAUUUGAAUUUCCUACGAAUCUAAUAAUAAUAAAAUAUCAUUUUUCUUGUCAAACAACAUGUGAAAUAUAAAAAAAAAAGUAGAAUUUCAAAUUAAUCAUAAAUGAGUAAUUGAGUAUUCUCAUAUCUAUUUGUUAAAUGGAUAUAAAUGAAUUGAUUCAAUUAUAACUAUUACUCAACUAGAAUCCGCUCAAACCCGUCUAAGUUAAUCAUUUGACACCCCUAAUGUUAAUAUAUAUUGACAAGUGAAAAGUGCAGCAUUUAUCACGAAGAUAUACUUAUUUAUCUCAAUAUUAAAGUCAUUUUUUCAUUACAAAAAUAUUGAUAAUUUCAUAAUUUCAUGGAAGUAUGUAACCAGUGACAUAACAUAGUCGCCAGUGGCGAAUCUUGUCACGAGUCCUCUUUUCAACACUUUGAUUAUGGGAUACACUUUUAACAAUAUGCCCCCACGUUGUUUUUCGAUCACUUUUUUUUUUUAAACCUCACAUUCGUUCGUUAUGUAUGUAUAAUUUCUUUUCAAAAAACUCCAAAAAAGUGGCAGCCCAAACGGGGCCAACAAUCUACUAUGUUCGGCUGUUCUCCCGCCGGACCCACCGCCGGCGGCCAAUAGCCGCCGGACCCACCGGCCGGCGGCGGCUGAUGGCCGGCGGCGGCCAUGGGUCAUCUAUAAAAGCAUAGAUCAAGACUACACUAAUCCCUCAUCAGUCCAGUCCAUCCAUACUUCUUCUUCAGGCCUCAGCUACUAAACAAUAAACUCUGCUCCACUCAAUUCUUUCCUCUGUUUCUUGUGGUUUUUGUCUGAAAAUGGCGGCAUCAGAAGAAGUGAAAGUGCCAAGAAUCAAGCUGGGGUCGCAAGGUUUUGAAGUUUCAGCUCAAGGGCUGGGCUGCAUGGGCAUGUCAGCCUUCUACGGGCCGCCAAAGCCCGAGCCUGAUAUGAUCAAACUCAUCCACCAUGCUAUUAGCAGAGGCAUCACCCAUCUUGACACCUCCGAUAUCUAUGGACCUCACACCAACGAAAUACUCAUUGGCAAGGUACCGUAUUUGCAAAUUUUCUGCUGUUGUGUGCCAUGCAUAAACUCUUGUACUUCUAAUUUCUAAAAGAGCAUAUUUGUAAGUAUUUUAGUUGGGUAUAUUAUAUUUAAACCCCUGCACUUGAAAUCUUGUCGCCCUUUAUAUUAUAUACGACAACUGGUCACAUCAAAGUGAAAGAGGAGGGCACUGUAAUUUUUUAUAUUGAAAGGUAUUUAUGUGUAAUUAUCAGAAACUUCAGGGGAGGUUUCUGAAAUUAUCCCUAAUAUUUAUACUAUAUAUAAAGGGAGCCUUAAAUUUGGUGUAAACUUUUUUUUGUCAUCUUUUAGAUUUCCAGCUUCACCCUCUCGAUCACUUAAUUAUACCACCAUAUUGCUAAUCAGCUUAACCACAAAUUAACUUUCACCCCAAUUAUCUAAAUAUAUAUUGCCUACAUAACUACCUACAAACAUUGUAACCAACAAGUUAAUUAAAAUUCUAUUAAAGAACUAUUUUUUUGACAAAUAUUCAAAAAACUAGUAAAAGAACUAUAUUGUCUCCCUUAAUUUUGUUUGUCAGCACUUAAACUCCAUCUGUUUAAAUUGUAAGUAUUAUUAGUCAAAUAAGACAAUAAUAUUCUUCAUUUUUUCAGAUGUUUGUCCUCAAUUGUAAGAGAAGGUUGUAGGUCUAGCACAUACGUUGAAUAGCUGUAUCCGAUUAGAAGGAUUUAGAACUCUUCUACCAUCUCUUUUUUUUUUCUUUUGUUUUUUCCUUCAAAAUUCUACAUCAUAACGGAGUUGGUAAAAUAGUACUAUUUUCGUCUUUGAAGUUAAAAUUGUCAUCAAUUUAUGGAAAGUUUACUAUUACUCUGAUAAGAGAUGUUAAAAUUUACUUUUUACGAGCACUAAAGUUUUAAAGAUUAUGAAAAGAGAAUUGUAUGAAGGAAUAGAAGGGAAAAGAAAGGUAAGAAAAUGGAUGGAUUGUGUUUGGAUUGAUUUUGGGUGGGGAAAGGAGAGGAAACGGAAAGAAAAGGAAAUGGAUGGAUUGUGUUUUGCUCAGACAUCAUUUCCAUACAAAAAUAGACGGAAACAGAGGGAAAGAAAAUCUAGUUGAUGAUUUUCUUAUAAAAUGCCUCAAGCACCCAAAUUUUACAUAAACUUGAGUAACCAUGUGUUUCAUAUCUGUAGAACUUGCCAUUUGUGAAACCUGCUUUAGAUAUGAAUUGUGGGAUGCAACAGCAGGCUAGGAAUGUUUGACUAAGCAACUUAUGUAAAUAUUUUAUCGUUAAGUGAAGUUCCUCUUUUGCUGUUCAAAAAAAAAAAAAAAAAGAGAGAGAGAAAAACCAUUCCUUUAAUGUCUGUCAUUCUACCAAACAGCAGAUUUAGGUUUUCUUUCUUUCCCAUCCAUAUCUAAUCCAAAUAAGGCAAAUGAGAACUAUUUUCCACUACUCUCCUUUCCUUUCUUUUUCACUAGGAUGUUUUAUUUAUUUAUUUAUCCUUUCCUUUGAUCCAAAUGGUUCCUAAAAGGGCCCUAAAUAAUUAUUCUACAUUGAUCAGUUCCCUAUUUUUGUAUUAAUUUGCAUGUGCACGAUUCUGUGUAUGUUCAUGUUGUGCAUCAAAUCUUGUGAAUGACAAAGCUAGAGUGUAAAUUUAAGUUGAAGAAAUAUAAACCAAAAAAGAAAAUGGAUUGGCUCCUUUAAGAGUAUCAGACUUCUAAACCCCAAGGAUUACAUAAUUUUCAUAUCCUUUGCUAUACAAAGAAGUGGCAUAGCCUUAACAAUGAAGUGCUGGAAAAACUCCAGAAGGACUGUGCCAUCCAUGAAAUCACAAUUCCGCUUGCUAUACCAUGCAUUAAUGUGUAUGCCCUUGAUGAUUAAUAUAAUGAAAUCAUGGUUCUAGGCCUUGAAGGAAGGAAUAAGAGCGAAAGUGGAGCUAGCAACAAAAUUUGCAAUCAGUUAUCAGGAUGGGAAAGUUGAUGUACGUGGUGAUCCAGCCUAUGUGAGGGCUUGUUGUGAAGCGAGUUUGAAGCGGCUUGAUGUGGACUGCAUUGAUCUCUAUUAUCAACAUCGCAUCGAUACACGUGUGCCCAUUGAAGUCACGGUUUGCUCCAUCUUGCCAUCCACCUCAUUCUUGAUGAAACAAAAGUUUGAUCAACUCCAAAUUUCGAAUAAUUCAGUUUCAUGUGCGUUUCAAUUCUUCAAAAAUUGCACAGAAAAGUUAGUCAACCUUAUGGUCUAGGCUAAUCUGCAGUAUGGUAUUGCUGAUUUAGCACAAGGCAUCCUGAAAAGUGAAAACAAUGAAAAUGUCUUAUAUUAGCUUGACAGUCCUGCUGAGGGAUAUACAGGUUGAUAUCAUGCUAUACAUUGUACAGCUUUCCUUUAGAAGCAAGAGACCUGAGCAUUCUCUUUCAUUUGAGAUAGGCUAUCCAGUUGAGUAAUGAUAUGCUAUUUACUUACCUUGUCAUUCGUUUUCAGUCGGUGCCAAAAGCACUGCAGAUAGAAGUUUUUUAGUCGAUAUCUAAAAAACGUGGUACUCAUUUUGUUCAGAGUAUAGCUUUUUGUCUAAUUGUGAAAGCCAGCUGCGACUACCCCAUUGACCUCUCUAAGCAAUUCAAAGAUUGCAGCUGCUUGCUUACAUUCAGCUUUUAUGAAAACAAUUUCUGUCUUCUUUUUCUAAUAUAGUCAGCAAAGAAUUGUCUUGUUUUUCCUGAGUAUUAGGAAGAAACUUUCUUGCAGUUUAAUCACUUAAAAUACAGGCAAGUAUAAAGGAAAUCAAGGAAAUUGACAACUGAUAAUUGAUAUGUACAGCCAUUAUUAUAUCUAGACGAAGUCAACAAUGUCGUGUAAUCAUAUUGGAGGAGCAUUAUGUUGGCAUGGUCCGGUGGGCUGUACAUAGAGAAGUAUCACUGGAUGCUUAUUGCCAUUUUUGUCAAUUAUUGAUUUCAGUUUGACGUAUACUUUGUCCACGACUUCAUUGAACUAGUGCAACUUUUACUUUUUUGCACGUAAUAUUUCGAUUAUCUGCCUAAGUAUUGAAUGUAAUAAAUCAGCUUUGCAUUUUCUUGUCCAUUGAAAUUCUCUAGAUAGGAGAGCUCAAGAAACUGGUUGAAGAGGGUAAAAUAAAGUAUAUAGGUCUGUCUGAGUCCUCAGCUUCAACAAUUCGAAGAGCACAUGCUGUUCACCCAAUAACAGCUGUGCAGUUGGAGUGGUCAUUGUGGAGCAGAGAUGUCGAGGAGGAGAUUAUUCCCACUUGCAGGUAGUGCAUAUAUUCUGCUGCAUUUUCUACGUGGUCUAGAAGAAAUAUGAAGUUCUUAAUUCAGUUUUUGGUAUAAUCUUUCAGAGAGCUUGGAAUAGGGAUUGUUGCAUACAGUCCACUUGGAAGAGGAUUCUUCUCUUCAGGUCCAAAGCUGGUCGAGAAUUUGGCUGAAGGUGACUGCCGAAAGGUUUGUGCAUAUCCAAAACUAUGAAGUUUUUGAGUAUAGAUUGUUUAUAGUUCGAAUAAGUUUCUCACUCAUCUACUUUUACCACUUCAGUGACAAUCUUGCUUGAUAUCCCUAUUCUUGUCUAUCUGUCAUAUGUUGCUGCACUUUUUGAUGUCCAAUAAUUUGAUUAAGCCUUAUAAUAUGAUCACAUUUAAUCAAAUUUCUAUUAAGCAGAGCAAAUCAACAGGCUUUUUUUUUUUUCCUGUCGAACAAGUCUUGAGGUCUUUAGUUGAUUGAAUGAAUUCAGAUUUUGGUGUCCUCUGUAUUUAGUUCAAAUUAAAAGAUAUGGCGCUAGCUUUGUCAGAUUUUAGAUCUUAUAUUAAUUGAAGGUUGUUAUUGCAUGCUGGACAACAAUCACAAGCAAUCGAUAGUAUCGAAUUUUAAAGUGCAAAGAUGUCCUAAGACGUCAAAACAGGAAGAAACUAUGUCACUUUUUAUGUAAAAGUCUCUUUUCAGUUUUGAGGGGAAAUGGACCUUGGACUUCAAUUUCAUCAUUUAGUCUCAGGCACAGAAUUUCAUCAUUUUGUCCUGUGAAACUAUCAUUUUUCCUUUACCAUUAAUCCUAAAACUGAGUUUCAUUGGUCAGAAGUGUACUUCUUAGUACAAACAAUAGUUGAUAUGCAUUUUAAGGUUCCCCUUUGAUGGGAAAUGUAUCUCAGAACUUAACUCCAACAGUUGAUGUUUCCUACUUGGAUUAUUCAGUCCACCUUGAUGCAUUGUUCUUUGCCCUGAACUUGUGUCCUUCAAACAAUAUUGCUGAUCAUCUUGAAGUAAUGUACCGUCUGUUCAUUUCUCCCUUCUGAUUUCUUGCAUUAUAGUUUGCUCUUUAAUGGGAAAUGUAUCUCAUGAUCUACCUUCUACAAUUAAUGUUUCUUAAGAGUACUCAGUCCAGCUUACUGGAUUGUUCUUUCCCCUGAACUUUGUACACCUCAAACAAUACUAUUGAUCAUCUUGAAGUUAUUCAUAUUGUCUUCAUUUGUAGACGACACAUGCUUCACUUCCUUUUGCAUUUCUGGCGUUACAGUAGCAUAAAAUUUUGAAAUUCAUACAAUGUAGGGUAUGCCAAGGUUUCAAGCAGAGAAUUUGGAGCACAACAAGAACUUGUACGAGCAGGUCAAUGCCAUUGCUUCAAGGAAGGGUUGUACCCCAUCACAGCUAGCUUUGGCCUGGGUCCAUCACCAAGGCAAAGAUGUUUGCCCCAUACCUGGCACUACCAAGAUUGAGAACCUCGAUCAGAAUAUAGGAGCUUUGUCUGUGAAACUGUCGGCAGAGGAAAUGGCGGAACUUGAAUCUAUUGCUUCGGCUAUCAAGGGUGAGAGAUACGAGUCUGACGCUGGGCUUGGUACUUGGAAAACUUCUGAAACUCCGCCUUUGUCAACCUGGAAGCGGACAUGAAGACAUACCUUUGUUAUGGCAAUAAUUCCUUCUAGCUAUGUGCCUGAUGGUGGAUUUCACUAUAUUGAGAGUUGAGUGAUAUGUAAUUGUUCCAAUAAAUUUUGACAUACUAUUGUCUCUAGGGCUAUGUCAAGUAAAGUUAUAAGAAGAAUGGAGUAUCUUCAGAGAGGUUGUAAUAAAUAAAGAUCUGGUCAUGUAAAAGCAGAAUAUAAUCUUCCUUGCAGUUGAAUGCAUUAAGAGUUAUAUAUUGUACUUUUGAAUGAUAAAGUGGUCCAUUUUUUAUGUGCUACUGCUACGAGAGUUAUAGAUUGUUGAACAGCAUUCAAUUCAGGACUUAUUAAACAUAAGCAUAUAAACAUUUUAUUCUCGGAAUAUUUACAUCAAAAGAAACUCCAAGGUCACAUCAUUGUAAAGUGUAAACUAUAUCAUAUUAAUAAAAAGCAAAAAAAAUGUCUAAAUGAGGAAAAAAAUGUACUAUAGAAGAAGUCAACAAUGUCAUGUAAUCAUUUUAUCCUAAAAUUGAGAUUCAAAUUUAGUUGAUUUGUAUUUUGAGUUUCCUCUUUGAUGGGAAAUGUAUCUCAGAACUUUAACUCCAACAGUUGAUGUUUCCUACUUGGAGUACUCAGUCCACCUUGAUGCAUUGAUCUUUCCCCUGAACUUGUGCCCGUCAAACAAUAUUUCUGAUCAUCUUGAAGUAAUUAGUACCAUCUGUUCAUUACUCCCUUCUGAUUUCUUGCAUUAUAGUUUCCUCUUUAAUAGGAAAUGUAUGUCAAGAUCUACCUUCUACAAUUGAGAUUUCUUAGAGUACUCAGUCCACCUUACUAGAUUGUUCUUUUCCCUGAACUUUGUUCACUUCAAACAAUACUAUGAUCAUCUUGAAGUUAUUCGUAUUGUUGUCUUUUGUAGACGACACAUGCUUUACUGCCCUUUGAAUUUCUGCAUUGCAGUUGCUUAAAUUUUGAAAUUCCUACAAUGUAGAAUAUGCCAAGGUUACAAGUAGAGAAUUUUAGAAUUUUAAUCCAAAUGGCAUUACAUUCCAUUCAUAAUGACCAAAAGGGGUUGUGAAUGUUGUUUUAUAUCUAUCUUUUGGUGUUAUUAAUAUUUGCCAAUAUCCUGAUUUUAGAUCAAACUUUGAAAAGAUUUUUGCUUUAAAUAAUCUAUUAAGCAAAUCUUUUUUAUUAGGAAUUGAAUAUCUGAUCCAUUGUAAAACUUUAUUUAAUGGUUUGUAAUUUAUUACUGAAAAAAGAAACCACCAAAGACCUUCAAACAGAAAUUAAUGAUCUUAAAAUACAAGUAAAACAACUACAGCGAGAAAUUAUAGAAUUAAAAACAAAAGAUUUAGAAAUAGAAGCAAAAAUAACAUUAAUAGAAAAUCAACCUUCAACUUCCAAUUCUAAAACAGAAGAAAUAAGUAUAUCAGAAAGACCAACAGAUGAAAUUCAAUAUUUAAAUACAAUAGAGAAAAUGAUAUUUCAAAAAUGGUAUGCUUUAGUAACUAUUACAGUAGAAGAUUUCAAAGAAACAUAUGUACCUUUAAUAGAUAGUGGAGCUAAUUCAAGUUGUAUUAAAGAAGGAAUAAUUCCUACUAAAUAUUGUGAAAGAACAAAAGAAACAUUAAUGGCAGCAAAUGGAGAAAAUUUACAAGUAAAAUAUAAAUUUACAAAAGGAUCAAUAUGUAACAAUGAAUAUUGUAUUAAACAUAAUUUUAUAAUUGUAAAAAAUAUAAAUCAUGAUAUAAUAUUAGGAACACCUUUUUUAAUUCAAAUUUACCCAUUUCAGUAAGUCAUGAAGGAAUUUCAAUAAAUAUAAUGGGAAAAACUGUUAUUUUUAAAUUUCUAACUCCAAUAAAACAAAGAGAAUUACAGACAUUACAAACAUCUUCUAUUUACAAAACAAUAAAUAGUAUUACUAGAGUACAACAACAAAUAAAUUAUAUUAAGGAAGAAAAAUCUUAUUUAAAAAUUGAAGAACAAUUAAAAGAAAGUAAAAUAUUAAAAAUAAUCUCAGAAUUAGAAGAACUAUUAGAAAAAGAAAUUUGUGCAGAUAUUUCUAAUGUUUUUUGGGAUAGAAAACAACAUAUGACAGAAUUACCUUACGAAACAGGUUUUAAUGAAAAAAAUAUUCCAACUAAAGCAAGACCAAUACAAAUGAAUUCUGAUUUAUUAGAAUUUUGUAAAAAGGAAAUAAAGACAUUAAUAGAUAAAGGAUUAAUAACACCUUCAAAAUCACCUUGGAGUUGUGCUGCAUUUUAUGUAAUGAAUCAAGCUGAAAAAGAAAGAGGAGUUCCAAGAUUAGUAAUAAAUUACAAACCAUUAAAUAAAGUUUUACAAUGGAUCAGAUAUCCAAUUCCUAAUAAAAAAGAUUUGCUUAAUAGAUUAUUUAAAGCAAAAAUCUUUUCAAAUUUUGAUCUAAAAUCAGGAUAUUGGCAAAUAUUAAUAACACCAAAAGAUAGAUAUAAAACAGCAUUCACAACACCUUUUGGUCAUUAUGAAUGGAAUGUAAUGCCAUUUGGAUUAAAAAAUGCACCAUCAGAAUUUCAAAAUAUAAUGAAUAAUAUUUUUAAUCCUUAUAGUUCAUUCAGUAUAGUUUAUAUAGAUGAUGUAUUAAUAUAUUCGGACUCAUUAGAACAACAUUUUAGACAUUUAAAUAUAUUUUUAAAAAUAGUUAAGAAAAAUGGAUUAGUCGUGUCAGCACCAAAAAUGAAACUAUUCCAAACUAAAAUAAGAUUUUUAGGACAUGAUAUAUAUCAAGGAACGAUAAAACCAAUUAAUAGAGCUUUAGAAUUUGCUACUAAAUUUCCAGAUGAAAUAAAAGACAAAAAUCAAUUACAAAGGUUUUUAGGAUGCUUAAAUUAUAUAGCAGAUUUUUUCCAUAAAUUAAGACAAGAAUGUUCUAUAUUAUUUAAUAGACUAAAGAAAAACCCAAAACCUUGGACAGAAGAACAUACUCAAAAAAUAAAAUAUUUAAAAGAAAAAAUUGACUCAUUACCAUGUUUAUGUUUACCACAUCCUAAAGCAUUCAUGAUAGUUGAAACAGAUGCAUCAGAAUUAGGAUACGGGGGUAUAUUAAAACAAAGAAUAGAAGAAUCAAAAGAAAAAUUAGUUAGAUAUCAUUCAGGAACAUGGUCUGACUCUCAAAAGAAUUAUUCAACCAUUAAAAAGGAAAUUUUAUCAAUAGUUUUAUGCAUAUCAAAAUUUCAAAAUGAUUUAUAUAACAAAAAAUUUUUAAUUAGAAUAGAUUGUAAAUCUGCAAAAGAAAUUUUACAAAAAGAUGUUCAAAAUAUAGUUUCAAAACAAAUAUUUGCUAGAUGGCAAGCUAUUUUAUUUGUUUUUUAUUUUGAAAUUGAAUUUAUAAAAGGAGAAAAUAAUUCAUUACCAGAUUUUCUUACUAGAGAAUUUUUACAAGGACAUGGAUCGUGAAAUGAUGGCCCAAAGAACUGAUCGAGAAUAUACCAAUUACCUAAGAACUCAAAGAGAUUCUCCUAAACUAUUAAACAAAGAAGCAGCUUUUCAAUUCAGAGGAUAUCAAUAUUUUAUUCAGACCAGUAAUGGAAGACAAAGUAUUCCAGCCUAUCAAAUUUCCAAACAUGAUACAGUGUAUAUUCAGAAAAGCCAUUUCGCAACCCUUACACCAAAGGAGAGAGCUUUUCUCAUUCAAAGAGAAAUUCAGAGAAACACUAUCAGAAUUCAAGUCCUAAGGAGAUCAGGAAGAAAUGAGGAAUUUCUUCAACAUUACAAAGAUCAAAAUAAAUAAUUAUCUAAUCAACUUAAAGAUGUUGUUUAUUGAUUUUGCAGGAACAUGGAUUCAAAAGCAGGAAAUUCUAAACCCAAGACUCCUCAAGAUUAUGAGAUGAGUCUUACUCCUGUAAAUCAAAAUAGAUUUCAAUUAUUGCAAGAUUUUCCAGCAUUGACUUAUAGUCAAGCUGCUCAUACUCCAACUUCUUCCCAAAUAAGACCUCUUCAACAAAUUCUAAAAACCUCAGAAAAAUCUAAUGAAAACUCUUAUUUCACAAAGCCAUCUACUCAACAUAUCACUUUAACCAGAUUUCAAGAAAUACCGUUAUAUUCUACACUCAAUCAGCUUAUUCAAAGAAUCUUUCCACAAAAAUAUUAUUGGCAACUUGAUGACCCUUCAAAAAAUUUGGAUUAUUAUGAAUUAAUUCUUACAGAUACUCAAUCUGUAGAAAUAUUCCCCAUUCCAGAUAGAAAAAAUCUAAUUAGUCAUUCAAAAUGUAUAAUAAAGAAAGUUUGUUCUCCUAAUGAAUGGACUUCUCUUUAUUCAAAGAAAUCUUUUUCAGUCAGAUUUAUUCCAAAUAGAUUUACUUAUCAAGAUUACAAAAUGGCACGGUAUCGUGCUUUUUUGUAUAGACCAUUCAAUCAUUCGUGGUUCUUUACAUUCAAAGAAAGUUGCAGUAGAGAAUUCCCAAUUUGGUUCAAUCACUGGUGGAAAUGGUUUGGCCAUCAACCAGAAAUUCUACCUCCAAAUGUUCUUAUGGGAUUCCAAACUUAUCUCAAAAAAGCAAAGGGGGAGGAGUAUACAAGGCCAAUACUAUUCCAUAUGUAAUUCAAAGUACCAUGGAUUUUUUGCUGGAGUUUCAAGAUUCAUCAAGAAUUAGAAAAAUCACUCCCAAUGUCUCUAGUCAGAGAAUUCAAAAUCAAAUGGUGGAUAGGAUUUAAUCAAGAAUUUGGAGAUCAGGCAAAUGUGAUAAGAUUUUUAACAACCGGAGACAAACUCAAAUGGACAAGUCAGCCAACCACUUCAACCACUUCAACAAUUAUGCCAACCACUUCAACAACUAUGCCAACCACUCCAACCAUUCCAAAAAAGAAAGAUAAAGAAAAAGUUAUGGUAUCUGAGGUAAUUACAAACGACUUUUUGAAGAAAAAGAUGAUGCAGAAUCCCGAGAUGCUUAAAGAAUAUUUUGACUAUUUACAAAAGCAGGAUAAGAAUGAAGAAACCGACAAAAUUGAUGAGUCGGCUGGAUCAUUCGAAUCUACUUUUGAUCCUUUCGGGGGACCAUGCGGACAAGACCCAAAUGACUUUUGAAAAAAGAUGUCGGCCAUAUUUCAAAGAAAGGCAAAUGAAAUUCAAAUGAAAAUGAAAUGCAAGAACAGAUGAUUCUAUAAAUAGAUUCAAGAUCAGAAAACAAAGCAUCGGUGAAAAAAGAGAACAAAACCUUCCCGUGUAAAAAUCCUUAGAAAAAUCUCCCAAUCUCUCUUAUUCAACUACUCUUGUAUUCAACUACUUUUGCUUCCUUCUUCAAAUAUUUUAAUAAGAAGUGCAAGGAUUCAACAAAUAUCAAGCUUCCGUUAUCAAAGGCAACUCUAAAUUUUCAGUAAGUCUAAUCGUUUAAUUUCUAUGAACAUUUCAAUAGAAAGGAACCUGGGUAGAAGUGGUAUCAGAGCCACAUAGACGUGCAUAUUUAAACUUUGUUAUUACAAUUACUUCAUUUGAAUUAUUUUCUAUUUUGAUUUGGCUAAUUCAUGCAUUUAUGUUUACGUAUUUUAUUAAACUUUUACUGAAAUCAUUGGUAAGACUUUGAUGCCUUGUUAGACCGUUGGUAAGUCCAGGGUAGGAUGUUCCCAGCAUAGUGCUCAAUUGUUCCGGAUUAGGUAAAAAUUUAAUUAAUAUUAAACAUGGCUGCAUUUCUUAGACAAUUAAAAAUAGGAUCUAAUUCAAAGCAAACUAAUGUAGUACAAAGUCAUGAAUAUCAUAUGCCCAUAAAUAAUUCAGAUUGGACAAUUUCAGAAGAAAAAAUAGAACAUAUUUAUCGAAUAGGCCCUUUAGAUUUCAAAACAACUUUAUCAGUAAAAACACAUGAAGAAACAAUAUAUAUUCAAGAAGAAUAUCAAUCCAUUCCAUUAUUAAAUCAUAGUACAAUUCAAAGAUAUUUAAGUAAAGGAUAUCGAUAUAUUCAUAUAGGUUUGAUACAAAUUGCAGUAAAACCUUUAUUCCAUUUAGGAGUAGAUGCUCCUAUAUAUUUAGCAUUAAGAGAUACUAGACUCAAAAGAUAUAAAACUUCUUUACUUUCUAUGAUUCAAACUAAUGUAUGCAAUGGACCCAUAUAUUUUAACUGUGCUCCAAAUUUCUCAAUAGAUCUAACAGACCCACACAUUCUGAAUUCAGUCAUAUUAGAUAUUCACCUACAAGAAAAUGAAUUUGAAAAACAUACAAAGAAUUUUACAAUAAUAUAUAGAAUAUAUUAUAGACCCCUAUCUUCACAUUUAAAUCCUAAAUUUAUAAUGACUCCAACUCUUAAAGAAGAAACAACUUUAUUACAAGUAGAUGCAGAUAGACCCACAACUUAUAUUCCAAAAAGACUAAAAUGGAAUGAAAUAACUAUACUUAGUGAAUUUGAAAUUAAAAAUCCACAAAAAACAAGAAAUAUAGAACAAACCACUGCAGAAGAUAUUAUAGAGAAAUUUGAUGGUAAUACUUUAAUAAGAUUUUCAUCAUUAAGAAAAAAAUCUGAUUCAACUUAUUCUUGGCUACCAGCUAGACAUUCUAAUUAUGAAUCAACUGAAAUUAAUUUUUCUUUAGAAAGUACCUCAAAUUUUAAGUAUAAAACUCCUAUUCCAGAAGUUAUAAAUCAAAAUCAAUCAGAAUAUUCUCCAACCCAUUCACAAAUGAAAGGAGAAAUAAAUGUUAUAAAUAAAUCAUAUAAAAUAAAUCAUAAAUAUUUACAAGAAGAUUUUGAAGAUAAAGAAAAUACUGAAAAAAGAAUUUGAUUUUUUCAACUAGAAUCUGAAUAUAAAAGAAAAUUAAUUCUAGAAUGGAAAAGUGAAUUAGAAAAGCAAAAAUUUGAUUUCCCUUUCUUCACUUGGUUAUCAUACUAUACUGAAAAAAUAAGAAUAAAUGAUAUAUAUAAUACACCUCAAAUAAAUGUUCAAACUAAUUUAUACAAAAAAUGGAAAUUAAAAGAUGAUCAAAUAAUAACAUCUAUACAUCCUCCGUUACAAGAAGUAAAAAUUAAUAUAGGACAAGGAGAUAUAAUAGUCUCACUUUUUAAAAAGGGUAGAGAAGCUGAAUCGAAUUCAAAUAAUACAAUAAAUUUAGAAGAUAUUAAAAAGGUUUAUCAACAAAAUAAUUAUACCAAUCAAAUUCUUCAUACAAUUUCUCAACAUAUGGAAGUAUUAAAUGCAAAAAUAGAUACCAUAAAGAAACUAGAAUUAAAAUUCCCUAAUGAUAUUUCAGCACCUCAUUUUCAACCUAGAAGUUUGACAAGAGAAAAAGAACAAGAUUUAGUUCAAAAUAUUAAUAAUCAAAAAAUAAAUAAUACAUACAAUAUAUUAAAUAAAAUAUCUCAGGCAUUACAAAACUUAAAUAUAGAAGUAAAACCUCCAACACCUAGGAUAAAUGUUUUAGAUCAAAUAAUAGAAGAAAGUUCAUCAGAAAAAUUAGACAAUUCAUCUGAAGAAUCAAUAAAUUCAGAAAUGGAAGAAAAUAUAAUUUUACCAAUAGAAAAAUAAUUUGAAAAAAAAGAAAAUAAUCAAAUAAAUAAAAUAAGAAGAAAAAGAAUUUACAAUAAAAAUAAUAAAGAUUGGAAAAUGAUAAGUAAUAGAAAUUAUUAUCCAAGACCUAGUCCUCCAGACAUUCAAUAUGAAGAAAGAUCAAAAUUUCGUACCACUAAAUAUGAUGGAGAUUCAAUAUAUGAAUAGAACAUAGAUGGCAAAGCAGAAUAUGAAGUAUUAAAUAAUUUAUAAGAAAUGGGAAUGGCUAGAUUAGCUUAUAAAAUUAAAAAUAUUCAAGAAAGAAAUAUUGCAACAUUAUUAGUUUCAGGAUUUACUGGACAAUUAAAAAAUUGGUGGGAUAAUGCUUUAACAUUACAAGAUAAAUUAUCAAUACUAGAUCAUACACAAGAAAUUGAAGGUGAUCAAGGAAAUAUUCAAAUACAAUCAGAUGCUGCAGAAUUUCUAAUUGUAACAAUAGUAAUGUAUUUUAUAGGAAACCCAAAAGAGGAAUUAAACUCUAAUAAAACAUUUCUAACAAAUUUAAGAUGUCCAACAUUAUCAGACUUUAGAUGGUAUAAAGAUAUGUUUUUAACUAAUGUAUUAAGAAGACCAGAUUGCAAUGCUUCAUUUUGGAAAGAAAGAUUCAUAACAGGAUUACCAAACUUAUUUUCACAAAGAAUAAUGGAUAAUUUACAAAAGAAAAUGGGAACAAAUGUAAUUUCAUUCGAAAAUAUUACUUUUGGACAAUUAUUUGCUUUUGUGAAAAAAGAAGGAUUAAUGUUAUGUUCAGAAUUAAAAUUACAAAUAAAAUAUGGUUCAAAAACAAAAGAAGUAAGAUCAUUUUGUGAUGCAUUUGGAAUUAAAAGAAUUAAAUUACCAUCUGCAUAUAAAAAGAAAGUUAAAAAAUAUAAUAAGAAAAUAAGAUACAAAAGAUCUAAAGAAGAUAAACCAGAAAAGAAGAAAAGAUUUAUUAAGAACAAAAUAGUCUGUUACAAAUGCGGAAAAAUAGGCCAUAAAGCAAACAAAUGUAAAUUAAAAGAAAAAAUUAAGGAGAUUUGUACACAAGACGAAGAAAUUAAAAACAAAUUAAUAAAUUUAUUAAUAAAUGAAAAAGAUUAAAGUUCUGAAGAUGAUUAUUAUAAUGAUAUAUCUAGUUCAGAAAGUGAAGAAAAUUGUAAUUGUGCUAAUACUUCAAAAUACAUAAAUAUUAUAACUAAAAAAGAGAAUAAAGAAUUUUUAUUAGAUAUAAUAGAAAAAAUUGAUGACCCAAUAGCUAAAAAAGAAUAUUUAGAAAGAUUAAAAAGUCUAAUUAUACAAGAAGACAAAAUGCCAAAGAUAAUAGAACCUUUUAGUAUUUCUAAAUUAAUAGAUAAAUAUCCAAACAUAAAUAUAAUGAAAAAAGAAACCACCAAAGACCUUCAAACAGAAAUUAAUGAUCUUAAAAUACAAGCAAAAUAACUACAGCGAGAAAUUAUAGAAUUAAAAACAAAAAAUUUAGAAAUAGAAGCAAAAAUAACAUUAAUAGAAAAUCAACCUUCAACUUCCAAUUCUAAAACAGAAGAAAUAAGUAUAUCAGAAAAACCAACAGAUGAAAUUCAAUAUUUAAAUACAAUAGAGAAAAUGAUAUUUCAAAAAUGGUAUGCUUUAGUAACUAUUACAGUAGCAGAUUUCAAAGAAACAUAUGUACCUUUAAUAGAUAGUGGAGCUGAUUCAAGUUGUAUUAAAGAAGGAAUAAUUCCUACUAAAUAUUGUGAAAGAACAAAAGAAACAUUAAUGGCAGCAAAUGGAGAAAAUUUACAAGUAAAAUAUAAAUUUACAAAAGGAUCAAUAUGUAACAAUGAAUAUUGUAUUAGACAUAAUUUUAUAAUUGUAAAAAAUAUAAAUCAUGAUAUAAUAUUAGGAACACCUUUUUUAAUUCAAAUUUACCCAUUUUCAGUAAGUUAUGAAGGAAUUUCAAUAAAUAUAAUGGGAAAAACUGUUAUUUUUAAAUUUCUAACUCCAAUAAAACAAAGAGAAUUACAGACAUUACAAACAUCUUCUAUUUACAAAACAAUAAAUAGUAUUACUAGAGUACAACAACAAAUAAAUUAUAUUAAGGAAGUAAAAUCUUAUUUAAAAAUUGAAGAACAAUUAAAAGAAAGUAAAAUAUUAAAAAGAAUCUCAGAAUUAGAAUAACUAUUACAAAAAGAAAUUUGUGCAGAUAUUCCUAAUGCUUUUUGGGAUAGAAAACAACAUAUGAUAGAAUUACCUUACGAAACAGGUUUUAAUGAAAAAAAUAGUCCAACUAAAGCAAGACCAAUACAAAUGAAUUCUGAUUUAUUAGAAUUUUGUAAAAAGGAAAUAAAGACAUUAAUAGAUAAAGGAUUAAUAACACCUUCAAAAUCACCUUGGAGUUGUGCUGCAUUUUAUGUAAUGAAUCAAACUGAAAAAGAAAGAGGAGUUCCAAAGGUGCUGCAAGGCGCGCAAAUAAGUGCAGAAGAAUACGAGAUUAUGAAGGACCUGAUUAUUCCACUUGGUAGAGUUCCUCAAUUUGCGAUGCAGUGUGGCGCUUAAAUUGUGACUAAAUAGCUUCCCUCAACUCCGUCGCCCAUUUUGCUCGUCGGGAUUCUCUAAUGGGGUUGCUGCUGGAAAAUUUACCUGCUGGAAAUUUAAUGUUCGUACACUUCUUUUUGGUUCUUCCGAGUUGAAAUUCCUCUGUCUAGGUAAGAUAACCUUACCAGCCCCUCCUUUGCUCCGGAUCCCUGAGGCGUCAAUUUGAAUUGUGAACCUCUUCAAUGAGAGACGACACAAGAAAUGGGUGGAUUUAAUCUGUUUGAGUUUCCACUUAAAAAUCAUCCUGUAUGUUGCAGAUGGCACAAGCUUAGCCAUGGCGAUGAAGGAAUAAUUAGCAAAAAGUAACAGAUGAAGGAAUAAUUAGCAGGAGGGUUCCGAAAUUACUCCCUUUGAGAAACACAUAUUUUGGCUUGUUCUCAGUUCAUUUAUAUAUAUAUAUAUAUAUAUAUAUAUAUAUAUAUAUAUAUAUAUAUAUAUAUAUAUAUAUCUUUGCUGGGCUCUAAACUUUUGGUGUAAAAAAUUUAAAAUCAAUCCAACAGCCCCAAAUUGGGUAUUUGUUUUUCAAUUUAUAUUCAAUUACAGACAUUUUUUAGUUUCAUGUCCUGGAGUCUUAGCCCAGCAGUUGACAAUAAUGUAAAGGAUAUGAUAUUGAAAAAAAAAAAAGAGGAGUUCCAAGAUUAGUAAUAAAUUACAAACCAUUAAAUAAAGUUUUACAAUGGAUCAGAUAUCCAAUUCCUAAUAAAAAAGAUUUGCUUAAUAGAUUAUUUAAAGCAAAAAUCUUUUCAAAGUUUGAUCUAAAAUCAGGAUAUUGGCAAAUAUUAAUAAUACCAAAAGAUAGAUAUAAAACAGCAUUCACAACACCUUUUGGUCAUUAUGAAUGGAAUGUAAUGCCAUUUGGAUUAAAAAAUGCACCAUCAGAAUUUCAAAAUAUAAUGAAUGAUAUUUUUAAUCCUUAUAGUUCAUUCAGUAUAGUUUAUAUAGAUGAUGUAUUAAUAUAUUCGGACUCAUUAGAACAACAUUUUAGACAUUUAAAUAUAUUUUUAAAAAUAGUUAAGAAAAAUGGAUUAGUCGUAUCAGCACCAAAAAUGAAACUAUUCCAAACUAAAAUAAGAUUUUUAGGACAUGAUAUAUAUCAAGGAACGAUAAAACCAAUUAAUAGAGCUUUAGAAUUUGCUACUAAAUUUUCAGAUGAAAUAAAAGACAAAAAUCAAUUACAAAGGUUUUUAAGAUGCUUAAAUUAUAUAGCAGAUUUUUUCCCUAAAUUAAGACAAGAAUGCUCUAUAUUAUUUAAUAGACUAAAGAAAAACCCAAAACUUUGGACAAAAGAACAUACUCAAAAAAUAAAAUAUUUAAAAGAAAAAAUUGACUCAUUACCAUAUUUAUGUUUACCACAUCCUAAAGCAUUCAUGAUAGUUGAAACAGAUGGAUCAGAAUUAGGAUAUGGGGGUAUAUUAAAACAAAGAAUAGAAAAAUCAAAAGAAGAAUUAGUUAGAUAUCAUUCAGGAAUAUGGUCUGACCCUCAAAAGAAUUAUUCAACCAUUAAAAAGAAAAUUUUAUCAAUAGUUUUAUGCAUAUCAAAAUUUCAAGAUGAUUUAUAUAACAAAAAUUUUUUAAUUAGAAUAGAUUGUAAAUCUGCAAAAGAAAUUUUACAAAAAGAUGUUCAAAAUAUAGUUUCAAAACAAAUAUUUGCUUGAUGGAAAGCUAUUUUAUCUGUUUUUGAUUUUGAAAUAGAAUUUAUAAAAGGAGAAAAUAAUUCAUUACCAGAUUUUCUUACUAGAGAAUUUUUACAAGAACAUGGAUCGUGAAAUGAUGGCCCAAAGAACUGAUCGAGAAUAUACCAAUUACCUAAGAACCCAAAGAGAUUCUCCUAAACUAUUAAACAAAGAAGCAGUUCUUCAAUCCAAAAGAUAUCAAUGGGGGUAUAUUAAAACAAAAAAUAGAAGAAUCAAAAGAAGAAUUAGUUAGAUAUCAUUCAAGAAUAUGGUCUGACCCUCAAAAGAAUUAUUCAACCAUUAAAAAGGAAAUUUUAUCAAUAGUUUUAUGCAUAUCAAAAUUUCAAGAUGAUUUAUAUAACAAAAAAAUUUUAAUUAGAAUAGAUUGUAAAUCUGCAAAAGAAAUUUUACAAAAAGAUGUUCAAAAUAUAGUUUCAAAAUAAAUAUUUGCUAGACGGCAAGCUAUUUUAUCUGUUUUUUAUUUUGAAAUAAAAUUUAUAAAAGGAGAAAAUAAUUCAUUACCAGAUUUUCUUACUAGAGAAUUUUUACAAGGACAUGGAUCGUGAAAUGAUGGCCCAAAGAACUGAUCGAGAAUAUACCAAUUACCUAAGAACUCAAAGAGAUUCUCCUAAACUAUUAAACAAAGAAGCAGCUUUUCAAUUCAGAGGAUAUCAAUAUUUUAUUCAGACCAGUAAUGGAAGACAAAGUAUUCCAGCCUAUCAAAUUUUCAACAUGAUACAGUGUAUAUUCAGAAAAGCCAUUUCGCAACCCUUACACCAAAGGAGAGAGUUUUUCUCAUUCAAAGAGAAAUUCAGAGAAACACUAUCAGAAUUCAAGUCCUAAGGAGAUCAGGAAGAAAUGAGGAAUUUCUUCAACAUUACAAAGAUCAAAAUAAACAAUUAUCUAAUCAACUUAAAGAUGUUGUUUAUUGAUUUUGCAGGAAUAUGGAUUCAAAAGCAGGAAAUUCUAGACCCAAGACUCCUCAAGAUUAUGAGAUGAGUCUUACUCCUGUAAAUCAAAAUAGAUUCCAAUUAUUGCAAGAUUUUCCAGCAUUGACUUAUAGUCAAACUGCUCGUACUCCAAUUUCUUCCCAAAUAAGACCUCUUUAACAAAUUCCAAAAACCUCAGAAAAAUCUAAUGAAAACUCUUAUUUCACAAAACCAUCUACUCAACAUAUCACUUUAACCAGAUUCCAAGAAAUACCGUUAUAUUCUACACUCAAUCAGCUUAUUCAAAGAAUCUUUCUACAAAAAUGUUAUUGGCAACCUGAUGACCCUUCAAAAAAUUUGAAUUAUUAUGAAUUAAUUCUUACUGAUACUCAAUCUGUAAAAAUAUUCCCCACUCCAGAUAGAAAAAAUCUAAUUAGUCAUUCAAAAUGUAUAAUAAAGAAAGUUUGUUCUCCUAAUGAAUGGACUUCUCUUUAUUCAAAGAAAUUUUUCUCAGUCAGAUUUAUUCCAGAUGGAUUUACUUAUCAAGAUUACAAAAUGGCAUGGUAUCGUGCUUUUUUAUAUAGACCAUUCAAUCAUUCGUGGUUCUUUACAUUCAAAGAAAGUUGCAGCAGAGAAUUCCCAAUUUGGUUCAAUCACUGGUGGAAAUGGUUUGGCCCUCAACCAGAAAUUCUACCUCUAAAUAUUCUUAUGGGAUUCCAAACUUAUCUCAAAAAAGCAAAGGGGAAGGAGUAUACAAGACCAAUACUAUUCCAUAUGGAAUUCAAAAUACCAUGGAUUUUUUGCUGGAGUUUCAAGAUUCAUCAAGAAUUAGAAAAAUCACUCCCAAUGUCUCUAGUCAGAAAAUUCAAGAUCAAAUGGUGGAUAGGAUUUAAUCAAGAAUUUGGAGAUCAGGCAAAUGUGAUAAGAUUUCUAACAACCGGAGACAAACUCAAGUGGACAAGUCAGCCAACCACUUCAACCACUCCAACAACUAUGCCAACCACUUCAACAACUAUGCCAACCACUCCAACCAUUCCAAAAAAGAAAGAUAAAGAAAAAGUUAUGGUAUCCGAGACAAUUACAAACGACUUUUUGAUGAAAAAGAUGAUGCAGAAUCCCGAGAUGCUUAAAGAAUAUUUUGACUAUUUACAAAAGUAUGAUAAGAAUAAAGAAAUCGACAAAAUUGAUGAGUCAGCUGGAUCAUCCGAAUCUACUUUUGAUCCUUUCGGGGGACCAUGCGGACAAGACCCAAAUGACUUUUGAAAAAAGAUGUCGGCCAUAUUUCAAAGAAAGGCAAAUGAAAUUCAAAUGAAGAUGAAAUACAAGAACAGAUGAUUCUAUAAAUAGAUUCAAGAUCAGAAAACAAAGCAUCGGUGAAAAAAGAGAACAAAACCUUCCCGUGUAAAAAUCCUUAGAAAAAUCUCCUAAUCUCUCUUAUUCAACUACUCUUGUAUUCAACUACUUUUGCUUCCUUCUUCAAAUAUUUUAAUAAGAAGUGCAAGGAUUCAACAAACAUCAAGCUUCCGUUAUCAAAGGCAACUCUAAAUUUUCAGUAAGUCUAAUCGUUUAAUUUCUAUGAACAUUUCAAUAGAAAGUAACCUGGGUAAAAGUGGUAUCAGUGCCACAUAGACGUGCAUAUUUAAACUUUGUUAUUACAAUUACUUCAUUUGAAUUAUUUUCUAUUUUGAUUUGGCUAAUUCAUGCAUUUAUGUUUACGUAUUUUAUUAAACUUUUACUGAAAUCAUUGGUAAGACUUUGAUGCCUUGUUAGACCGUUGGUAAGUCCAGAGUAGGAUGUUCCCGGCAUAGUGCUCAGUUGUUUCUGAUCAGGUAAAAAUUUAAUUAAUAUUAAACAUGGCUGCAUUUCUUAGACAAUUAAAAAUAGGAUCUAAUUCAAAGCAAGCUAAUGUAGUACAAAAUCAUGAAUAUCAUAUGCCCAUAAAUAAUUCAGAUUGGACAAUUCCAGAAGAAAAAAUAGAACAUAUUUAUCGAAUAGGCCCUUUAGAUUUCAAAACAGCUUUAUCAGUAAAAACACAUGAAAAAACAAUAUCUAUUCAAGAAGAAUAUCAAUCCAUUCCAUUAUUAAAUCAUAGUACAAUUCAAAUAUAUUUAAGUAAAGGAUAUCGAUAUAUUCAUAUAGGUUUGAUACAAAUUACAGUAAAACCUUUAUUCCAUUUAGGAGUAGAUGCUCCUAUAUAUUUAGCAUUAAGAGAUACUAGACUCAAAAGAUAUAAAACUUCUUUACUUUCUAUGAUUCAAACUAAUGUAUGCAAUGGACCCAUAUAUUUUAACUGUACUCCAAAUUUCUCAAUAGAUCUAACAGACCCACACAUUCUGAAGUCAGUCAUAUUAGAUAUUCACCUACAAGGAAAUCAAUUUGAAAAACAUACAAAGAAUUUUGCAAUAAUAGAUAGAAUAUAUUAUAGACCCCUAUCUUCACAUUUAAAUUCUAAAUUUAUAAUGACUCCAACUCUUAAAGAAGAAACAACUUUAUUACAAGUAGAUGCAGAUAGACCCACAACUUAUAUUCCAAAAAGACUAAAAUGGAAUGAAAUAAAUAUACCUAGUGAAUUUGAAAUUAAAAAUCCACAAAAAGCAAGAAAUAUAGAACAAACCACUGCAGAAGAUAUUAUAGAAAAACCUGAUGGUAAUACUUUAAUAAGAUUUUCAUCAUUAAGAGAAAAAUCUGAUUCAACUUAUUCUUGGCUACCAGCUAGACAUUCUAAUUAUGAAUCAACUGAAAUUAAUUUUCCUUUAGAAAGUAUCUCAAAUUUUAAGUAUAAAACUCCUAUUCCAGAAGUUAUAAAUCAAAAUCAAUCAGAAUAUUCUCCAAUCCAUUCACAAAUGAAAGGAGAAAUAAAUGUUAUAAAUAAACCAUAUAAAAUAAAUCAUAAAUAUUUACAAGAAGAUUUUGAAGAUAAAGAAAAUACUGAAAAAAGAAUUUGGUUUUUUCAACUAGAAUCUGAAUAUAAAAGAAAAUUAAUUCUAGAAUGGAAAAGUGAAUUAGAAAAGCAAAAAUUUGAUUUCCCUUUCUUCACUUGGUUAUCAUACUAUACUGAAAAAAUAGGAAUAAAUGAUAUAUAUAAUACACCUCAAAUAAAUGUUCAAACCAUUUAUACAAAAAAUGAAAAUUAAAAGAUGAUCAAAUAAUAACAUCUAUACAUCCUCCAUUACAAGAAAUAAAAAUUAAUAUAGGACAAGGAGAUAUAAUAGCCUCACCUUUUAAAAAGGGUAGAGAAGCUGAAUCGAGUUCAAAUAAUACAAUAAAUUUAGAAGAUAUUAAAAAGGUUUAUCAACAAAAUAAUUAUACCAAUCAAAUUCUUCAUACAAUUUCUCAACAUAUGGAAGUAUUAAAUGCAAAAAUAGAUACCAUAAAGAAACCAGAAUUAAAAUUCUCUAAUGAUAUUUCAGCACCUCAUUUUCAACUUAGAAGUUUGACAAGAGAAAAAGAACAAGAUUUGGUUCAAAAUAUUAAUAAUAAAAAAAUAAAUAAUACAGACAAUAUAUUAAAUAAAAUAUCUCAAGCAUUACAAAACUUAAAUACAGAAGUAAAACCUCCAAACUAAAAUAAGAUUUUUAGGACAUGAUAUAUAUCAAGGAACGAUAAAACCAAUUAAUAGAGCUUUAGAAUUUGCUACUAAAUUUUCAGAUGAAAUAAAAGACAAAAAUCAAUUACAAAGGUUUUUAAGAUGCUUAAAUUAUAUAGCAGAUUUUUUCCCUAAAUUAAGACAAGAAUGUUCUAUAUUAUUUAAUAGACUAAAGAAAAACCCAAAACCUUGGACAGAAGAACAUACUCAAAAAAUAAAAUAUUUAAAAGAAAAAAUUGACUCAUUACCGUGUUUAUGUUUACCACAUCCUAAAGCAUUCAUGAUAGUUGAAACAGAUGCAUCAGAAUUAGGAUAUGGGGGUAUAUUAAAACAAAGAAUAGAAGAAUCAAAAGAAGAAUUAGUUAGAUAUCAUUCAUUAUAUUUUGAAAUUCUGAUGGUGCAUUUUUUAAUCCAAAUGGCAUUACAUUCCAUUCAUAAUGACCAAAAGGUGUUGUGAAUGUUGUUUUAUAUCUAUCUUUUAGUGUUAUUAAUAUUUGCCAAUAUCCUGAUUUUAGAUCAAACUUUGAAAAGAUUUUUGCUUUAAAUAAUCUAUUAAGCAAAUAUUUUUUAUUAGGAAUUGGAUAUCUGAUCCAUUGUAAAACUUUAUUUAAUGGUUUGUAAUUUAUUACUAAUCUUGGAACUCCUCUUUCUUUUUCAGCUUGAUUCAUUACAUAAAAUGCAGCACAACUCCAAGGUGAUUUUGAAGGUGUUAUUAAUCCUUUAUCUAUUAAUGAAUUUAUUUCCUUUUUACAAAAUUCUAAUAAAUCAGAAUUCAUUUGUAUUGGUCUUGCUUUAGUUGGAAUAUUUUUAUCAUUAAAACCUGUUUCGUAAGGUAAUUCUAUCAUAUGUUGUUUUCUAUCCCAAAAAACAUUAGGAAUAUCUGCACAAAUUUCUUUUUGUUAUAGUUAUUCUAAUUCUGAGAUUCUUUUUAAUAUUUUACUUUCUUUUAAUUGUUCUUCAAUUUUUAAAUAAGAUUUUUCUUCCUUAAUAUAAUUUAUUUGUUGUUGUACUCUAGUAAUACUAUUUAUUGUUUUGUAAAUAGAAGAUGUUUGUAAUGUCUGUAAUUCUCUUUGUUUUAUUGGAGUUAGAAAUUUAAAAAUAACAGUUUUUCCCAUUAUAUUUAUUGAAAUUCCUUCAUGACUUACUGAAAAUGGGUAAAUUUGAAUUAAAAAAGGUGUUCCUAAUAUUAUAUCAUGAUUUAUAUUUUUUACAAUUAUAAAAUUAUGUCUAAUACAAUAUUCAUUGUUACAUAUUGAUUCUUUUGUAAAUUUAUAUUUUACUUGUAAAUUUUCUCCAUUUGUUGCCAUUAAUGUUUCUUUUGUUCUUUCACAAUAUUUAGUAGGAAUUAUUCCUUCUUUAAUACAACUUGAAUCAGCUCCACUAUCUAUUAAAGCUACAUAUGUUUCUUUGAAAUCUUCUACUGUAAUAGUUACUAAAGCAUACCAUUUUUGAAAUAUCAUUUUCUCUAUUGUAUUUAAAUAUUGAAUUUCAUCUGUUGGUCUUUCUGAUAUACUUAUUUCUUCUGUUUUAGAAUUGGAAGUUGAAGGUUGAUUUUCUAUUAAUGUUAUUUUUGCUUCUAUUUCUAAAUCUUUUGUUUUUAAUUCUAUAAUUUCUCGCUGUAGUUGUUUUACUUGUAUUUUAAGAUAAUUAAUUUCUGUUUGAAGGUCUUUGGUGGUUUCUUUUUUCAUUAUAUUUAUGUUUGGAUAUUUAUCUAUUAAUUUAGAAAUACUAAAAGAUUCUAUUAUCUUUGGCAUUUUGUCUUCUUGUAUAAUUAGACUUUUUAAUCUUUCUAAAUAUUCUUUUUUAGCUAUUGGGUCAUCAAUUUUUUCUAUUAUAUCUAAUAAAAAUUCUUUAUCCUCUUUUUUAGUUAUAACAUUUAUGUAUUUUGAAGUAUUAGCACAAUUAUAAUUUUCUUCACUUUCUGAACUAGAUAUAUCAUUAUAAUAAUCAUCUUUAGAACUUUGAUCUUUUUCAUUUAUUAAUAAAUUUAUUAAUUUAUUUUUAAUUUCUUCGUCUUGUGUACAAAUCUCCGUAAUUUUUUCUUUUAAUUUAUAUUUGUUUGCUUUAUGUCCUAUUUUUCCGCAUUUGUAAUAGACUAUUUUGUUCUUAAUAAAUCUUUUCUUCUUUUCUGGUUUAUCUUCUUUAGAUCUUUUGUAUCUUAUUUUCUUAUUAUAUUUUUUAACUUUCUUUUUAUAUGCAGAUGGUAAUUUAAUUCUUUUAAUUCCAAAUGCAUCACAAAAUGAUCCUACUUCUUUUAUUUUUGAACCAUAUUUUAUUUGUAAUUUUAAUUCUGAACAUAACAUUAAUCCUUCUUUUUUCACAAAAGCAAAUAAUUGUCCAAAAGUAAUAUUUUCGAAUGAAAUUACAUCUGUUCCCAUUUCCCUUUGUAAAUUAUCCAUUAUUCUUUGUGAAAAUAAACUUGGUAAUCCUAUUAUGAAUCUUUCUUUCCAAAAUGAAGCAUUGCAAUCUGGUCUUCUUAAUACAUUAGUUAAAAACAUAUCUUUAUACCAUCUAAAGUUUGAUAAUGUUGGACAUCUUAAAUUUGUUAGAAAUGUUUUAUUAGAGUUUAAUUCCUCUUUUGGGUUUCCUAUAAAAUACAUUACUAUUGUUACAAUUAGAAAUUCUGCAGCAUCUGAUUGUAUUUGAAUAUUUCCUUGAUCAUCUUCAAUUUCUUGUGUAUGAUCUAGUAUUGAUAAUUUAUCUUGUAAUGUUAAAGCAUUAUCCCACCAAUUUUUUAAUUGUCCAGUAAAUCCUGAAACUAAUAAUGUUGCAAUAUUUCUUUCUUGAAUAUUUUUAAUUUUAUAAGCUAAUCUAGCCAUUCCCAUUUCUUGUAAAUUAUUUAAUACUUCAUAUUCUGCUUUGCCAUCUAUGUUCCAUUCAUAUAUUGAAUCUCCAUCAUAUUUAGUGGUACGAAAUUUUGAUCUUUCUUCAUAUUGAAUGUCUGGAGGACUAGGUUUUGGAUAAUAAUUUCUAUUACUUAUCAUUUUCCAAUCUUUAUUAUUUUUAUUAUAAAUUCUUUUUCUUCUUAUUUUAUUCAUUUGAUUGGUAUAAUUAUUUUGUUGAUAAACCUUUUUAAUAUCUUCUAAAUUUAUUGUAUUAUUUUAACUCGAUUCAAGUCAAUGCCAUUGCUUCAAGGAAGAGUUGUACUCCAUCACAGCAAGCAUUGGCCUGGGUCCAUCACCAAGGCAAUGAUGUUUGUCCCAUACCUGGCACUACCAAGAUUGAGAACCUCUAUCAGAAUAUAGGAGCUUUGUCUGUAAAACUGUCAGCAGAAGAUAUGGCUGAACUUGAAUCUAUUGCAUCAGCUGGAGUCAAGGGUGAUAGAUAUGAUCCUGGCCGUGGUACUUGGCGAACUCCUGAAACUCAUGAAGACAUACCUUUGUUGAGGCAUUAAUUCCUUCUAGCAUUCUACCUGUUGGUGAUUUCACUGUAUUGAGAGUUGAGCGAGUUGUAUUUGUUCCAAAAACUUCGUCAUACUAUUGUCUCGAGGGUUAAGACACGUAAAGUUUUAAGAAAAUGGUGUUUCUUUAGAGUGCUUGUAAUGAAUAAAGAUCUGGUCAUGUAAAAGUAGAAGCCAACAUACCAACAAUGUCAUUGUAAACUACAUCAUACCAACAAAAAGUAGAAAAUGGUCUAAAGUGAAUAAGAAAUCAACAAAAACUAUGUAAGCACCAAUGGAAAGCAGAAAAGUUCUUGAUACCAUAGUAAACACCAAUGGAAAGCUAAAAAGUUCUCGACGCCAUAGAAAUUAGGGAUUCGUUGGGCAAAAAAGUUCUUAACGCCAUACUCUAUAGACGCAAGGGAUCUAUAGAGCAGGGAUCCAGGUUUGGGCAUCUAGCUAAGUAGAACAGGUAAAGGAAAGCUACAUCACAGAUGUAGCAAGUAGUUCCAAUGUCCUUGCCAAUUGUAUAGGCUUUCUUGCUUCCAACAUGGUCUCGAAAGUGCAGAUUAGAGAAGGAUAUCAAAGCCGGCCAGCUGCGAAUCCUGUGGGGUGAAAACCAUACGUUUGAAAAAAUAAACAAAACAGAGCUGCCUGAUCCUCAAUUUAAGCAUUAUACUAGAGAAGGACAAUACAAGCAUUCUCAAUGUUUGAGAAAAUAAACUUUACAUGCAGAAAGCAAAUAAAUGCUUGAAAUUACACAAUGGAUGGAUGUUGAAAAGAAUCACUAAAGAAUAUGUCUAGAAGAUCGAUCUGUUAAGCAUGGGAAGUUCAAAGAGUAGCAUUUUUUUUGAGUCUCAGAAAAAUGAAGAGUCCAACAAUUUAGGGAAUUCAAACUCUAUUUGUGAAUAAACUGCUUGUAUUUUUCCUUUUUCUAGUGUAAGAUUUAAGGAAAAGUUAAAAUCACUUGACCCCUGAUCAGUUCUUUACCAAUUCAUUGAUUUUGACUUCAAUCAUGAACAAAUAAUUCAGAUUAAGACUGAAUAGUUAAUAAAUUGAAAAAAAAUCCAGUCCUUCUUACUUUUCGUGCCUUUGGCCCAGUGUUGCAAAAGGCCUUGCCUGAGGUAAGGCAUUUGUCACUAAUCCAGCAGCACCAAAGCCUUGGAGCAUGGGUUAUAAUUCUCAUGAAUUUUAAAAUUUUUGAAUAUUUUAAAAAUAUUGUAAUAUUUAUGAAAAAUAUUAUUAAAAAACAUAUAACUAUAAUAAAAUAUGUAAAAUUUAAAAAUUAUAGAAAAAUAUAUUAUCAUGAUAUGCGGUAGUAAUGACAGUAUAGAAAAAAAAAAUAUGGCAAAAAUUCAACGAAUACUAGUUGUGGGCAUCUGAAAAUGGUUAUAGAUGACAAGGGACGAUGAUUUUACUUGGAAACUUGGGUUUUUACAUUCUUGUGGUAUGUAUUACUAUACAAAAAUGGUAAAAUUAAAACAUAACCAAGUUUUGGGGUUAAAUAAGAAAUUUGAGAUAACAGGUUAGCUAAAUUUUUAAAGUGAGCCAAAGCACAAGGACUUAAUACUACAUGUUUUACUAGAAUGGGACCCACAUCUCUAAAUUCAGGCCUGUCAAGUUCAUCGAGGUGCUUCGUUCGCAAACCCAUUUGUCAGCCCAAAUCAUCAAACGCUUCCUUCCUCCCCUUUUUAUUUACUAUAAUAAACCCGAUACGACUUCCUGAUUAUUCCAGGAUCCAACAAUUAAAACUUUACAUACAAAUAAAUGGUCAAAUUCACUUAAAAAUUGUGGGGUCAUCUUCCACAUUAAACUUUUGUACCAUCCAAGUUUGUUUUAAUUCCUUUGGGAAAAUCAAACAUCGAAUGCAUUCCCCAAAAAAAAAACAAAAAAAGGGAAAAGGAAAUGGCUUACCUUUGCCCUUACGUAUCCAAUCCCAAUUUGAACAUUACAUCAUCCAUCCAAUUGAAACAAACUCCUAUGGAGAUUUUUUUUUUUUUGCUUUAUUUUGUUGUUAGAUCUGAAUUUUUUUUUUCCCAUGAGCGCUAGUGCUCUGUGGGUCUCUCCUUGCCCGUGCAAGGCCCCUCCUUCCCUAGAUGCCUAGUGGAAGUUUUUGUCCUCUUCCCCCUCCUGCUGCUCUGUUUUUUCCCCGCUAUCUCUAUCUAUUCGUUUGCUCUGGAAUCUUACUUCGUCGGCAUUAUUUUCAAUUCCUUUCCUCUACAACUUUCUGGGCUUCCCCUCCCUCGUCCCUUUUAACCUUGGCUCUCUUUGUAUUUUGCAGGCACGCAGUUUAAAUCACUCAACCUUGGCUACCCUGUCCGCCUCUGCGGGCUGAAUCAAUUCUCACGAGGCCAUGGCUGAGGAGUUAGAAAGGCUGUGCCAAAAUCUUGCGCUAAGGGAUGAUGAGGAGGAGGUGCUGUUAUUGCCCGAUGACAAUGACGGUGGCUCCAAUUUUGACGGCGAUUUGUGCAUUCUCGGAAAGCUGUUCAGUCGGAAGUCCUUCAACGCAGAGGCUAUGAUGGCUACCAUGAAGAAAUCUUGGAACCCGGCUAAAGGCCUCGAGUACUCGGCAGUUGGGGAUAACCUUUUCCUCUUCAAAUUUAACGACAUUGUAGACAAAAGGAAGGUUAUGGCAGGAUGCCCUUGGGCUUUUGAUGGAAGUUUGCUGGUUGUCAGUGACUAUGUUGGUAACAUUCAGCCGUCCAAGGUAAAAUUGGAUCACUGCUCUUUCUGGGUUCGAGUAUACAACCUCCCAUUGGGAUGGAUGAACGGAAGAACGGCGGACUUUAUAGGGAGCAAACUUGGCACGUACGAGGGAUUUGAUGCAAAGGGUGGUCUCUCUGUGGGUAAGUUUUUGCGCAUUCGGGUUAAGCUAAAUCUCAAUAACCCUCUCAAACGACUGAUGAAGCUUCUAAUCGAGGGUGCGGUUUGUGAGGUUCACUGUCGUUAUGAGCGCCUUCCUAUGCAUUGCUAUUUUUGUGGUCGAAUUGGACAUGGAGAAAGGGAUUGCGACGACAAACUAGAUGUUACUGUGGUAAACAACGGCGAACCUCAAUAUGGUGGGUGGCUUAGGGCCACCAACGACAAAAAAUUCGCCGGCCCGCAACUUUCGUCUCGGACGGCAACACCACCGACGAAAGGGGGCCAGUCCCUCCCUGCUGCCGAUAAGGUCGCGUCACCUAAGGAGGUUGUUAGUUUUGAACAUCCGAAUUACCAGGCCUCAGAAUCUCCAAGUUUGGUUGGCAGGCCUGAUCCUACCCAAAGACCAGACGUCCGAGUUCCUAGCACCUUGGUAGCACCCCAGCGCAGACCUUUCUCUCUGGAUAACGGCCAACCAAUCCUUUCAACGGCAUUGGUCACUGAUAGUUCUCCAACAGCGCAGGCAACUUCCACUUCCUUACCCUUAACCACACAUUCCCCCCACUCAAUUGUUCAUGAUGGGCCCUCAAGCUCGGCCAAUUCCAAAGCAAAUGCUCUUGGCUCGAAGCCCAAUGAACACCCCAAAAUCCCAGUCCCUAGCAAACCAAGUCCGCCCAAUACCAUCACCAGCCCCAAAUUCUCUCUAAUCAACCCCGCCACAUCUCAGCAAGAACGUUCUCCUACUUCACAACCUUCUGUCAUGCCCCCCAUACCUUCACAGCCUUUUCACCAAGCUAUUCAAAUAGCCACCCAUGCUUCAUUGGAAAAUGUACACCCCAACCUUGGCCCCCUUUUUCGCCCCUGCGAUGGCAAGCCCAAACCCAGUCAUACAACCACUAACCCCAGCAUACCAUCCAUGCAAUUGUCUAUCACAACAUCUACAGAGCCAACCAUGGAGGAUGUGUUUCUAGUUGAUGCCACCUUAACGCAGCAAAAGAAAUUUUCCGACAUCCACGACAUGCGAACUAUCGCUUCCUCCAAAAAAAUGAAAGGAUGCAAUAUCUCCCGCAGGAAAUCAACACCUUCAAAAUUGGCCCUACAUCCUACUAAUGUUAUAUCGGGUCACAAGACAAAAAGAGAGGCCACGGAUGCUUCUUCUGCAGGGGAGGGAGAUGCUAGUGGUUCGGCCCCAAAGAAACCGAAACAUGCUACGCUGCCCGCACCUCCUCAAACAACCUCUAUAGCGGCGGAGACUGCCUUGCAGUCCCGCCGAGAACCAUGAAUUGCUUGAGCUGGAAUUGUCGGGGGUUAAAGGGUUAAACAACCCUCGGACAGUUCGGGAGCUCCGAAACAUCAUCCGGAGAGAUAAAGUUUCAAUUAUUUUUUUAGUAGAGACGAAGUGUUCGGAUAAAGUAAUCGACAAGCUAAAGCAGGAUAUCAGAUGGUUUGGUUUAGGGGUUGACUCACGAGGGAACUCGGGUGGCUUAGCUCUCCUUUGGAGGAAGGAUCUGGGUGUUGAACUUAUGCGUUUCUCGGAUUGUUUUGUUGAUGUUAAGGUGCAUAUGACUGAUUCCUCCUGGCGUUUGACUGGUUUCUAUGGUCAUCCAGAGGCGGCUAAAAGAAAAUAUACUUGGGAUAUUAUGCGCAAGCUCAGUACAUUAUGCUGCCUACCAUAGGUCUGCAUGGGUGACUUCAACGAGGUACUCACUCAAGAGGAAUUUCAGGGCGCGACAUGGAGACCGAAUUGGCAAAUUAUGAACUUUCGGAAGGCACUUUCGGACUGUAAUUUGUUUGACUUAGGCCAUGAAGGUAAUCACUUCACUUGGUGUCGGAAUAGGUCGGCUCCUGACACAACUAGAGCUCGUCUGGACCGCGCAUGCGUCUCCCAUGACUUUCUCACCUUGUUUCCUGAUGCCAGGAUCUAUCACUCACAUGCUCUUUUUUCCGAUCAUGUUCCUAUUGUCUUAAGAUUAUCGUGCUCGCAUGAUCUCUUAAAAGCUCGCAGCAAAUCUAGGAGGGACAAAUGCUUCAUGUUUGAAGCAAUGUGGAUCAAAUCAGAAGACUGCGAACGCAUUAUCCAAGAUUCUUGGGAGUAUAGCUCGACAGAAGAUGCUUGUGCCAACCUGGUUAUGAAGACUAAUAGUUGUAGGUUAGGCCUUCUCCAAUGGAGCAAACAGUCCUUCGGCAACCAUACUAAGGCUGCGGAUGAUCUUUGGCAAAGGAUUUCUCGCCUCCAACAAGGCGUUUUGACGGACUCUAUCAAAGCUGAGAUUAGUUCUUUAACUACCCAGCUAGAGGAGCUUCUGGACAAGCAAGACAUCAUGUGGAAACAGCGAAGCAAAGCACAGUGGUAUAGAGAGGGUGAUCGAAACACAGCUUACUUCCAUGGCCUGGCUUCCCAGAGACGGAAGCAUAACCAGAUUGUUGGCCUUUUCGAUAACAAUGGUUCUUGGUGUCAGUCACAGGAGGGUCUAGAAUCUAUUAUCAUGGAACAUUUUGGCACAAUCUUUUCUACUUCACAGUCUACUUCUCUGGCAAUUGAUGCAGUCAUCCAGCGAGUGCGGGGAUGCGUUUCCAAGGAAAUGAAUUAUUGUCUCCUGCGUACCUACACUACCAUUGAGGUAACAAAGGCUUUAAGUCAAAUGCAUCCAUUUAAAUCUCCCGGGCCGGAUGGCAUGUCACCAGUCUUCUACCAAAGAUAUUGGCAUAUUGUUGGUCGAGAUGUCACUCGUUGGGUUCUUACUGUCCUAAACGAGGGCACCUUACCUACGAGUCUUAAUCACACCUAUGUUGUCCUUAUCCCUAAGUGUCACAGUCCAUCCAGUAUCACCCAAUUUCGUCCCAUUAGUCUUUGCAACGUAGUUUAUAAGCUAGCCUCUAAGGUCUUAGCUAAUAGGCUUAGGAACUGUCUUCCCAAAGUCAUCUCACCAUGUCAAUCAGCGUUCAUCCCUGGGCGCUGUAUCACUGAUAAUAUCCUAAUUGCUUAUGAAGUCAAUCAUUCCCUUAAGCUGAAAUCCUAUGGGCAGGAGGGAUUGAUGUCCAUUAAGUUGGACAUGAGCAAAGCAUUUGAUAAGGUCGAGUGGCUUUUUCUUCGACAUAUGAUGAUAGCUUUAGGUUUCCAUUCCGCUUUUGUGGACAUUGUUUUUCGCUGCAUUUCUACUGUGUCUUACACUUUCCUACUUAAUGGGUCCCAACUUGGGAACCUACAACCCCACCGUGGUAUCAGACAGGGGGAUCCAUUAUCACCCUACUUGUUCUUGAUCUGUGCCGAAGGCUUUUCUUGUUUAUUGCAGGAAGCUGAACGUUGCGGAAGCAUCUCAGGUUUUCGGAUCGGCUCACGCGGACCCAAACUAUCUCACCUAUUAUUUGCCGAUGACACCUUAUUAUUCGGCAAGGCUGUGAGAACCCUGAAAAUGUAUAUACAAAUAUCAUUUCAUAUUUCAUUUGCAAUUUUAGCACCUCCACAUAAAAUAUUAAAGCAUUUAGUUUUAUUAUGUUAAAUUAAUAUCACCUGAGUAGAUUAAUUUUACUACCUUAAUAUAAAUUACUUGAAGUCCAAUAAUUCAUUCUAAUUAGUGAAUAGCGUUAAAUACUACCAAAAAUUCUCACGAUAGGAAGAAGCCGAUAAAUUUUAGAUAAAAACAAUACACAUAUACUAAAUAUGUGUAGGACGUAAAAAUUUCGAUAAAUGAAAUCUUGUGAGAUUGGUGUAUCAUUAGGAGUUUAAUUUACAUUCGGAAUAAAUUUUUGGUGUUAAGUUAAAAUCAAGGACUCAAGUAAGGAUUAGUAGGGCAAUGUGAAAUGUCUAAACCAACCUUCACAAUAUCACAAAAUCACCAUGCAAUUCCAAAACAUUUCCGGACAGCAUUAUGAUCAACCUCACCAUUCGACCAAUGCUCACCUUCACCACCUACACACUCAACCUCUUCCUACACUCCAACACCCUCCAAAACCGCGGGUCAUCUCCCCAUUUUUCCCCCUCAACCCCGCAACAUCACCUCCCUUAACUCUGCAACAUCUCACCUCAAACACAACUACACCUGAUAACCGAGAGCAAGGAGAGAAACAGUGAGCUGCGAUAGUUUGCUGUUCCUGUCCGAGAAGGAGAAGCGAGAGGGAGAUAGAAGGAGAGAACCGUGUGUGAGCUUCCGUCUGCAUUUUUUUAACUCCAAACAACUGCACUUCAGCACUCCUCACUGCAACACCAUUCCAGUCGCAACCACUGCAACCAAAACCUGUGCGAGCUGAGAGCCGAGAGGGAGAACAGGAAAUUUUUCAGAUUUCUUGUGAGUGAGCUGCAAUUUGAGGUAACCUCUGAGCUAGAUUAAACUAAUUAGAGGUUGUUUGAGUUAAUUAGGAGCAUGCAUAUAGAGUUAAUCGAUCGGAUGAUGUACUGGAAAAGAAAAGAAAAAUUUACUGCGCGAAGGGAUAAAUUUUGGCCAUGAGCUGAAAUCGGAAAUGCAGCUCCGAAAUUGUUCACUCUUAGCAAUCUGAACACCUAAAUGUAAUUAGCCGAGUGAAAACUUGAUGAUUAAGAUCAUGCAUGUUGAUUUGUGCGUUUGGAUGAUUAAAUUAGAAGCAUAAGAAACCUUGAUUUGGAAAGAAAUGGACUGCCGAGUAGCUGAAAUGAAAAGGCAGCACUAAUCUGUUUAUCUGGUAACAAUUUGAACUGAUGAAUGUGAUUACCUCACUAAUAAGAAGGUAAUUAAGUCUUGCAUGAGGCCAAGUAACUCGGCUAACCAAGAAAAUAAAAUGAAAACAGAAAAAUUGUUUCAUGCAUGACCAUCCGAGACUAGUUGAUAUAAUUUCUAGAUUUUAGCGAUGUUUGUAGUAUUAAAUGAACCCGAUGUUGAACUAGAAAUGUUAAUCAAGUGGUUAAGCAGUUGCAUGCUGAAUUUGAGUCCCUAAAAUACUGAUUUAACCAAGGGAAAAGCUGGAUUAAGAACAUACAAUUGCUGGAAAAUUUUUGUGAACUGCGGUGAGUUUGAACCUGGAAAUUUUGAGGAUUAUAACAGCUGUUUAAAUUUAAUUUCGAGCUGGAAAUGUUAACGGUCUAGCCAAGUAAUUGCAUGAUGAAGCUGAGAGUUUAAUAGCAUGUCUUAGCCAAGGAAAUAUUGAAUUCAUGAACAACGAAGUACUGGAAAUUUAAAUGACCGAGAGGUUGAGCUGAAAAUUUUAAUUGGUUUUUGGAAUUUUUCCUUGGAAGAAAAUGGUUCAGAAAUGUAUGAAAAAUGUGUACUUAAGCCAUGUAGGUGGUUUAGCUAUGAAACAUUUGUUAUAUUGGAAGUUUGGACCAAAAGGUUGGAAUGUAAAUGCUGAACAUUUUUGUUAGUAGCCGAGAGACUUGGAUUGGAAAUGUUAACUUGUUUCUGGAAUUUUUCUUAGAGUACAAUGGUUUCGAAAUGUAUGAAAAAUAUGUAUUUUAAGCUGUGUAAGUUGUUUAGCUAUGAAACCUUUGAUAUUUUGGAAGAUUUGAUAAAAAAUGUUGAAGGGUAGACCUGGAAAAUUUUCAAGUGAGUUGAUAGAGGAAGUAAAGGAAUUUUUCAGAUUUCUUUUGGCGAAUUUUAGUUCUAAAAAUGCUGUUUUGAGCUGUAAAAUAUUUCAUGCUUAUUGACCUCACUCUAGAGUAUAUUAAGAGGGCCGUGCAUGUGAAUUUUUGGGGUGACCAUUUGAUUUUUAUCAUGGCUACAAGAAUGAGAUUUUGGUUGAAAUCUUGGACAAAAUAGGGUUGCAAAAUCUUGCCUUACGUUCAUACACCUGUUAGUGAUUCCAAACGUUCGAAAUUUUGGCUUUGUUGCAAUAAGAAAUAAUUGUUGGGUGCUAAGGGCUAAUGAUUGAUGAAACCCUUGGCCAUUUGAAUGAUUUUAUAUAAGUGUUAAAGUUUGAAGAAAUUAAAUUGCUGGAAUUGCUUGGAGGCCUUAUGUUUAUUUUGAUUAAGUUGAGAUAGGAUAUGAGCUUGCCAAAACCAAGAGCUAAUGAUUGACGAAACCUUGGUCACUUGUUUCAUUUUUCUAUCAGAAAUGAACCUGUUGAAAACUAGGGCGAAUGAUUGACAAAGCCCUAGUGAUUUGCUAAAUGAAAUGUGAUUUGGCCAUGUUGACAAAUUUGAGCCGUAAUGUGAUUUCGAAAUGAAAUCGAAAUUGUGAAAGUCGUUUCGACCCUGUGAACUCGAGCAAUUCUGAGCAAACGAAUCAAAAAUAUUUUUCGCUAGUAUUAGACGAUGAAAUUCAGUAUUUAGUAUUUUGCCCUAAAUUUUGCUAACUCGACAAUUUUUUUGUAGCUUGAACUAGCCUUAAUAGUUAUAGAAAAUAAUUUUUAUAGCUUUUAAAACCCUAAGUCUUGUUCUAAUUCCUUUUCUUUCUUUAAGAUUUGCCUUUGGCUAGUUGUCUAUAGGAAAAGUUCCAAAAUAAGAAUUUUAAUAACCUUAAGUUAAAAACUUAGAAACUUGCUCGGCAAGAAACUUUAGUUUUGGUAAAAUAGUUUUAGUGACAAUUUUUGCAAGAACCGUAACUUUAAAGAAAUUUUUCAAAGUAUCUUUCCAGCUUUGAUAUUAAGUGGUUUAUCGACUUAUUUCAAGAAAAUAAUACUAGUUACCUUUUUUAUAAGGAAAAGUAUCUCAAGGAAAAACUAUAAAAAACAUUUUUACUACUUUUGUCAAGUUUCAACCCAAGUGGAUUUUUAAAAUUUCUCUGAGAAGGUAAACUAGUAAUAUAUUAGAUAAUCCUCUAUAUGUAUAAGCUUAAAAACUGAAUAGAAGACUUAUAGUUUUAAAACUUGGUUUUCUAGGGUACAGCGAGGACGUGGAACUUUAAUUUCCCAGCUUGAUCAGUAACUUCACUCUCGGUGAGUGUCCCUGCUUGUUCCAUGUCUACGUGAUUAAAGUGCUUUGUUGACUUGAUAUAUGAUAAUUGUGAAAUGGUUUUGAUCCAUCGAAGUGAGCAGUGUGUACUUUAUCACACUAGCCUUUCGAGUGGUGACUUGCGUGAAAUAUUUUAGUGAAUCCAAGUGUUGUGACGUCGCUGGGUGAAUCCCUCGACCAAUUUCUGAGGGUAUACGCAAGUAUACUGCUCCCAAUUUCUGAAGGUAUACGCAUGUAUACUGCUCCCAAUUCCUGAGGGUAUAUCUCGAGUAUACUGCUUCCUUAGUUGGUGUUCGGGCCCGGGACAGGGGUAUGAAUGGUGACGGGUUAGGAAACAAAAUGAGAUACUCUACAUGGAUCAUAAGUAGUGAGAGUUGACGGAGGGUCAACUACGAUGGUGUUUGGUCAAGCGAGGAAUCGGCUCCUGAGAGCCCCUGUAUCCUACCUUGUACUGUUAUACGCUUUUCUAAUUGUUGAAUUUAAUACUUGUUACUUGCCUUAUGUGAUUGCAUGUUUUGGGGCACCACUGAGUUUUAGCUCACCCCACAUUUAUUUGUUUUCCUUGACAGGUUUUGACGUUUGAGAAAUUUGAGCCUACUUAUAUUUGCUUAUGAAUGUAUUUGAACCUUGUGACUUGGAUUUGCAGUUCGUAAUGUAAUUCGAAUAAAACAAUGUACUUUUGUCUUGGGUUGCCACUUGAAGCUGGAAAAGUGUAAAACCCAGAUUGGUUAUGUGGCUUGUGUAAAUUUGUUACUUAGCUUGUAAUUCUGAUAUUUGGCUUGUAUGAAUUUGUGAGAUGGGAUUGUUUGACUUUAUUCCGUGGUUUGUAACGCGUAAGGUAUUUAAGAGUCGACAAUUGGUUUUUUUUAAAGAUGCUGUUAUCUCUGAAGUUAAUGGGGUUUUAGUCAUCAGCCUAUUUGGAAGGAAACAGUGUUGUAAUAGUUUAGGUUAUUCUUCGGAAUGAUUUGGAUAGAUUGCUUGCGUGAGUCCUGGCGAGAGUUAGGCAGACGGCCCGCCAACCCUUUGGUUCGCCUUAGGGGAAAGUGGGGUCGCCACAAAGGCAUCGCUGCAGGAAGCUCAGCACAUAAAGACAGUCCUUGACCUUUACAAAGCAGCUUCAGGUCAGGAGGUUAACUUUGAUAAAUCAGCAGUGGUCUUCAGCAAAAACACAGACCCCACAGUUCGUCGAAGUAUCACACAGCUUCUUAACAUCAAGGAAGUUCCCACUCACGACAAAUAUCUUGCCUUCCUACUGUUGUUGGUUGUUCCAAGUCUGAAGUUUUUUCAUCUGUAAAGGAGAGAAUCUGGCAGAGGAUACAUGGAUGGAAUGAACAGCGCCUCUCAACGGCAGGUAAGGAAAUCAUGAUCAAGGCUGUUGUCCAGGCCAUUCCAACAUACUCAAUGUCCUGUUUCAAGUACCCGGACUCCUUGCUUUCCGAUAUUCAAUCUAUGAUUAGUAACUUUUGGUGGGGUGAUGGCACAAAACAGAGACCAAUCCACUGGGUGAGUUGGAAUAGAAUGUGCUCGUCCAAAAAUGAUGGGGGCAUGGGCUUUAGACAACUUAAGGCUUUCAAUUUAGCUUUAUUGGCUAAACAGGCAUGGCGCAUUGCAACUCAGCCAUCUACUCUGCUUCAUCAGGUUUUUAAGGCUAAAUAUUUUCCAACGAAGGACUUUUUUCAUGACGAGCCUACUUCCAGGCCUUCUUUUACUUGGAGGGGAUUGUGCGUUGUUCGAAGAUAUUUACUCUCUGGUAGCAGAUGGCGAGUUGGAAAUGGGAACCAUGUCAGAAUCUGGAAGGAUAGGUGGAUUCCACGCCCUUCUACUUUCAAAAUUAUAUCCCGUUAUGAUGUGCUGCUGGAUGAUUCCACUGUGGAUUGUUUAAUUGACGGAAAUAGCAGGAAAUGGAAAGUUGAGUUGCUUCAGGAGCUUUUUUGGCAUGAUGAGAUUGAGUUGAUUAUGGGUAUUCCAUUGGGUGAUAGUCACAAUCACGAUAAGCUCAUCUGGCACUACUCUAAAAAUGGCUCAUUCACAGUGAAAAGUGCCUACCACCUUAUCAAAACACAAUCUACAGGCUGGCAAGAUGUAGCUUCAGGGAGUAAUGGUUCGGUGCAGGAUAUUUGGCCUCGCCUGUGGAAGCUCAACAUACCAAACAAAGUUAAGAUAUUCUUGUGGCGUAUCUGCAAGGGUAUUCUCCCUACAUCUUCCACGCUGAAUAGCCGUGGAGUCCACCUUGACCCUAUGUGUCUUUUAUGUAAGACCCCUGUUGAAGAUGUAACUCACCUCUUCUUGUGCUGUCCGGUAGCAGUUCAGGCUUGGGCCCUCAGCUUUCUUACACUAAAGAUAAGGUUAGACUCCGCCAAGCAGGUCUCUUCUUGGUUGCCUGGCCUUCUGAAUCUCUUGAAGAAGCAGGACAUGGAAUUGGUAGCCAUAAUUCUUUGGAAUCUAUGGCUUAACCGAAAUGGUGCUUUAUUCGAUGGUUCAUAUCGGGACCCGCUCAGUCUAGUCUCUCUCUCUAUCAAUUUCUUACAGAAGUACCGGGAAGCCAACACAUCUCCAAAUACUCCAAUCCGCACUUCCAUUGCUCCACUCCACUGGACAAAGCCCCCUGUGGGCUUCCUAAAGGCGAACUUCGAUGGCGCAGUUUUCUCCGAAUAUGGCUACUCUGGUGUUGGAGUUGUUGUGAGGGACGAGCGGGGCAAUUUUGUUACAGGAACUUCUCACAAAAUCUCUGGUAUCUUUUCCCCUGAGGUCAUCGAAGCCUAUGCUGCGAGAACUGCAAUUUCCUUGCUGCUUCAAUGGAAAGUGCCCAACAUUAUUUUGGAGGGAGACUCUUUGAAGAUCGUCAACAUGCUUAAGCUUAUGGAGUCUGAUGACUCCGCUUAUGGGGUGCUGUUAGAUGAUAUCUUUGUUAGGUUACAGAACUUCGCCGCUUGGGAGGCUAAUUGGGUCCCUAGGAAGGCCAAUGUGCCAGCACAUUUAUUAGCUAGAAAUGCUCGCUCUAUUUCAGAUAUCUGUAGUUGGAGUUAUUCUCCACCACCUUUUCUUCCCUCCGCAAUUUCGGCGGACCUAUCCUCACCUUAAUGAAAUUUUCUAGUUUGCUAUCAAAAAAGAUCUGAAAUUUUUUUCAAAAUUUGAAUCUAUUUUAACAUAUCUCAUUAUCAUUAUUGAAACUUAAAACCAUUUAUUGACAAAUCUGGCAAUUGCCAUAUGCACAAAAGGGAGACACUUUAAAAUUCUUUAUAUUUUAUUAGAUGUGUUUGUAAUUUUCAAAUCUAUUGUAUUAGUUAAAUUAUAAUCUGUAAUUUUUAAUGCAGGCUUGACCUGCCAUUAGGGGAGUUAUGUAAAUCAAAUCAUGUUGGACGAUUUUCAAAAAACAAAAAAAAAAACUUAACCGUCAAUUACUCUUCCCCGUUUUAUUUGUCCACUUUUCAAUUGUCAAUAACUCUUUUAAAAUAUUUUGCAAUACAAAAAUCAACUGAAACCAGUAGACAUUGUAAUUAAUAGCAGUAUUCAAUUCAUGUUUUUGUAUGUUACUCGUACAUCUAAUUAGUCCAAUUUGGAGGAAAAAAAAGAUGAAAACAAAAACAUAUAAUAGUCACAAAAAACACAGAUCUAGCUCAAAAUAUGGCAGUGACCAAUUGUUCUGCAAAAUUAGUGGGAUAAGCAGUUGACAGAUUCUAUAAUCCCUUUUGGUCAAAUAUUAUUUUUAAUAUUUAGGUCGUUACAAUUUCAAUCAUUUAAAUUACCCGUUACUAUCAUCAGUGGAAGAAGCACAUUGAAGGAAUGAUACUUUAAGAUGACUACAGAAUUUUUCUAGUUGGUCAUACAACAUAUUAAUAUUUGAAAAAAAAUUCUAAUCACACAAUUGUAUUUGAUCUCAACCAACCGCCACUACUUUAAAUUAAUUUGGAUCGUAAGUAAUGUCAUUACUUUAUGUGAAUAUCAAAUAUGAAAAGUGCAUUAUAUAUAUGAGGAAAGAAAAUAAAAUGUACUAGUUUUCAAUUUCUUUAUGUAGAAUAUUUUCUUGAAUAUUAAUUUUUGAUAUAUCUUAGUCAAGGUCAUUAAUCAACCCGGACCUAAUCAACUCCAAACCCAGGGCAAAUUUCUUUAAAAUAUUGCCAAAAAGAACUUCGAAAAAUAUUGUUGAAAAGUUGAGUAUUUUUCUAUCCAGGCUCGUUGUAUCUCUGACAUGCGGUGGACUAGUUCACUAGUUCCAUUUUCUUUGUAUAAAAGGAGUCUGUUUGCCAGACACAUGGUGAGCCACAUUUAAAAAUUGGUUUCUAUCAUAAAGCCUAUCAUGUCCGGACAGAAGAUGGACUGUUUUUUAAAUUUUUUUUUGAAAGCAAGUGAAAAGCGUUGCAACUCAGGAUUUGGAUAGUAAUUUUAAAAUUUAAUGGUGCACCUACCUUUUAACAUUUCGUGUGCUUUUAAGGUAUCAAAUGGGAAAAAAAACCAACACCAUAUAACUUCAAAUGCAAGAUGGUACGAAAUUUGUCAAUAUGUAGAUGUUAAUAUACAUUGACAUGUAAAAAGUGCACCAUUCAUCACAAAGAUAUUUAUCCUAAUAUUAGAUUCAUUUUUUCAAAAAUUCAACUUUUCAUGCAAACAUGUAAUCAAUAUGCAUAAAUAGAUAACAUUAGAUGAAUUUAAACAAGUAGCCUUAAAAUUUAAAAAUAUUUGAUUUCGUAAAUGUGCAUUCGCAAUUUAGAAAAAGUACUUUUCAAAUGGCAACUCUAGAGAACAAGAAAUACUCCUACUUUAUUUUGAUUUCAAAUCUUCUUUUGACUUGUCAAAAAAGUGAAAACACGAAACCAAUAAUGGGUCAGAUAGAGAGAAGUAUUAGAAAGAGAAAUUUGUCAAAUUGGUCCCUAAUAUUUACACAAAUCAGCCAGAAUAGUUAUUAACAUAUAAAUUAUGAUUCAUUUUGGUCCUAAUGCUCGUAUUUGCUCAUUUCUUUGACUAAAAAUAGCACGCCUCUCUCACGUGGGCAUAUUUUCAAGGGCAAAAUUGAAAAACACAAGCUUUUCUCCCCUUUUCAAGGAUAACAUUUUAGCAUAUUUUUCUUUCCAUGUUCUGAAAUUAGGGCUUUUCUCCCCUUUUGCUUCUGGUCAUGGACUCUUUGCUAUCGAGCUACAUCUCUUCCGAUGAAGAACAAGAAGAUAAACCACAGCUCUCAAAUCCCAGUUCCGCUGGAUUCCUCUUCUCACUGCCACCCCCAAAAUCUUCAUCAUCAUCUUCUUCCUCAUCCAUCUUCUUUCCAUUUCCCCCAACCCAAUCCCACCCCCCAAAGCCCCCCGUCUCAUCGUCUUCCUCAACCCUGAAUCCACAUAAAUCUAAUGAACUUCAAGAAGAGAGGGAUGGGCAGCAAUUGCUAAAAAAUCGGGAAAGUUCGAGAUUUUUUAUAUCGCUUCCAAAACCAUUGUCAUCUUUGUUCGCUUUGUUUCCUCAACCCAAAUCAUCUUCCACGUCAUCUCUUUUCUCUUCUCUUCCGCAGCCCACCAAAACCCACAAUCUUGAUGCCCGGGUUUCGCCUCCUGUGCAAUUUGCUAGAAAGAAGGUGGUGGUGAUUCCUUGGCAGUCGGAUCACACAACUUUAAUGGAAAGGUGAUGGAAUCAAGCUCGCCGGGUUUAUUGGUGGUGGUUCCUUGGGGGAUCAACAGCAGCAGCCACACCGCUAAAGGGAUCAAGCCUCAAAUUGACGCGGGUGCUUUUCAGUUUGGGGAGAAUAUACUGAAGUAGCAGCAGUAGAAGCUUCAAUUCCACGUUUACACUGAAAACAAUAGUGUUUUCUAGUUUUGUCCUUGAAAAUAUGCCCACAUGAGAGAGACGUGCUAUUUUUAGUCGGAGAAAUGAGCAAAUACGAGCAUUAGGAUAAAAAUGGAUCAGAAUUUAUAUGUUAAGAACUAUUUUGGCUGAUUUUAAAUGUUAGAGACUAAAAAAGUUUUUUGUGUAAAUGUUAGGGACUAAUUUGACAAAUUUUUCUAUUAGAAAUUUGUUUUCUAGAUUCUUUGGUUUCCCAAUUUUUUCAACGGGUCAACUCGACCAUUAUCACAUGCAUGUGAUUGUAGGUCUACCACGCUUCAUAGUCCAUAACGUGGCACCACAAAAGAUGGUGUCAAAACACUUUUCUAGUUUAGUAAGAUCUGUGUAUGUAUUAGUUCCUAACACAAGUCUCUUUAGAUUUUCUCUCCUUUGUAAUUUAGAAUAAAAUAGGUUAUACAAUUGUUAUCGUCUUCAGAAAAAAAAAGAAUAAGUCCCAUCCUAUUAUUAUUAUUUUUCUUUUAUCAAUCAACAACGCCUAUUCUACACCUAUUUGACUUCUAUUCUAGGGGAAAGGGAGGUCCAAUUGGAAAAUUAAUGGUGAUUGAACCACAAUUAGACCAAAAACUUUCUAGAUAAAAUUUGAUCUAAAAAAUAAAUAAUAAUAUAUUAACUUAUUAUUUAAUAUGAUAUAUAUUCAAAUAGAUUAAAUUUAAUAAUUUUAAAUUUUAAAUUUUACAUUUUAAAUUUUAAUUUUCAAACUUCAAUGUUGCCAUACUUACAACAACAACCUCUAGAUGGUCAACACUUAGAGUCGUAGCCCUUGCUUUUGGCAUUCCCCGGUCCAUAUGCUAUGUUGUUCUCAAUGAGGAAGCAAAUGUCCGCUAUUAAUUACACGAGCCAUCAGUCAAAUCAGUCAAAAGAUGUUAUUGAUUGAACCAAGUGGGCAAAUUGAAUGAACCACCAGCUCCACUAAGCCCUUAAGGCUGUGUUUUCAAACUCGGACCGGACCGGCCGAUCUGAUCGGUUGAACCGGGAACCGGUCGAGUGUCCGGUCCGAGUUGAUCAUCAAAACCGGGAGAUUCAAAACCCGGUCAAUUCCGGUCAAAACCCGGGUUUGACCGGUACAGAACCGGAAAAAUCGGUCCAACAGGAGAUUUUGUAAAAAAAGUUCAAACUUUUUUAAUAUUAUGUUUUGGCCCCCUAAAUUGUGAAAACUUAUUAAUAUAUCUCAAAUAUUUCAUACUUUAUAAAUAUUGUCCUAAAAUUUGAUGUUAUUUUUCAAUUAAAUCCAUAAUUUUAAUUCUAAACUUGUUAAUGUUUAUUAAAUAAUAUAAAUUGUUACUUGAUUGUUCUAUUUCAAGUAUAUAUGAAUAUACCUUUAUUAAUAUCAAUAUGUUAUUGGAUAUUUUAUAUACAAUAAUUUAAUUUUUAAAUAAUUUUUAUUUAUGACGUCAUCCGGUUCGACCCCUAUCGACCCCCGAUCUAACCCAUUGACCCCUGACCCCUGACCUCGGCCGAGUCGAUAUCCGGUCCGGUUCUGAAAACAUAGCCUUAAGGCUUUGGUAAACUUGUCUCCCAUCAAAAUAUCAUUCUUGUGGCUCUUCUUAAAAUUCAGAAGGGUGUAUUGUGCACCUGUCUGAUCCAGUGGUGAUUCUGUUCUCAUCGAUCUUUCGUAGGUUCAGUUGAGCCUUCCUGUAAUUAGAGUAGAUGUAGGAGUAGGGAUGACAAUUGAAAAAAAAAAAAAAGUGGGCAAAUUGAGUGAGGAUGAGUAAUUGACCUGUAAGUCUUGGCAGACUUGGAGGAAUCAAUCAACAUUCUCUGACUUGAAUGAGGUAAGCACAAAGGUGAGCAUUUUCCAUUUUUAUUUUGGUUUUCAUUUCUUGUAUACUCUAAAACUUUUUUCAUUCUACCCCACGCACAUAUAAUAUAUAAUGAAAUGUAAAUUUUUUUAUGAAAACAUAUAAAAUAUAUAAAAUGUAAAAUAAAUUUUUUAUAAAAACAUAUGUUUAUAUUUAUCUUUGUAUAAUGAAAAUAUAUAAUUCAUUCUACCAAUAUAUACGCAUAUAUAUAUAUAUAUAUAUAUAUAUAUGUAUAAUGAAAAAUUAAAUUUCUCCUUCAUCUUCAGGGCUGCACCUACAAACAACAAAACUCCGCUCCACUCAACUCUUUCCUUCGUGUUUUGUGUUUUUUUAUAAAAAACAUAUAUAUAUAUAUAUAUAUAUAUAUAUAUAUCUUUUAAAUUUCACUAAUUAUUUUAGCUCUUAAUGUUUUUUAUUUUUUUUACUAAUAUUACCUCAUGAGAGGUAAAAAGGGUAUAAAUGGAACAACAUUAUUAUCUCACUUUCCAAAAGACUUUUUUAAUGGUACUUUUUCUAACAUGGGUUGAAGCUAUUAUCAAAAUCUAGUUUAGGAAAAAUUAGUGCUAUUUUUCAAAUUUUAGGAAAGGUGAGUACAACUGUUAGAAAUCUCAGGGACGAUUUUUGCAAUUAUCCCUAAAAGCAUAGACCAAGACUACACUAAUCUCUAAAAAUUUGACACCUAUUUCUUAUAACUAUACUAGAUAAUUUCAUAAUUGUAUAGAAAAAUAAAUCAAAAUUUAUUAUACAAAGGUAUUUUUGGAUAUUUAUUUAAAAAUUUGAUCAAAUUAAUAUUAUUUUAAAGCUUUAUUACAAAAACUAUCAAAUCAAAGGAAGUAAGCGUAAUAUUUCAAACCUUACAGUAAAAUUGUUAGAAACCUCAUAGAGGUUCCUGAAAUUAUCCCUAAUAUUUUUUUUUGUACAAAAAACUCCAAAAAAUUGGCAGCUCAAACGGGGCCAACAAUCUACUAUGUUUGCCUGUUCUCCCGCCGGACCCACCAGCCGCCGGCGGCCAUGGGUCAUCUAUAAAAGCAUAGAUCAAGACUACACUAAUCCCUCAUCUGUCCAGUCCAUCCAUAAUUGCAGAAACUGGUAGGUUUUGUAUUUAACAAAAAUAUGAGACUUUGUAGAUUUUGAAGUUUAAGGAAUGGAUAUUUGAAGUUUAACGAUCGUUAUACAACUUUCAAAACAAAUAAAUUCAUUUUAUUUUUUUUUUGGAUAAUUUCAUAAAUCAAAUCGUGGUCACUUUCGCAAAAGUCAUAUUUUCCCAUAAAAGACCAGUUCUUUAUGACUUUCCUCCAUUAUAAGAACAGAGUACCCAUUUUUCCAUAAACAAAUUUAUUUAUCGAAUAAAAUAAAAAUAAAUCCGUUUUUCAAUAAAACACCAGUUCUUUAUGGUUUUCUUCCAUUAUAAGAAUAGAGUAACCAUUUUCCCAUAAACAAAUUUAUUUAUCGGAUAAAAUAAAAAUAAACCCGUUCUCCAAUAAAACAUGAGCUCUUUAUGACUUUAGAAUGAAGGGUUACUCCCUCUUGUUUGAUAUAUCUGAACCUCUUGUUUAAUUUAAAAAUCACCACCAUCAUUCUUGUUUGAUAUAUCUGAACCUUUCACAUUUUUACCAGUUUUUUUGCCCUUUUAUUUUUCUCUCUGUCAAUUUCCUAAAGAUUGAUGAAAUCUUUGCAGGUCCGAAUAAACCAAAGAACGAAAAUCCAAUCAAAAAGUUCGAAAUUUAAAGUUUAAAGGAAUGGCAACCUCAGAAGUCGUUCUCCGGUGCCUCCCUAGUCCCUCACGUCGCAGUAGUCACCAAGUCUUCAGCAGUCAACAUCCAAAGCUUAUAAAGUAGCACAAAUACUAUUGUAUAUAAGAACUUAAAUUUUGCAUCCGCGAGGGCGGCAGAAGUCAAUACUCCAGGAGGGACUAGGGGCAGAGGGCGGCCGCCGCCGAGGGAAGUGGGAGCUGGCUAUAGAAGGUCAUCGGGCGGUGGACUAUGAGGAGAGCAAAGGAAUAUCAAUUGAGAGUGCAGCGUGUGAUGGAGAGAAAGAGAGGGUAUGUCCGUCGUAAAUGUUGUCUGAGGGAAUAAGUUGAGGGUUUUGUCCAAAACUUCCCAAUUUGCUCGAGAAUGGGAUAAGUCAGAUUUUUUAGAAAUGAUUCCAAAAAUUACAUUCCAAUAGGCUUAAUCCAAGCAACAAAUAAGGGGUUUAUUCCAUUCUGUGAUUCCCAAACCCUUUAACCCAAUAGCCCCUUAAUAUUUUUUUACUAAUAUUACCUCAUGAGAGGUAAAAAUGAUAUAAAUGGAACAAAAUUAUUAUCUCACUUUCCAAAAGACUUUUUUAAUGGUAUUUUUUCUAACAUGGGUUGAAGUUACUAUCAAAAUCUAGUUUAGGAAAAGUUAGUGCUAUUUUUCAAAUUUUAGGAGAGGUGAGUACAACGGUUAGAAAUCUCAGGGACGAUAUUUGCAAUUAUCCCUAAAAGCAUAGACCAAGACGACACUAAUCCCUAAAAAUUUGACACCUAUUUCUUAUAACUAUACUAGAAAAUUUCAUAAUUGUAUAGAAAAAUAAAUCAAAAUUCAUUAUCCAAAGAUAUUUUUAGAUAUUUAUUUAAAAUUGAUCAAAUUAAUUAUUUUAAAUUUUUAUUACAAAAUCUAUCAAAUCAAAGGAGGUAGGCGUAAUAUUUCAAACCUUACAAUAAAAUUGUUAGAAACCUCAGAGAGGUUCCUGAAAUUAUCCCUAAUUUUUUUUUGGUACAAAACCCUCCAAAAAAGUGGCAGUUCAAACGGGGCCAACAUUCUCCUAUCUUCACAAGUCCUCCCGCUGACCCACCAGCCGCCGGCGGCCCUGGGUCAUCUAUAAAAGCAUAGACCACGACUACAGAAAUCGUCCAGUCCAUCCAUACUUCUUCUUCAGGCCUCAGCUACUAAACAAUAAACUCUGCUCCACUCAACUUGUGCUCAAAAUAUGACAGUGACCAAUUGUUCUACAAAAUUAGUAGGAUAAGCAGUUGACAGAUUCUAUAAUCCCUUUUGGUCAAAUAUUAUUUAAAUUCAUACUUUAAUCUUAAAUUUAUAGUUGGAUGGUCCAGGAUGUGGUAAAAUUUUUCAUUCAAACUAACGAUAGUGCGAAAAAAAAGACUAAUUAAUAAAAAUACGAUCUCGAAAAAUUUUUAAUUCACAUUCACAAUAUGUGAAUUCAUGAUAAAUACAAAAAAGUAUGGUACUUUGAUAAUACAAUGAAGGAAAGCCAUAAAGAGCAUGCCAUUUACGAGAAAAGUUUUCAUUAAUAAAAAUACCAACUCUUCACGGCUUUUUUAACGGUCCUUCAACGUAUGAGCAAAGUGCCAAUAAUUAAAUUAGUAAUUUUUUCGAUUUAUACAUAAUUAAUUUUUUUUUGCAUUUCCACAAAAAACAAAUGAAAAUUUUUUAUCAGAAAGCACAAAAGUCAAAAUGAUUGGUUUAAAAGGGAAAGGAAUAGCAUAUAUGUACAGUACUUGUAUUUCACGUUCGAAAUACUACAGUGCUGUUUGAAAAACACCCCCAACAAUAUCUAAUCCAAACGGAACCAAUCUUCAGUAUUUAAAAUACCAAAUUUGUGAAUGUGUUUUAACUGUUAUUCAUUGGUAUCCUAAAAUGUCAUUUUCCCAUCAAAUACCAGCUCUUUAACACCCAUUUUCCCAUAAAUAAAUUUAUUUAUCGGAUAAAAUAAAAAUAAAUAGCUAUUUCCAAUAAAUAGCUGGUGUUUUAUUGGAAAACCUGUUUUCCAAUAAAUAGCUAUUUCCAAUAAAUGGUUGGUGUUUUAUUGGAAAACGGAUUUAUUUUUAUUUUAUCCGAUAAAUAAAUUUGUUUAUAGAAAAAUAUGUCCUCUGUUAUAAUGGGAAACAAAGUACCUAUUUUAAACAUUUCCCAUUGAAUUUGUUUUGGAUAUUUAUUUAAAAAUUUGAUCAAAUUAAUAUUAUUUUAAAACUUUAUUACAAAAACUAUCAAAUCAAAGGAAGCAAGCGUACAGUAAAAUUGUUAGAAACCUCAUAGAGGUUCCUGAAAUUAUCCCUAACUUUUUUUUUGUACUAUAAAAGCUCCAAAAAAGUGGCAGCUCAAACGGGACCAACAAUCUACUAUGUUCGCCUGUUCUCCCGCCGGACCCACCAGCCGCCGGCGGCCAUGGGUCAUCUAUAAAAGCAUAGAUCAAGACUACACUAAUCCCUCAUCAGUCCAGUCCAUCCAUAAUUCUCCUAUCUUCACAAGUCCUCCCGAUGACCCACCAGCCGGCGGCGGCCCUGGGUUAUCUAUAAAAGCAUAGACCAAGACUACAGAAAUCGCUCAGUCCAGUCCAUCCAUACUUCCUCUUCAGGCCUCAGCUACUAAACAAUCAACUCUGCUCCACUCAACUCUUUCCUCUGUGUCUUGUGCUCUUGUCCGAAAAUGGCGGCGUCAGAAGAAGUGAAAGUGCCAAGAAUCAAGCUGGGCUCGCAAGGUCUUGAAGUUUCAGCUCAAGGGCUGGGCUGCAUGGGCAUGUCAGAAGCCUACGGGCCGCCGAAGCCCGAGCCUGAUAUGAUCAAACUCAUCCACCAUGCUAUUUGCAGAGGUAUCACCCAUCUUGACACCGCCGAUAUGUAUGGACCUCACACCAACGAAAUACUCAUUGGCAAGGUACCGUAUUUACAAAUUUUCUGCUGUUGUGUGCUGUGCAUAAAAUCUUGUACUUUUAAUUUCUAAAAGAGCAUAUUUGUAAUAUUUUAUUUGGGUAUAUUAUACUUGACCCCCUGCACUUCAAAACUUGUCUCCCUUUGUGCCCCCUUAAUUUUGUUUGUGAGCACUUGAACUCCAUUUGUUUAAAUUGUAAGUAUUAUUAGUCAAAUAGGACAUUGUUCUUCUUUUCUUUUGCUUCAUUUUUUCAUGUUACUGCCUUUUCAGUUUGUCCUCCUUUAUAGACAUGGGAUGAAUUACUUUGAUUUUGAUUUUGGCGCAAUUUUGUAUAAAAUGAUUUUUGCUAUGAAGUUAUUGAUUUAUUAUGAGCUAUGCGUUGUAUAUUUACACAAAUUCUGCUAGCUAAACAUUUACUUGAGCAAGCCUUCCAUACAUGAGCAAUAUAAUACUCUAUGGGUGCAUUUCGUAAAAUUGAAGUUUGAAAAUUAAAAUCUAAUUUAAAGUCUAAAUUCAUAAAGUUAUUAAAUUGUUAAGUACUAAAUUUGAUAUGUUUGAGUGCAUGUCACAUCAAACGAUCAGUGAAUAAUUGAUCAUUUAUUUUUUAGAGCAAGUUUUGUUUAAGAAAUUCAAUGCUAUUUAAUUAAUUCAGAUAUUCAUUUUUUGGUUAUCAAACAUGUUUGAAUAUGAUAAGAUUUGAACCUAUUAAUUUUAAGUGUUGAAUUGGAUUAUCAAAUAGGACCUAUAAUUAUUAGGUAACCAAGCAGACAACAUGUUUAGUGUAUAAUAGUAAUUAACGUUCAAUUUGUCUCGUUAUUCUUUGGUAAAGAACUCUUUGAAUAUUAAUAAUAAUUUUCUCAUCCACGGGAAUCAAAAUAAUUGAAGUUUUAUCUCUACCAUUGAGAUAUGUUACCUUCUAAAAGAAAGGAAAGGGAAGGAAACAUGGGGGAAAAAUAGGGAAAGGGCAAAGUGAUGAUAAAUAAAAUUGGAAGUAGCAAAAUGAGACAAGUGAAUUAUUGCAAGGGGUUAAGUGUAAAUUAUGUUUAUUUUAUUAGACUAUUUAACCAGAAAGACUGGACUCUUUUAAGGCACCAAUCAAAGGUUCCAAUUGCUGGAAAUAACAUGAAAACCUAGACUUUGGUUUGGCGUUUUUGGAGGUGGUUCAUGAAAAUUUUAUUGUAGUUUUUUUUUUCUUCUUGAAAAAUAUAUUUGUAAGAGAAAAAAAGUGGUUGAAAAAAAAUUGAGAGUUUUUUUUAAUAAAUUGUUUUCUAAAUAGUUCAGUCACCCAAAAUUUUCAGUAUUCCGACAAUGGCAUCCAUGUGGUGUCAAUUGUCAAACGUGCAACAAAGUUGAGAAGAGAAGGUCGCAGGUCUAGCGCAUACUUUGAAUAGCUACCAUCUCUUUAUUUUCUUUUUUUUUUUCCGUCAAAAUUCUACAUCAUAAUGGAGUUGGUAAAAUAGUACUAUUUUCGUCUUUGAUGUUAAAAUUUUCAUCAUUUUAUGGAAAGUUUACUAUUUCUCUGAUAAGAGAUAGUAAAAUUUACUUUUUAUGAGCAGUAAAGUUUUAAAGAUUAUGAAAAGAGAAAUGUAUGAAGGAAUAGAAGGGAAAGAAAGGUAAGAAAAUGGAUGGAUUGUAUUUGGAUUGAUUUUGAGAGGGGAAAGGAGAGGAAACGGAAAGAAAAGGAAAUGGAUGUAUUGUGUUUUGCUCAGACUCAUUUCCAUACAAAAGUAGACGGAAACAGAGGGAAAGAAAAUCUUGUUGAUGAUUUUCUAGUAAAAUGCCUCAAGCACCCAAAUAAAUUGUGGGAUGCAACAGCAGGCUAGGAAUGUUUGACGAAGCAACUUAUGUAAAUAUUUUAUCGUUAAGUAAAGUUCCUCUUUUGCUGUUAAAAAAAAAAAAAAAAAAGAGGAAAACUAUUCCUUUCAUGUCUGUCAUUCUACCAAACAGUAUAUUUAGGUUUUCUUUCUUUUCCAACCAUAUCUGAUCCAAAUAAGACAAAUGAGAACUAUUUUCCUCUGCUCUCCUUUCCUUUCUUUUUCACUAGGAUGUUUUAUUUAUAUAUUUAUCCUUUCCUUUGAUCCAAAUGGUUCCUAAAAGGGCCCUAAAUAAUUAUUCUACAUUGAUCAGUUCCCUAUUUUUGUACUAAUUUGCAUGUGCACGAUUCUGUGUAUGUUCAUGUUGUGCAUCAAAUCUUGUGAAUGACAAAGCUAGAGUGUAAAUUUAAGCUGAAGAAAUAUAAACCAAAAAAAAAAGAAAAUGGAUUGGCUCCGUUAAAGAAAAUGGAUUACAUACUUUUCAUAUCCUUUGCCAUACAAAGAAGUGGCAUAGCCUUAACAAUGAAGUGUUGGUAAAACUCCAGAAGGACUGUGCCAUCCAUGAAAUCACAAAUCCACUUGUUAUACCAUGCAAUAAUGUGUAUGUCCUUGAUGAUUAAUAUAAUGAAACCAUGGUUCUAGGCCUUGAAGGAAGGAAUAAGAGCGAAAGUGGAGCUAGCAACCAAAUUUGCAAUCAGUUUUCAGGAUGGGAAGUGAGGAGGUGAUUUUCGGUUGGUAACUAGACCGACCUGGAUCAGUCCUCUCUGAGAUGAAGUGAGGUGAACUCCUGUGUCCGAAGUGAACCUCGGUGUCCGAAGUGAGUGGCGGGGCUUCUCCCCUGGGAUCACUCCGACGAUCAAGUUAGUAUGAGAACGAGAAUAAUGAGAAUGAGUUAAUGAACAGUGUCCGCUUACUUGUUGGGAGUGUGUCUGGGGUAUUUAUAGAAGAGAGGUGGUCAAGACGGAAGGCUCAUGCUAGCGGGACCCACUCUCUGGCAUUACGGCUCUGUCUCCUGUCAGGAGGUCUGACUCUGACACUGUAGCCGCCUGGGAGUGAUGACGGAGGAUAUGGUGCAGGUGCCAUUAAGUGCCUCCAGUGCUUUUCAGAUAAAGUGCUGGUCCUGGAUGAUGUCAGGUGGGUUGACAUCAUCAGCGUGCAGCUGAGGCGGGGGUGCCGAGGUCGGCUACACAGUAUGCUAUGGAAACGGCCGAGCCCGAGCUCAGGGAUGAUGUCCGGGACACGGAUGAACUCCGAUGAGGGACGAGGUGAGUCCACCUCGGCCACUCGGGAUGGCCGAGGUGAGCAUCCUCAGGAAGUUUGAUGUACGUGGUGAUCCAGCCUAUGUGAGGGCUUGUUGUGAAGCAAGUUUGAAGCGGCUUGAUGUGGACUGCAUUGAUCUCUAUUAUCAACAUCGCAUCGAUACAAGUGUGCCCAUUGAAGUCACGGUUUGCUCCAUCUUGCCUUUCUUUUAUUUUAGCUCCACCUCAUUCUUGAUGAAACAAAAGUUUGAUCAACUCCAAAUUUAGAAUAAUUCAGUUUCAUGUCCGUUUCAAUUCUUCAAAAAUUGCACAGAAAAGUUAGUCAACCUUAUGGUCUCGGCUAAUCAGUAGUAUGGUAUAGCUGAUUUUGCACAAGGCAUCCUGAAAAGUGAAAACAAUGAAAAUGUCUUGUAUUAGCUUGACAGUCCUGCUGAGGGAUAUACAGAUGGAUAUCAUGCUAUACAUUGUACAGCUUUCCUUUAGAACCAAGAGACCUGAGCAUUCUCUUUCAUUUGAGAUAGGCUAUUUACUUACAUUGUCAUUCGUUUUCAGUCGGUGCCAAAAGCACUGCAGAUAGACAUUUAUUAUUGAUAUCUAAAAAACAUGGUACUCAUUUUGUUCAGAGCACAGCUUUUUGUCUAAUUGUGAAAGCCAGCUGCAACUGCCCCAUUGACCUCUCCAAGCAAUUCAAAGAUUUCAGCAGCUUGCUUACAUUAAGCUUUUAUGAAACGAUUUCUCUGUCUUCUUUUUCUCAUGUAAUCAGCAAAGAAUUGUCUUGUUUUCCCUGAGUAUUAGGUAGAAACUUUCUUGCAGUUUAAUCACUCAAAAUACAGGCAAGUAUAACGGAAAUCAAGCAAAAUUGGCAACUGAUAAUUGAUAUGUACAGCCAUCAUUAUAUAUAGAAGUCAACAAUGCCAUGUAAUCAUAUUGGAGGAGCAUUAUGUUGGCAUGGUCCAGUAGAACUAAGUCCUCCGGUUGGCUGUACAUAGAGAACUAUCACUGGAUGCUUAUUGCCAUUUUCAUCAAUUAGUGAUUUCAGUUUGAUGUAUACUUUGUCCACAACUUCGUUGAACUAGUGCAACUUUUACUUUUUGCACGUAAUAUUUCGAUUAUCUGCCUAAGUGUUGAAUGUAAUAAAUCAGCUUAGCAUCUUCUUGUCCAUUGAAAUUCUCUAGAUAGGAGAGCUCAAGAAACUGGUUGAAGAGGGUAAAAUAAAGUAUAUAGGUCUGUCUGAGGCCUCAGCUUCAACAAUUCGAAGAGCACAUGCUGUUCACCCAAUAACAGCUGUACAGUUGGAGUGGUCAUUGUGGACCAGAGAUGUCGAGGAAGAGAUUAUUCCCACUUGCAGGUAGUGCAUAUAUUCUGCUGAAUUUUCUAAAUGGUCUAGAAGAAAUAUGAAGUUCUCAAUUCAGUUUUUGGUAUAAUCUUUCAGAGAGCUUGGCAUAGGGAUUGUUGCAUACAGUCCACUUGGACGAGGUUUCUUCUCAUCAGGUCCAAAGCUGAUGGAGAAUUUGGCUGAAGGUGACUUUCGAAAGGUUUGUACAUAUGUUUUUGAGUAUAGAUUGUUUAUAGUUCGAAUAAGUUUCUCACUCAUCUACUUUUACCAGAUUCAGUGGCAAUCUUGCUUGAUAUCCCUAUUGUUGUCUAUCUGUUAUAUGUUGCUGCACUUUUUGAUAUCCAAUAAUUUGAUUAAGGCUUGUAAUAUGAUCACAUUUAAUAAAAUUUCUAUUAAACAUAGCAAUUCAACAGGAUUUUUUUUCCCUCUCGAACAAGUCUUGGAGUCUUUAGUUGAUUCAAUGAAUGCAUAUUUUGGUGUCCUCUGUAUUUAGUUCAAAUUAAGAGAUAUAGCACAAGCUUUGUCAAAUUUAAGAUCUUAUAUUAAUUGAAGGUUGUUAUUGCUUGCUGGAAAUUUAUAUAGUGGACAACAAUCACAAGCAAUGGGUAGUAUCAAAUUUUAAAGUGCAAAGAUGUCAAAACAUGAAAAAACUACGUCAUUUUUUAAGUGAACGUCUCUUUACAGUUUUGAGGGGAAAUGGACCUUAGACUUCAGUUUCAUCAUUUAGUCUCAGGCACAGAACUUAUGUUGUCCUGUGAAACUAUCAUUUUUCCUUUACCAUCAGUCCUAGAACUGAGUUUCAUUGGUCAGAAAUAUACUUCAUAGUAGUACCUCCUCCAUCGUUCUACAAACAAACAAAAAUUAGUUGAUUUGUAUUUAAGUUUCCUCUUUGAUGGGAAAUGUGUCUCAGAACUUAACUCCAACAGUUGAUGUUUCCUACUUGGAGUGUUCAGUCCACCUUGAUGCAUUGUUCUUUCCCCUGAACUUGUGCCCUUCAAACAGUAUUUCUGAUCAUCUUGAAGUAAUUAGUACCGUCUGUUCAUUGCUCCCUCCCGAUAUCUUGCAUUAUAGUUUCCUCCUCUUUAAUGGGAAAUGUAUCUCCGGAUCUACCUUCUACAAUUGAUGUUUCUUAGAGUACUCAGUCCACCUUACUUGAUUGUUCCUUCCCCUGAACUUUGUACACCUCAGACAAUACUAUCGAUCAUCUUGAAGUUAUUCAUAUUGUCUUCAUUUGUAGACGACACAUGCUUCACUCCCUUUUGCAUUUCUGGCGUUACAGUUGCUUGAAAUUUUGAAAUUCAUACAAUGCAGGGUUUGCCAAGGUUCAAGCAGAGAAUUUGGAGCACAACAAGAAGUUGUAUGAGCGGGCCACUGCCAUUGCUUCAAGGAAGGGUUGUACUCCAUCACAGCUAGCAUUGGCCUGGGUCCAUCACCAAGGCAAUGAUGUUUGUCCCAUACCUGGCACUACCAAGAUUGAGAACCUCAAUCAGAAUAUAGGAGCUUUGUCUGUAAAACUGUCGGCAGAAGAUAUGGCGGAACUUGAAUCUAUUGCUUCUGCAGGAGUCAAGGGUGAGAGAUACGGACCUGAAAUCAGCACAUGGCAAAAUUCUGAAACUCCACCAUUGUCAACCUGGAAGAGGACAUGAAGACAUAGCUUUGUUGUGGCAAUAAUUCCUUCUAGCUAUUUGCCUGAUGGUGGAUUUCACUAUAUUAAGAGUUGAGUGAUAUGUAUUUGUCCCUAUAAAUUUCGUCAUACUAUUGUCUCCAGGGUUAAGGCAAGUAAAGUUAUAAGAAGAAUGGAGUUUCUUCAGAAAGGUUGUAAUGAAUAAAGAUCUGGUCAUGUAAAAGCAGAACAUAAUUUUCCUUGCAGUUGAAUGCAUUAAAGGUUAUGUAUUGUACUUUUGAAUGCUAAAGUGGUCCAUUUUUUAUGUGUUACUGCUACGAGAGUUAUAGAUUGUUGGACAUCAUUUUUUGGUUGGAAUGUUUACAUCAAAGCGUCUCCAAGGACAUGUCAUUCUAAAGUUUAAACUACAUCAUACCAACAAAAUGCAGAAAAAGGUCUAAAGUAUGGGAUGUUUGUAAAUUUUCACGGGAGGCUUUGUUGGGUAAAUUGUAAAGGACUAGCAAAUAUUGUAACAAGAAUUGGCUUCAAAUCGUGAUAGAAAUCACUUUCCUUUAGGCUUUAUUUGUCCGGUAUAACGUGCAAUAACCUUAGACAAAUAUCCUUUAAGAUAAGAUGAAGUUUUGUUUGUCUUAAACUCUUGCACAAAGCAAGACAAACCCUUUGUGAACUAAGGAGUGCUUUUGAGAGAGUAAGGAUAGUAGGAAAGUGAUUUUCUGCAGCAAACUACUCUCUACUUGACCUCUUUAUAUAGGAAGAUUGUUUGGGAAACAAAAGAUCUCAUUAAACACUUGUAUGAAUAGAUUCAAAGUAUUGUGUACACAUUCAUGCACUUUAAUUCAUGCAUCUCAUGAUCAUUUAGAUCAAAACAUGAAUCUAUCCUUUCAUUCAAUAAUUCUCAUAUACAUGAAUACAUUCAUAAAUGAAUGUACUUUUAGGAACAUUCACAAUACUAUACAUGUACCAAAAAUUAAUGAAUACAUUAAUUACAUGUAUGUACAUCAUACAAAUUUUGAAAAGUUUCCAACAAUCCUCCGCCAUUUUCAAAAUUUAGAAAAUGGAUUUCUAAAAGGUCACCAAGUAAUCUGACACUCAUAUGCAUAAAUAAUGGUGUCUUUCGAUUGAACCACUAUCUUAGUGAAGGUUCUUUGAAAUCAAUCCUUCAAGAUGGUAGACAAGCUUUGAACCACUUGGACAUUGGACCAACCUCAUAAACACAUCACACACUGAGCAAUGCACAACCAUAAGUUCUUCAACGAUACAUUUUACGGCCUUGUAUCACUAUCCUUUCUUGAAUGUUUACAAAGUAAAGUCCUUAAUUUUGUGGUUUGCCAAAAAUUAACAUUCAUAUAGGCGACAUCUUAGUGCCCCCGCCAUAGAUAGCACUUUUAAGAUUCGUUAAGAGUCCAAUGACUCAUCCUUACAUUUGCACUGGCGAGAAUAACAUGCACUAUUCAACAUUGGGAUGUCUAAACUUCACAUAGUGCACCAACCACUAGAAUGGUGUACUUUCACUCAUUGAAUUCAAGACUAGACGUUGUAUUUAGCGUUGAAUUGAGGUUCCACCAUUAGCGAUAAAAAAUUUUGGACUUUAAACCAAUUCCCCUUGAUGUCUUUGACACCAAAUUUCUUGAUAAUCCUUUUAUCAAAGGAUCACUUAAAUUUUCAUUUGAUCUCACAAAGUCAAUUGAUAUGACUCCAUUUGUAAUCAAAUCUUUGACAUAACUAUGUCUCAAACCGAUAUGUCUUGAUUUACCAUUAUACACUUGACUAUAUGCUUUAGCAAGUGUAGCUGCACUAUCACAAUGGAUUGAGAUAGGCGAUAAAGGUGUUGGCCACAAUGGUAUAUCAUAAAGUAAAUUACGUAGCCAUUUAGCUUCUUUACAGGCCGAAACAAGUGCUACAAACUCUGCUGCCAUUGUUGAAUCGGUGAUACAAGUCUGUUUCUUAGAACCCCAAGAAAUUGCACCUCCACUAAGCAUAAAGAUUCAACCACUUGUCGACGAGUGAUCAUCUUUAUUGGUGAUCCAACAAGCAUCUGAAAAUCCUUUUAAAACUGAAGGAUAACCGGUAUAACAUAUACCAUAGUUCUUAGUGGCCUUUAAAUACUUUAAAAUUUUGGUUACACCUUGCCAAUGUAACCUACUAGGGUUGCUUGUAUAUCUGUUCAAUAUACCAACUGCAUAUGCAAUAUCAGGUUUAGUACAAGUCAUUGCAUACAUUAAAUACCCUAUAACCUUGGCAUAUUCCAUUUGAGAUUUUAGAUCCCCCUCAUUUUUCACAAAAUUUAUUUUAGAAUCCAAUGGUGUUGAGGCUGGAAUACAAUCACUUUGAUUGAAUUUGUUAAGAAUCUUUUCAAUAUAAUGUGUUUGAGACAACAUUAUAUUGUUAUCAUAUUUGAAGAUUCUCAUACCAAGAAUGACAUCUGCCUCACCCAUGUUUUUCAUGUCAAAUUUGAUUGAAAGCAAAGUUUUUGUGACUUCAACUUGUUCCAAGUCAGUCCCAAAAAUCAACAUGUCAUCAACAUAUAAACAAAUUAUGACACCUUUGCCAUAAUCAAACUUGCUAUAAAUACAUUUAUCAGAUUCAUUUAUUUUGAAUCCACUAGCAAGAAUAAUUUGGUCAAAUUUCCGAUGCCAUUGCUUCGGUACUUGUUUUAGUCCAUAUAAAAACUUUACAAGUUUACACACCUUAUGCUCUUGACCAAGUAUCACAAACCCUUCGGGUUGCUCCAUAUAUAUUUCUUCAUCCAAAUCACCAUUCAAGAAUGCUGUUUUAACAUCCAUUUGGUGAAUGACUAGAUUUUGGAUAGAAACUAUAGCAAGUAGCACUCUAAUUGUAGCAAUUCUAGCUACUGGUGAAUAUGUGUCAAAAUAGUCCACACCAUACUUUUGUGUAAACCUUUUGGCAACCAACAUGGCCUUGAACUUAUCAAUAGUUCCGUCGAUCUUCAUUUUCUUCUUAAAGAUCCACUUACAACCAAUUGGUUUUGAACCAGGUGGUAAAUCUACUAAUUUUCAGGUUUUAUUAUCCAUGAUUGAGUCCAUCUCAUCAUUAAUAGCUUCCUUCCAAAAGGGAGCAUCUUGUUAGUUCAUUGCUUCUUCAUAGGUCUUGGGAUCAGUCUCAAUAUUGAAGCAAUAUGAGAUUUGGUUGCUCACUGUAUCUCUAGUUCUUUCAACUAGAUACAUAUAAAAGUCCGAACCGAAGUCUUUUGAUUUUCUAGCUCUUUUGCUCCUUCUCAAUUCAAUGGUUUCAUUUUCACCAUCUUUUGUCAAUUCACUUGAUUUUGGAAUAACAUCUUUUAUAGAGGUGAACCUAUUCUCUUCAAAAAUAGCAUCUCUAGACUCAAUUAUGGUAUUAACCGAAAUUGAAUCAUUAGGUUCAAUUACCAUGAACCUAUAUGCUUUGCUAUUUUGUGCAUAUCUUAAAAAUAUACACUCCACACCUCUUUCUCCCAAUUUCCUUUUUUGAGGUUCUGGGAGUUUUACAAUAGCUCUACAACCCCAAACUUUCAAAUAGUUUAGGUUGGACUUCCUUUUAUUCCAAAAUUUAUAAGGGGUUAUAGAACUUCUUUUAUUAGAAACUCUAUUUAGGAUAUGACAAGCCGUUAACAAGGCUUCACUCCAAAAUCCUUGACUUAAACCAGAUUUUGACAAAAGUGCAUUAACCAUUUCUGUCAAUACACGAUUUUUCCUUUCGGCUACACCAUUUUAUUGUGGUGUGUAAGGAGCAGUCACCUCAUGUUUUAUCCCAACAGACUCAAAAUAGGUAAUAUCAUAAUAUUCCCCACCUCUAUCUGUUCUUAGACAUUUGAUAAAGGAUUCACAAUGAAGUUCAACUUCUGAUUUGUAUGCCUUAAAUUUUUGCAAAGUUUCACUUUUUGAGUGUAACAAGAAAACAUGACAGUAUCUACUAUAAUCAUCAAUAAAAGUCACAAAGUACUUUUUACCACCCAAAAUAGGAGUACCAUGCAAAUCACGUACAUCACUAUGAAUCAAAUUCAAGAUUUUAGAUGAUCUUUCAACUUUAGAAAACGAAUUUCUUGUGAUUUUCGUUAGCAUGCAUGUUUUGUAUUUUCCUUCAAUUUUAUCACAAUAUGGCAGCAAAUCAAGUCUCAUCAUUUCAUGCAUUCUUUUGUAAUUAACAUGACCAAUCCUAUUAUGCCACAAUUUAAAAGAAGACUCAACCAAAGACGCAGAAAUAAUAUCACUCUUAUUAUUUCUAAUAGCGAGUACAUUCAACUUAAACAUCCCACUGCAAAGAUAACCCUUGCCUACAAACAUACCACCUUUAGACAAAAUAAAUUUGUCAGACUCAAAUAUAAGUCUAAAGCCAAAUUUAUUUAACAGCUCAGCCGACACCAAGUUCUUCCUAACUUCCGGUACAUAAAACACAUUUGUCAAGGUUACAACAUUUUCGAAAGUAAAUUUUAAUUCUAUUUCUCCAAUGUCUUGAACCGGAAUUGUAGCAGAAUUUUUCAUGUAAACAACGGUGCUUUCAUCCACCGGUUUCAUGGACUUGAAGAACGUUCUAUUGUUGCACACGUGUCGCGUAGCUCCAGAAUCAACCCACCAAGCAAAAUUAUCUUCAAUCAUAUUGAUUUCAGAUAUCAUUGCUACAAGAAUUUUGCUUGUGGUUUGGGAAGACUCUUGCUUCUUCUUCUUGUUUUGAAGAAUCUUGCAAUCGGACUUGUAGUGUCCCUCUUUCUUGCAAUAGAAGUAUUGUCCCUUCUUUCUUUUCUUGGAUUGAUUCUUGGGUUGUUGGCCCUUCUUACUUCCUUGAGACUUUUCAGUUUGCCUCUCUUCAAUCACAUGCACUUUUGAAGUAGAAUCUUUGUUCUCUUCAAGGAUUUGACUAUCCUUCUUUUCUUGCAUGCGAAUUUCCUCUUCUACUCGAAGAGAUUUAGCAAAAAUCUCAAGAGAGAUAUCAUCUUUUUUAUGUUUGAGGUCUCUUUUGAAAUCUUUCCAAGAAAGUGGUAACUUAUCUAUUAUAGAGCAAACAAUAAUGGCUUCAUUCAUGUGUAGAUUGUGUUGUGUGUAGUGAUUAAGAAGCCUUUCAAUCUCACUAAAUUGCUCCAAAACAGACUUAUUAUCUACCAUUUUAUAAUUAUUAAAAGACGAGACAAGAAACUUCUUACUUGUAGCAUCUUCUUGCAUGUACUUGGACUCCAAUCGAUCCCAAAGUUCCUUGGCAGUAGUAAUUGAAUGGUAGACAUCGAACAGGUUGUCACUCAUGGUAUUGAGGAUGUGACCACGGCAUAUUUCAUCGUCGUUCUCCCAUUUCUGACGGUUUCAGAUGUGUUCAAGAGUUUCUUCAUCGGGAUUGAUCAAUGAUUUUGGUGUGAUCAAAACAUAGACCACUUUGAGUGCAGUGAGAAGGAAAUGAACACGUUUUUGCCAACGAACGAAAUUUCCUCCAUCAAACCGCGUGAGCUUGACAAUAUUGGAUGCCAAAUCUUUCAAGGUACCAUCCAUUGUAGAGUAUAAAUAAAGCCUAAAAAUUGUUGGGUAAAUUGUAAAGGACUAGCAAAUAUUGUAACAAGAAUUGGCUUCAAAUCGUGAUAGAAAUCACUUUCCUUUAGGCUUUAUUUGUCCGGUAUAACGUGCAAUUACCUUAGACAAAUAUCCUUUAGGAUAAGAUGAAGUUUUGUUUGUUUUAAACUCUUGCACAAAGCAAGACAAACCCUUUGUGAACUAAAGAGUGCUUUUGAGAGAGUAAGGAUAGUAGGAAAGUGAUUUUCUACAGCAAACCACUCUCUACUUGACCUCUUUAUAUAGGAAGAUUGUUUGGGAAACAAAAGAUCUCAUUAAACACUUGUAUGAAUAGAUUCAACGUAUUGUGUACACAUUCAUGCACUUUAAUUCAUGCAUCUCAUGAUCAUUUAGAUCAAAACAUGAAUCUAUCCUUUCAUUCAAUAAUUCCCAUAUACAUGAAUACAUUCAUAAAUGAAUGUACUUUUAGGAACAUUCACAAUACUAUACAUGUACCAAAAAUUAAUGAAUAUACAUUAAUUACAUGUAUGUACAUCAUACAAAUUUUGAAAAGUUUCCAACAGGCUUGUGAUAGCAAAAACUUCAGGAGGCUUCUGAAAUUAUCCCUUAAACUAAACUAAAGGAGGUAAGAUUUUAAGCAGAUCUCGGUAAGUUAAAAGGUUAAAACUUUACAUACAAAUAAAUGGUCAAAUUCACUUUAAAUUUGUGGUGUCAUCUUCCACCUUAAACUUUUGUACUAUCCAAGUUCGUUUUAAUUCCUUUGGGAAAAUCAAACAUCAAAUGCUUACCAUUUAUUGAAACAUUACAUCAUCCAUCCAAUUGAAACAAACUCCUACGGAGUUUUUUUUUUUUUUUUUUGCUUUAUUUUGUUGUUAGAUAUGAAUUUAUUUCACAUUUGGUUGUCAGAUCUAAAUUUUUUUUUCAAAUUUUAAAUCUAUUUCAACAUAUCUCAUUAUCAUUAUUGAAACUUAAAACCGUUUAUUGGCAAAUCUGGUGAUUGCCAUAUGCACGGAAGGGAUGCACUUUUAAAAUUCUUUAUAUAUAUUUUUUUAGAUUUGUUUGUAAUUUUCAAAUCUAUUGUAUCUGUUAAAUUAUGAUCUGUAAUUUUUAAUGGAUGUUUGGCCUGCCAUUAGGGGAGUUAUGCAAAUCAAAUCAUGUUAGAUGAUUUCCAAAAAAAACUUAAUCGUCAAUUACUCUUUCCCAUUUUAUUUGUCCACUUUUCAAUUGUCAAUAACUCUUUUAAGAAACUUUGUAAUACAAAAAUCAACUGAAACCAGUAGAAUAUUACUUUGUAAUAUUUUUUUUGACAAAAAAAAGUAGAAUAUACAAUUAAUAGCAGUAUUCAUAUUAUGUUUUUGUAUAUUACUUGUACAUCUAAUUAGUCCCAUUUGGAGAAAAAAAAAGGAUGAAGACAAAGACAAAAACACAUAAUAGUCACAAAAAACACAGAUCUAGCUCAAAAUAUGGCAGUGACCAAUUGUUCUGCAAAAUUAUUAGGAUAAGCAGUUGACAGAUUCUAUAAUCGCUUUUGGUCAAAUAUUAUUUAAAUUAGCUGGAUGGUCAAAUAUUACUUUUAAUUUUAAUCAUUUAAAUUACCAGUUACUAUCAUCAUUGGAAGAAGCACAUUGAGGGUCUGUUUGGAUUGUGAAUUAUUAGAGAUAUUUUUACUGUAGCACUUUUUAUGAUGUGAUGUAUGUGAGAUAAAAAGGUAAUUGGAAAGGUAAAAAGGUGUAUUGGAAAUUGUAAUAAUGAUGUAAGCAAAUAAAUUUUGAGAAAUAAAGCCCAAUCCAAACAAAGCCUGAAGGAAUGAUACUCUAAGAUGACUACAGAAAUUUUCUAGCUGGUUAUACAACAUAUUAAUAGUUGAAUGUUGACCUCACCAGCCAUCCCUCAUUCCUUGUCGCAUCCUUUUUAUGAAUUGGAUUCAUCUAUUUGGUGUUCUAAAAUCACAUUUAAAAGUUUUUUUUUUUUUGCGAAAGUGUUAUUAUUCAGGAUGUGUAUGAUAAUUUAAAAUUUUAAUAGUGGACCUAAAAAUAAAACUUGUAAAUUUUACAUAUGAGCCUACCUACUUUUAAAAUAGAGGGAAAAAAACAUCACAUAACUUCAAGUCCAAGAUUGUAUGCAGUUUGUCCAAUAAAUAGAUAUUCAUAAUUCAUAAUUUCAUAUACACAUGUUAACUAGAGAUGUCAAUCACAACCCAAUUAUAUUGAUCCGUUCAAAACCGUUCACUAAUAACCCAUCCAAAUUCACUCAUUAAAAUUUAAAUGGGUCUAAGUGAGUACCUAAUUAAAUCCAUUUAAUUGGUGGAUAGUUGAUUGAUUUGACUCACCCAUUUAUAACCAUUUAAAAAAAUAUAUUUUUAAACUCAAUUUUUACUAAGUGUUAAGAAGAUAAAUUUGAAUUUCCUACAAAUCUAAUAACAAUAAAAUAUCAUUUUUCUUGUUAAACGACAUGCAAAAAAUUUUAAAAAAAAUAGAAUUUCAAAUCAGUGUAAAUGGGUAAUUAAGUAUUUUCAUAUCCAUUUAUUAAAUAGAUAUAAAUGGAUUGAUUCAAUUAUAUCUAUUAUCCAAUUAAAAUUUGCUCAAACCUGUACAAGUCACUCAUUUUUAUGCUUCUAAUGUUAAUAUAUAUUCACAAGUGAAGAGUGCAGCAUUGACAAGGAAGAUAUACUUAUUUAUCCCAAUAUUAUAGUCAUUUUUUUCAUUACAAAAGUAUUGAUAAUUUCAUAAUUUCAUCAUCAGUGACAUAACAUUACAUGAAUUUCAACGAAGUAUGUAAUCAGUGACAUGACAUAACAUGUCAUCAUUAGUCUUCAGCGGUGAAUCUUAUCACGAGGCUUCUUUUCGAAGCUUUGAUUAUGGCAUACACUUCUGACAAUAUGUCCCUUUUAGAAUAGGGAUAAGUUUCUGUGACCAGGCUUCUUUUCAAAGCUUUGAUUAUGGCAUACACUUCUGACAAUGCCCCUUUUAGAAUAGGGAUAAUUUCAGAAACCUCCCUAGGGUUUGUAACAAUUUCAUCGAACUUUCUUGAAAUUUUUAAUAUUACACUUAUCUCCCUUUAUGAUAGACAAUAAUUAUAAUAACCUUCAUAAUUUUUUCAAAGACAAGCUAUUGAUAAAAAAGAUAAAAAAAAAUGAAAACAAUUCUUCUUGGCUAAGCCUCAUAUUGUGACUAAAUUGUUUCACCCAUAACCACUAAAUUGUAAUUUCUAUUACUCAGAAAAGAAGCAUUUUGGUAAUUGAGGGGCUUGGUUGUUUGAGUGGGAAAAGGGUAAGAAUUGUGAAUUUUAUGAUUGACGGUUUGGUAGACAACAUAUGGAAAAAACUUAUAGAGAGGUAAAAAUUAUAAAGAUAAGAAUUAUGAUGAUGGAUUUUGACAUCUAAAAUAUCGAGCUUGUUCGAAAAAAGGAAGAAAUGAUAAGAUCGAGUUUGAAAACUUGGGUAGAUGUAGAAAAUUAUGAGAUGAAAAAUAUUAGGACAUUGUCUAAGUAAUAAAACUCAUAGGUUUAUAGUAUACAAGUGUAUUCUUGAUUUUUGAAAAAUUUUAAUGACUAUUCAUAUUUUGAAAAUUAGAUAAGGGCAAUUUUGGACAUUCAUAUAUUUUUCUGGUCUUACAUCAUCAAGGUGAAACUCAAACCUAUGUUUUAGUAAAUGUAUGUGUAAUUUUCAAAAAGUGAGGAAAGCUGUCUGAAAUUAUCAGAAACCUCAGGGGUGAUUUAUGAAAUUAUCCCUAAUUUUUUUUUUGGUACAAAAAACUCCAAAAUAAUAUGUCCCACACUCUGUGCCACACUCUGUGCCACUUUUUAUUAUAUUGCUAUUUUUCCUACAUAAAUAACAUGUUUUAAUUCUUUUUUGCUUUCUUAAGAUCCAAUAACUAUUAAUUAAGUAAAAAAUAAAUACAACAACUUCAAAAAAGCAAUAUAUAAUAGAAAAUUAAAAAAUACAGCAGAAAAUUCAUAAAAAAUCUCAUUUUUUAUAUAUUUUGAUUUUUUGACUUUGUUAAAUUUUGUGUAUUACUCAAUUAAUAGUUAUUGGAUCUUAAGGAAGCAAAAAAGAAUUAAAAUAUGAUGUUUAUGUAGGAGAAAUAGUAAUAUAAUAAAAAAUGGGACAGGCACAUGGUGUGGGACAAAAGGUCCGUUGCACCAAAAAAGUGGCAGUUCAAACUGGAACCAUCUCCUAUUUUCGCAAGUCCUCCCGCCGGCGGCCCUGGGUCAUCUAUAAAAGUAUAGACCAAGACAACACUAAUCCCUCAUCAGUCCACUCCAUACUUCUUCUUCAAGCCUCAGCAACGAAACAAUAAACUCUGCUCCACUCAACUCUUUCCUCUGUGUCUUGUGCUCUUGUCUGAAAAUGGCGGCGUCAGAAGAAGUGAAAGUGCCAAGAAUCAAGCUGGGGUCGCAAGGUUUUGAAGUUUCAGCUCAAGGGCUGGGCUGCAUGGGCAUGUCAGCCUUCUACGGGCCGCCAAAGCCCGAGCCUGAUAUGAUCAAACUCAUCCACCAUGCUAUUUGCAGAGGAAUCACCCAUCUUGACACCUCCGAUAUCUAUGGACCUCACACCAACGAAAUACUCAUUGGCAAGGUACCAUAUUUGCAAAUUUUCUGCUGUUGUCUGCUAUGCGUAAACUCUUGUAAUUUUAAUUUCUAAAAGAGCAUAUUUUUAAAUAUUUUAUUUAGGUAAAUUAUACUUAAUCCCUUGCACUUCAAAAUUUGUCUCCCUUUGUGCCCCCUUAAUUUUGUUUGUCAGCACUUAAACUCCACUUGUUUAAAUUGUAAGUAUUAUUAGUCAAAUAUGACAUUGUUCUUCUUCAUUUUUUCAUGUUACUGCCUUUUCAGUUUGUCCUCCUUUAUAAAUAUGGGAUGAAUUACUUUGAUUUUGAUUUUGGUGCAAUUUUGUAUAAAAUGAUUUUUGCUAUGAAGUUAUUGAUUUAUUAUGAGCUAUGCGUUGUAUAUUUACACAAAUUCUGCUAGUUAAACAUUCACUUGAGCAGGCCUUCCAAACAUGAGCAAUAUAAUUCUCUAUGGGUGCAUUUGGUAAAAUUGACGAUUGAAAAUUGAAAUCUAAUUUAAAGUCUGAAUCCAUAAAAUUAUUAAUUUGUUAAGUACUAAAUUUGAUACGUUUGAGUGCAUGUCAUGUCAAGUGAUCACAGAAUAACUCAUCACUUAUUUUUUAAAGCAAGUUUUGCUUAAGAAAUUCAGUGCCAUUUAAUUAAUUUAGAUAUUCAAUGUUUAAUUAUCAAACAUAUAUGAAUAUAUUAACAUCUGAAUCUAUUAAUUUUAAGUGCUGAAUUGGGUUAUCAAACAUGACCUAUAAUUAUUAGGUAACCAAGCAGACAACAUGUUUAGUGUAUAAUAGUAAUUAACUUUCAAUUUGUGUCGUUAUUCUUUGGUAAAGAACUCUUAGAAUUAUUAAUAAUAAAUUUCUCAUACACGGGAAUCAAAAUAAUUGAAGUUUUAUCUCUACCAUUGAGAUAUGUUGCCAUCUAAAAGAAAGGAAAGGGAAGGAAACAUGGGGGAAAAUAGGGAAAGGGCAAAGUGAUGAUAAAUAAAAUUGGAAGUAGCAAAAUGAGACAAAUGAAUUAUUGCAAGGGGUUAAGUGUAAAUUAUGUUUAUUUUAUGAGACCAUUUAGGCAGAAAGACUGGACCCUUUUAACGCGCCAAUCAAAAGUUCCAAUUGCUGAAAAUAACAUAAAAACUUGACUUUGUUUGGUUUGGCGUUUUUGGAGGUGGUUCAUGAAAAUUUUAUUGUAGUUUUUUUUUUCAUCUUGAAAAAUAUACUUUUUUCAUCAAUUUAUGGAAAGUUUACAAUUUCUCUGAUAACAGAUGGUAAAAUUUACUUUUUACGAGCACUGAAGUUUUAAAGAUUAUGAAAAGAGAAUUGUAUGAAGGAAUAGAAGGGAAAAGAAGGGUAAGAAAAUGGAUGGAUUGUGUUUGGAUUGAUUUUGGGAGGGGCAAGGAGAGGAAACGGAGAGAAAAGGAAAUGGAUGGAUUGUGUUUUGCUCAGACAUCAUUUCCAUACAAAAGUAGAUAGAAACAGAGGGAAAGAAAAUCUUGUUGAUGAUUUUCUAGUAAAAUGCCUCGAGCACCCAAAUUUUACAUAAACUUGCCAUUUGUGAAACCUGCUUUAGAUAUGAAUUGUGGGAUGCAACAGCAGGCUAGGAAUGUUUGACGAAGCAACUUGUGUAGAUAUUUUAUCGUUAAGUAAAGAGAAAAACUAUUCCUUUCAUGUCUGUCGUUCUACCAAACAGCAUAUUUAGGUUUUCUUUCUUUCCCAUUCAUAUCUAAUCCAAAUAAGACAAAUGAGAACUAUUUUCUCUACUCUCCUUUCCUUUCUUUUUCACUAGCAUGUUUUAUUUAUUUAUUUAUCCUUUCCUUUGAUCCAAAUGGUUCCUAAAAGGCCACUAAUUAUUCUACAUUGACCAGUUCCCUAUUUUUGUAUUAAUUUGCAUGUGCACGAUUCUGUGUAUGUUCAUGUUGUGCAUCAAAUCUUGUGAAUGACAAAGCUAGAGUGUAAAUUUAAGUUGAAGAAAUAUAAAACAAAAAAGAAAAUGGAUUGGCUCCUUUAAGAGUAUCAGACUUCUAAACCCCAAGGAUUACAUAAUUUUCAUAUCCUUUGCGAUACAAAGAAGUGGCAUAGCCUUAACAAUGAAGUGUUGGAAAAACUCCAGAAGGAAUGUGCCAUCCAUGAAAUCCCAAAUCGGCUUGCUGUACCAUGCAGUAAUGUGUAUGUCCUUGAUGAUUAACAUAAUGAAAUCAUGGUUCUAGGCCUUGAAGGAAGGAAUAAGAGCGAAAGUGGAGCUAGCAACAAAAUUUGCAAUCAGUUAUCAGGAUGAGAAGUUUGAUGUACGUGGUGAUCCAGCCUAUGUGAGGGCUUGUUGUGAAGCGAGUUUGAAGCGGCUUGAUGUGGACUGCAUUGAUCUCUAUUAUCAACAUCGCAUUGAUACACGUGUGCCCAUUGAAGUCACGGUUUGCUCGUCUUGCCUUUCUUGUUUUUUAGCUCCACCUCAUUCUUGAUGAAACAAAAGUUUGAUCAACUCCAAAUUUUGAAUAAUUCAGUUUCAUGUCCGUUUCAAUUCUUCAAAAGUUGCACAGAAAAGUUAGUCAACCUUAUGGUCUCGGCUAAUCUGCAGUAUGGUAUAGCUGAUUUUGCACAAGGCAUCCUGAAAAGUGAAAACAAUGAAUAUGUCUUAUAUUAGCUUUGGCUGUCCUGCUGAGGGAUAUACAGGUGGAAAUCAUGCUAUACAUUGUACAGCUUUCCUUUAGAACCAAGAAACCCGAGCAUUCUCUUUCAAUUGAGAUAGGCUAUCUGGUUGAGUAAUGAUCUGCUAUUUACUUACCUUGUCAACCAUUUUCAGUUGGUGCCUAAAGCACUGCAGAUAGACAUUUAUUAUUGAUAUCUAAAAAACAUGGUACUCAUUUUGUCCAGAGCACAGCUUUUUGUCUAAUUGUCAAAGCCAGCUGCAACUGCCCCAUUGACCUCUCCAGACAAUUCAAAGAUUUCAGCAGCUUGCUUACAUUCAGCUUUUAUGAAACAAUUUCUGUCUUCUUUUUCUCAUGUAAUCAGCAAAGAAUUGUCUUGGUUUCCCUGAGUAUUAGAUAGAAACUUUCUUGCAGUUUAAUCACUCAAAAUACAAGCAAGUAUAAAGGAAAUCAAGCAAAAUUGGCAACUGAUAAUUGGUAUGUACGGCCAUUAUUAUAUAUAGAAGUCAACAAUGCCAUGUAAUCAUAUUGGAGGAGCAUUAUGUUGGCAUGGUCCAGUAGAACUAAGUCCUCCGGUGGGCUGUACAUAGAGAACUAUCACUGGAUGCUGAUUGCCAUUUUCAUCAAUUAGUGAUUUCAGUUUGAUGUAUACUUUGUCCACGACAUCGUUGAACUAGUGCAACUUUUACUUUUUGCACGUAAUAUUUCGAUUAUCUGCCUAAGUGUUGAAUGUAAUAAAUCAGCUUAGCAUCUUCUUGUCCAUUGAAAUUCUCUAGAUAGGAGAGCUCAAGAAACUGGUUGAAGAGGGUAAAAUAAAGUAUAUAGGUCUGUCUGAGGCCUCAGCUUCAACAAUUCGAAGAGCACAUGCUGUUCAUCCAAUAACAGCUGUACAGUUGGAGUGGUCAUUGUGGACCAGAGAUGUCGAGGAAGAGAUUAUUCCCACUUGCAGGUAGUGCAUAUAUUCUGCUGCAUUUUCUACAUGGUCUAGAAGAAAUAUUAAGUUCUCAAUUCAGUUUUUGGUAUAAUCUUUCAGAGAGCUUGGCAUAGGGAUUGUUGCAUACAGUCCACUUGGACGAGGUUUCUUCUCAUCAGGUCCAAAGCUGAUUGAGAAUUUGGCUGAAGGUGACUACCGAAAGGUUUGUGCAUAUCGAAAAAGAUGGAGUUUUUGAGUAUACAUUGUUUAUAGUUCGAAUAAGUUUCUCACUCAUCUAUUUUUACCACAUUCAGUGGCAAUCAUGCUUGAUAUCAAAAGAGGAAGAAACUAUGUCACUUUUUAAGUAAAAGUCUCUUUACGGUUUUGAAGGGAAAAGGACCUUAGACUUCAAUUUCAUCAUUUAAUCUCAGGCACAGAACUUAUGCUGUCCUGUGAAACUAUCAUUUUUCCUUUACCAUUAAUCCUAAAACUGAGUUUCAUUGGUCAGAAAUAUACUUCAUAGUAGUACCUCCUCUAGCGUUCAUCGUAGUACCUCCAUCGUUCAAACAAACAAAAAUUAGUUGAUUUGUAUUUUAAGUUUCCUCUUUGAUGGGAAAUGUAUCUCAGAACUUAACUCCAACGGUUGAUGCUUCCUCCGUGGAGUAUUCAGUCGAACUUGAUGCAUUGUUCUUUCCCCUGAACUUGUGCCCUUCAAACAGUAUUUCUGAUCAUCUUGAAGUAAUUAGUACCGUCUGUUCAUUACUCCCUCCCGAUUUCUUGCAUUAUAGCUUCCUCUUUAAUGGGAAAUGUAUCUCAGGAUCUACAUUCUACAAUUGAGGUUUCUUAGAGUACUCAGUCCACCUUACUGGAUUGUUCCUUCCCCUGAACUUUGUACACCUUAAACAAUACUAUCGAUCAUUUUGAAGUUAUUCAUAUUGUCUUCAUUUGUAGAUGACACAUGCUUUGCUCCCUUUUGAAUUUCUGGCAUUACAGUUGCUUAAAUUUUGAAAUUCAUACAAUGUAGGAUAUGCCAAGGUUUCAAGCAGAGAAUUUGGAGCAGAACAAGAACUUGUAUGAGCGGGUCAAUGCCAUUGCUUCAAGGAAGGGUUGUACUCCAUCACAGCUAGCAUUGGCCUGGGUCCAUCACCAAGGCAAUGAUGUUUGCCCCAUACCUGGCACUACCAAGAUUGAGAACCUCAAUCAGAAUAUAGGAGCUUUGUCUGUAAAACUGUCAGCAGAGGAAAUGGCGGAACUUGAAUCUUUUGCUUCUGCGGGAGUCAAGGGUGAUAGGUAUGGGCCUGGCCUUGGUACUUGGCAAACUUCUGAAACUCCACCUUUGUCAACCUGGAAGAGAACAUGAAGACAUACUUUGUUAUUGCAAUAAUUCCUUCUAGCUAUGUGCCUGAUGGUGGAUUCCACUAUAUUAAGAGUUGAGUGAUAUGUAUUUGUUCCAAUAAAGUUUGACAUACUAUUGUCUCUAGGGUUAAGGCAAGUAAAGUUAUAAGAAGAAUGGAGUUUCUUCAGAGGUUGUAAUGAAUAAAUAUCUGGUCAUGUAAAAGCAGAAUAUAAUUUUCCUUGCAGUUGAAUGCAUUAAAGGUUAUAUAUUGUACUUUUGAAUGCUAUAGUGGUCCAUUUUUUAUGUGCUACUGCUACGAGAGUUAUAGAUUGUCGAACAGCAUUCAAUUCAGGACUUAUUAAACAUAAGCAUAUAAACAUUUUAUGCUCGGAAUAUUUACAUCAAAAGAAACUCCAAGGUCACAUCAUUGUAAAGUGUAAACUACAUCAUAUUAAUAAAAAGCAAAAAAAAAGGUCUAAAUGAGGAAAAAAAUGUACUAUAGAAGAAGUCAACAAUGUCAUGUAAUCAUUUUAUCCUAAAAUUGAGAUUCAAAUUUAGUUGAUUUGUAUUUUGAGUUUCCUCUUUGAUGGGAAAUGUAUCUCAGAACUUUAACUCCAACAGUUGAUGUUUCCUACUUGGAGUACUCAGUCCACCUUGAUGCAUUGAUCUUUCCCCUGAACUUGUGCCCGUCAAACAAUAUUUCUGAUCAUCUUGAAGUAAUUAGUACCAUCUGUUCAUUACUCCCUUUUGAUUUCUUGCAUUAUAGUUUCCUCUUUAAUGGGAAAUGUAUGUCAAGAUCUACCUUCUACAAUUGAGAUUUCUUAGAGUACUCAGUCCACCUUACUAGAUUGUUCUUUUCCGUGAACUUUGUUCACUUCAAACAUUACUAUGAUCAUCUUGAAGUUAUUCGUAUUGUUGUCUUUUGUAGACGACACAUGCUUUACUAAUUACUGCACUUUGAAUUUCUGCAUUGCAGUUGCUUAAAUUUUGAAAUUCAUACAAUUUAGAAUAUGCCAAGGUUUCAAGUAGAGAAUUUGGAGCACAACAAGAAGUUGUAUGAGCGGGGUCAAUGCCAUUGCUUCAAGGAAGAGUUGUACUCCAUCACAGCAAGCGUUGGCCUGGGUCCAUACCAAGGCAAUGAUGUUUGUCCCAUAACUAGCACUACCAAGAUUGGAAACCUCAAUCAGAAUAUAGGAGCUUUGUCUGUAAAACUGUCAGCAGAAGAUAUGGCUGAACUUGAAUCUAUUGCAUCAGCUAGAGUCAAGGGUGAUAGAUAUGAUCCUGGCCGUAUCAAGGGCAGAGGUUAUGGGAUCUGAUUAUGGGCAACUGAUUAUGGAAUCUAUUCUAUCAUAAUUGCAAAGAUUAUGACUGAAAUUAUGGGAUCUGCUCUAUCAUGUAUAUUAGCUGUAUAUUAGCAUAUGUGUCAUUAAUAUAUCAGAUAGGUAGAUAUAUUCUUACAUAGAAUAGAAUGUACAGAGUUUCUAUUUAAUGGAAAAGAUGCACAAAAGACAGCAUUCAGUCUUUGAUCUAGAAAAUUGUCAUGGUAUCAGAGCUGGUUAUUUGAAUUUCUGUGUCUUUCAAAAUUUGCUGAGUUGUUAUUCUUCUUGGGUUGAUUAUUUUGAUCAAUCAUUUGGUUUCAAGAUAUCAUUUUGGGUCAAUCAUAUUGUGGUUGGCAGCCUUUCUUGUAAUUCAGAUCUUUGUUUUUUUGAAAGUAUGUCUGUGGCAAACUCUUUGGGAAAAACACAUACGGAAUCUUUGUCUAUCAAGUUCAUUGGGAAAAAUUAUGCAGCAUGGGAUUUAGAAUGUUUCUAAAGGCAAAGAGCUUUGGAGUCAUAUUGAUGGGUCUUCUACAGAACCUAGAGAUGGAAAAGAAUUUAGUCAAUGGGAGGCAAAGGAUGCUAGAAUUAUUUCUUGGAUUCUAGCAUCUAUUGAAGCUCAUAUGGUGAAUAAUUUACACUCCUUUAAUACAGCAAAGGAGAUGUAGGAUCAUUUGAAGCGUGUAUAUCAUCAAGAUAAUACAGCAAGAAGAUUUCAACUUGAAUUGGAAAUUAGUAACUACGGCCAAGAUAACCUCUCUAUUAAGCAGUAUUAUUCUGGAUUUUUUAAUUUAUGGAGCGAAUACUCUGGUAUAAUCUAUUCUAAGGUACCAAGCGAAGCCUUAGCUGGUAUUCAAGCAGUUCAUGAAGUUAGUAAGCGUGACCAGUUUCUAAUGAAACUAAAGCUUGAAUUUGAAGCGGUCAGAGCUGGAUUGUUAAAUAGAAAUCCAAUUCCUUCUUUAGAUGUAUGUCUUGGUGACUUGUUGCAAGAAGAACUGAGAAUGGCUACACAAACUAUCAUAGGUGCAUCGAAGGAGAUAUCCGAAGUUGUCAAUAUUGCCUAUGCUGCUCAAGGGAGGAAUCGCGAAAAGGGACAAGUACAGUGCUUAAAAGCAGUCUGUUUGCCAGACACAUGGUGAGCCACAUUUAAAAAUUGGUUUCUAUCAUAAAGCCUAUCAUGUCCGGACAGAAGAUGGACUGUUUUUUAAAUUUUUUAUGAAAGCAAGUGAAAAGUGUUGCAACUCAGGACUUGGAUGGUAAUUCUAAAAUUUAUUAGUGCACCUACCUUUUAACUUUUGGUGUGCUUUUAAGGUAUCAAAUGGGGGAAAAAAAACCAACACCAUAUAACUUCAAAUGCAAGAUGGUACGAAAUUUGUAUCCAUUGACAUGUAAAAAGUGCACCGUUCAUCACAAAGAUAUUUAUCCUAAUAUUAGAUUCAUUUUUUCAAAAAUUCAACUUUGCAUGCAAACAUGUAAUCAAUAUGCAUAAAUAGAUAGCAUUAGAUGAAUUUAAACAAGUAGCCUUCAAAUUUAAAAAUAUUUGAUUUCAUAAAGGUGCAUUCGCAAUUUAGAAAAAGGACUUUUCAAAUGGCAAAUCUAGAGAGCAAUAAAUACUCCUACUUUAUUUUGAUUUCAAAUCUUAUUUUGACUUGUCAAAAAAGUGAAACACGAAACCAAUAAUGGGUCAGAUACAAGGCUAAUUACUCAGAAUAUCGAUGUAAAAAAUAUUGGACAUAUAUGAUUUUGACAAUGGGCAUGUAUAAAACUAUUGCUGUAAGGUUGUGUCAGCCCGGCAGCAAAAGAGGGUUUUUUUUUAAAGCCUGCCAUUGCCACCGAGCUGACACGGCUCGGCAGCAAUAGUUUAAUUUUUUUUAAACGCUGCCGGGCCUUGUCAGCCAGAUAGAACAAAAAAAAAAAAUUUUUUUUUAAACACAGCCCGGCAGCGGGCAACAUUUGCAAAAAACUUUAAAAAGCUGGCUGCCGGGCUACGACAGUUCAAAAGAUUUUGCUAUCCGCCUACAACACCAGGUGAUAAAGAUAAGGGCAAAGGCGUACCGGGCAUUGAUAUGAUCAUUUCCGGUGCAUGUUUUAAAAUUUCAAAUAUUUGAAUAUGGGGAUUUAGCGUUAUUUUAAUCUUUUAUUAUUAUAAUGCUUGUCGUUAUUUUUAAAUUUCACAAUUUCAGCAUGUCAUGUUGUGCAUUUUUCCUUCUUUUUUUUUUUGCCUAUUUUGUUUUUAUAUUGCACAAUAACUUUAUAUUUAUAAAAUUAUAUUGUACAUUAAAAAUUACAUAAUAAUUUUAACAAACAAUUUUCCGGUACAAUUUGAAAACUGCAUCUUAUUGUAAAAUGAAAGAGAUUUUUUGUUUAAAAAACCUUUUUUUAGUUUUUUUACCUAUCGGAGUAAUUAUUAAUUUUACAAAUCUGUUUUCAUCUUUUUCUUACGUUCCAACUUUGAAACGUAAUUUAAUUAACUUAAAAGACUGUCGGGUUUAGUAUGUCAGGUAUCACACUUGUUGUAAUUAAAAAAAAAUUUUCUUCUUAUUUUUCAUUUUUUGUUUUUAUAUUGCAAAAUAAAUUUAUACAUUUUUUCGAUUUUUCUAUACAAUUUAUAACAAAAAAAAUAAUAUCAAAUAUUAUACAUUGUAAUUUUAACAAUUAUUUUGCAACGGUUUAAAAAACCUUUUUUUAGUUUAACAUCCUAUAUAUUUUACGAAAAUGAUUUGAAUAUUUUUUAAUCAUUUAAAGAAAAGAUAGAUUUCUACAAUUACUAUUUUUUAAAUUUUAAUCCUUAAGAUAAAGAUUUUUGCGGGAAAGAUGAAGAUUUAAAGAAACAAUAAAGAGGCAAAGAAAAUAAAAGAGAAAAAUAGGAGAGGUAAUUUUGUCCAAUGGAGGAUAUAAUGAGACAGAAAAAUUCCGAUGAGGGAUAAAGUAAAAAAAGAGAUAUAUUUUAAGGACAUUAAUUGUGAUUAACCCUAUUUCUUAUGCUCAAUUUGUAACUGGUCCAAAGCAUCAAAAGUAGCGUCCGCCUCCCAGGUGAUGAAUUCAUGGUCUUGAAUGUCCAAUAACCUAAGAAGAGUAAAAAGAUCACUUUAAAGUUGCUCCACACCCUACAAAUGCUUCUGAUACUAACUUUCUCGUCAUAUUAACAAAUGCUCCGCACCUUAAUGCUUCAGCACCCGUAAAAAACGUGUUUUUGCAACUGGUCCAAGAGUUGAACCCUUCGCUCAGAGUUACUUCUGGAUGUUGAAAAAAACAUUUCGAUCACUUGAAUCUAACCUCCCGCGUCUAAUCAAGCCAGAAGGCCAGCUUUUUUUUCACUGACCCUUCAACGUGAACCUUCUGAGAACUUAUCUCAAGGGAAACUUUUAGUGGUUCAGUAGAAUUUUUUUUAAUCCUCUUACAUGUUUCAUUCGUAUCUCCUACUUCAUGUCCGUGCAUUGUUGAAUUCUGAAGUGCAGGUCUUCUUUCGCCCGUAUUGUUAACCUUCUUUUUCAUGUUCAUUGAAGCACAGCAUUCUUUUUUCAGGUUUGAAAUUUUUUUUUUAAAUUGGACUAGCUGCUGGACUGAGCUUUUUAAAGUUUUUUGCAGAUGUGCGUCAGCCCGGCAGCCAGCGAAUUAAGAAAAAAAAAAAUUUUUUUGAGGCCCGGCAGCGUUUAAAAAAAAAAAACUAUUGCUACCGGGCAAGCUUUAAAAAAAAAAAAAAAAAAACCCUAACAGCAAUAUUUUUAUACAUGCCCAUUGUCAGAACCAUAUAUGUCCAAUUUUUUUUUCAUCGAUAUUCUGAGUAAUUAGCUGAGAUAGAGAGGAGUAUUAGAAAUUUGUUUUCUAGAUUCUUUGGUCUCCCAAUUUUUUCAACGGGUCAACUCCGAUCAUUAUUAUCACAGUCAUGUGAUUGUAGGUCUACCACGCUUCAUAGUCCACAACGUGGAUUGGCACCACAAAGGAUGGUUUCAAAACACCAUUUUAGUCUAGUAAGGAUUGUGUAUAUAACACAAGUCUUUUUAGGUUUUCCCUCCCCUGUAAUCUAAAAUAAAAUAAAAUAGGUUAUACAAUUGUUAUAGUCUUCAGAAAAAAAGGAUAGGUCCCACCCUAUUAUUAUUAUUUUUCUUUUAUAAAUCAACAACGCCUAUUCUACACCUAUUUCAACUUCUAUUCUAGGGGAACGGGAGGUUCAACUGAAAAAUUAAUGGUGAUUGAACCACGAACGGACCAAAAACUUUCAAGAUAAAAUUUGAUCUAAAAAAUAAAUAAUAAUAUAUUAACUUAUUAUUUAAUGCGAUACAUAUUCAAAUAUAUUAAAUUUAAUAAUUUAAUAAAUUUUAAAUUUUACAUUUUAAAUUUUAAUUUUCAACCUUCAAUGUUGCCGUACUUACAACAACAACUUCUAGAUGGUCAACACUUAGAGUCGUAGCCCUUGCUUUUGGCAUACCCUAGUCCCUAUUUCUGUUGUUAUCAAUGAGGAAGCAAAUGUCUGCUAUUAAUUACACGAGACAUCAGUAGGUUUGUUUGGAUUGGAGGUUAUUUGAAAUAUUUUUUUGAGAUAAUUAAUGUAGUACUUUUUGUGAUGUAAUGUAUAUAAGAUAAAAUUGUGAUUGGAAAUUGUGUGGAUGCAAAACAAAAUUUUGAAAUUUUUUUUUGAAAACCUUAAUAUUAUUGGCUGCACUACAAAUCAGUCAAAACUCAAGAGAUGAUAUUAAUUGAAACAAGUGGGCAAAUUGAACGAGGAUGCGUAAUUGACAUGGAAGUCUUGGUAGACUUGGAGGUAGGCUUGUCAACGGAUUGGGUCUGGGUCGGAAUUCAUUAUUCUGGACCCGGAUCCGACAUACUAUAUUGGACUCGGAUUCGACCCAUUUAUUCGACGGGCCUUCUACUCUAUAUUCUGAAUCCGGAUCCGACGGGUCUCGGAUUCGGGUCGAGUCUACCCGAAAAAAUCUAUCAAAACUUACAAAUUCUAAUAAAAAUGAGAAAAAAAUAUAUUUGUAAACCAAUUUUUAACUAAUAAAAAAAAUCAAAUAAGAAAAAAAAUCAAAUUGACUUUACUCAAAUACAUCACCCUAAUCAAAUUAUAUUGAUAAAUAUAUAUAUAUUUAAAUUGUUAAUCCAUUUAUAUCCGAAUCCGGGUCUAAUACGGGUCGAAAUAUUAUAUUCCGUAUUCGACCCGUUUUUUGUUUGAUAAAACGGAUCCGGAUCCGGGGUCCGAGUAAUGGAAUUAAAUCCCUACUCGUACCCACAAUAAUUUGACGGAUUCGAUCCGGAUCCGGAUCUAGACUCGAACUGUUGACAGGCCUACUUGGAGGGAUCAACAUUUGAAUCUGACUUGGAUGAGGUAAGCACAAAGGUAAGCAUUUUCCAUUUUUAUUUUGGUUUUCAUUUCUUGUAUACUUUAAAACGUUUUUCAUUCUACCUCACUCACAUAUAAUAUAUAAUGAAAUGUAAAUUUUUUAUGAAAACAUAUAAAAUAUAUAAAAUGAAAAAUAAAUUUUUUAUAAAAACAUAUGUUUAUAUUUUUCUUUGUAUAAUGAAAAUUUAUAAUUCAUUCUACCAAUAUAUACGCAUAUAUAUAUAUAUAUAUAUAUGUAUAAUGAAAAAUAAAUUUCUUCUUCAUCUUUAGGGCUGCACCUACAAACAACAAAACUCAGCUCCACUCAACUCUUUCCUUCAUGUUUUUUUAUAAAAAACAUAUAUAUAUAUAUAUAUAUAUAUAUAUAUAUAUAUAUAUAUAUUAAGUUACACUAAUUGUUUUAUCUCUUAAUAAUUUUUAUUUUUUUUACUAAUAUUACCUCAUGAGAGGCAAAAAGGGUAUAAAUGGAACAAAAUUAUUAUCUCAUUUUCCAAAAGAAUUUUUUAAUGGUACUUUUUCUAACAUGGGUUGAAGCUACUAUCAAAAUCUAGUUUAGGGAAAGUUAGUGCUAUUUUUUAAAUUUUAGGGUAGAUGAGUACAACUGUUAGAAACCUCAAAAAGGGAUGGUUUCUGCAAUUAUCCCUAAAAGCAUAGACCAAGACUACACUAAACACUAAAAAUUUGACACCUAUUUCUUAUAACUAUACUAGAUAAUCUCAUAAUUAUAUAGAAAAAUAAAUCAAAAUUCAUUACACAAAAGCAUUUUUGGAUAUUUAUUUAAGAAUUUGAUCAAAUUAAUAUUAUUUUAAAGUUUUAUUACAAAAACUAUCAAAUUAAAGGAGGUAGGGGUAAUGUUUCAAACCUCACAGUGAAAUUGUUAGAAACCUCAAAGAGGUUCUUGAUAUUAUCCCUAAUUUUUUUGGGUACAAAAACCUCCAAAAAAGUGGCAGUUCAAACGGGGCCAACAUUCUCCUAUCAUCACAAGUCCUCCCGCUGACCCACUAGCCGCCGGCGGCCCUGGGUCAUCUAUUAAAGGCUUAAAGCAUAGACCAAGACUGCAGUAAUCCCUCAUAUACACAUGUUAACUAGAGGGGUCAAUCACAACCCAAUUAUAUUGAUCUGUUCAAACCCGUUCACUAAUAAUCCUUUCAAAUUCGCCCAUUAAAAUUUAAAUGGGUCUAAGUGAGUACCUAAUUAAACCCAUUUAAUUGAUGGAUAGUUGAUUGAUUCAACUCACCCAUUUAUACCCAUUUAAAAAUAAAUAUAUGACAGGGUGUCGAGCCUGUGCAAUAAUAAUUAUCUACUCAAGAAAAACACAAAUUCUGUAUAUAGCAGUGAGUAGAGUCGAAUCCACACGGACUGUAGAUAAUUCGUUUCUUUUAGAGUCCAAAGUAUGGGGGGUUUUGGAGAAUAUAAAAUAACUAAUUAACUAACUAAUAAAACAACUAAUAGAAAUAAAUAGAAAUUAAUCAAUAACCAAUAUGACUCUAGCCAAAGGUGCAACUUUUCAGACACGGUCCAUUCAACUGAUCAUCGAUGCAAAGAUAAUUCAAUUACUCAUUACUAGAUUGGUUAUAAUUGUCAUACACGCGAUGAACAACCAGCCUUUUCUUAAUUUCUCGAUAGUUAAAGUACGACCGUUAACUAUUUCUCUAACCAAGUAAUAACCCUAGGUACGACCAUAGGAUUUAAUUACUCGAUUACAUUAAUAAUUAGAAAAACCCAACCCUAACCAACAAACACGCUACGAGGGUUUGUUUAAAUUAGAUCAUACGUUUCCCUAACAUGAAACCAAUCACGCUAGUCGCCACUGGUAUUAAUCAAUUGAACAAUUACGGAUUCAAUCAAUUAAUUUAGCAUUAGAUCAUUAAGUUAAUUUGAAUAUCGGGCCCUUGACAUUCAAAUAACAUAACAAACAUAAGCAAUUAAAUCAGGAAACGUAAAAAUACCAAUGAAUAAAAGAAAUAAAUAAAAUUAAUUCGAUCUCACAGAUAUUUGGAACCGCGCCUUCAAAUUGGCCUUCGACUAGAUGAAAGGUUUAGUUCAUCUACAUGGAGGAAACCCCAUGUGAAAUUGCAGAAGUAAUUAUUCUAAAACAAAGCUAUGUUUUCGUCCUCCAUUGAAGAAAACGGCAAAGCUAUAUAUAAAGUAAUGAAUACGAAGGAACUACCUAGAAGCAAAAACAAAACGAAGCUCUCCUAUUCUAAAACAAAAACUACUUGUCUAGUGGUCCCCGCCGAAUUUAGAUAAAAGGGUGCAAUCCGUCAGAUCAAGCUUUGCCGACUUUUUCUCCUCUUUGUUGCCUAUUGCUAGGCAAAGACUUCAGUGCCCAGACCAUUCCUAAUCAGUGAAAAGAAAAUGCACUCCCUCUGCCGCACUCUGUGGGCCAGGUUGUUGAAGCUCUUUGGAGUCUCCUAUGUGUGGAGCUGUUUUAUCCUUCAGAUGGUCUCGCUCUUUUUUUUCUUUUUAUUUUCUUUUGUGUACUUUUCUGCUCCAUUCCUGAAAUGAGAUCCAAAUACCAAAUAUAAAUAUAUAUUAACAAUUAAACAAUAUUUAGUAAGGACAGAGGGGAAAUUAAUAAUAAAAUAAUCAAUAAUUAACACCCUAUCAAUUCCCCCCACACCUAAAUCAUACUUGCCCUCAAGCAUGGGGACGACAAAUAACACCAAAAUUUGAAAAUGGGUAUUGCCCCAUCUACCCUAUUGUCAAGAUACCAAGGAAAACAUCUAUCAAGCAUCAGUGAUCAGGGUUCAAGAAACAUCACCCCAAUUAGCUUCUAAACCACAAACUCCUCCAAUUUAAGACAAACUAAUCUAAGAAAAAGGAAUGGUUGCUCACAUUUAUCAACAAAUGGUCCAACUAUUAACUAAAAUCUCGAUAUUAAGAUCACAAACCGGCAAGCUGACUUAUUCACAUACUAACACAAUCUUUACUUUACUUCUUUUUUUUUUUUUUUUGAAUAACAAAAGACUUAGUCUAUAGCCCUUAGAGCCUUUUGACGCGAACUCCAACAUUUGCCAGAUGGAGAAGCCCGGUUUCUCAGCUCCAAUCGCUACGGGACCACGCACUCAUAGUAACUACUACCUUUUGAGGCGAAAAUCGACACUUUAGGUCAAGAUCCCCGAUCACUCAGUAGUAACCACUAGCGGAGUACAGUCAACUCUUAUUUACAACCAUAUAGCACGAUAACUAAAAAUAACAGCAGGCAGCCUCAAAUUUCCAAACAUGGAGAACUAAAAUUAAUAACUGGACCAAUUCACAUGAAAAAUGCCAACAAUCAUUCCCUAUGCCUAGAAAAGUUAACCAAAAAUUAGAAAAGUCAAGCAAUUACUGAUAUUCACAUGAAAAGUCAAGCAGAAGUAAGCAAAAGAGCAACUGUACUUCCCUGAAAUCACGGGGGGCAUGGCGGGGCCACAGCAGUGGGUGAGGCCGGAAAUGGUUGAUUUGGGUUGGGGUAGGCUAAGGUCGAGAGGUUCCGGACCUAGAAGAGGACUUUGAUCUCACCAUCGUCGCUAACAGGUAACCCAAUCAACAGAAACAAAAUUGCCAACAGAUAGAGGAACAAGUAAAUCUAGAUCAAUAGAAAUCAAUAUCCUCAAGUGAAGUCAACAAUCAACCCAAUAAGCACAGGUAUCUUCCAAUUUAAAAGGGUAGUGCACAAUAAAUGGCCCACCAAAUUUGCAAUGUAAAGCCCUGAGCAAUUCAAUCAAUACCAGAAAAUCGCCCCAAACAAUGUAACAGUUAAACUCCAUGGGCCAUGGACGUCCAACCAAUUUCACUCGAACAAACUAUGAGCAGUGCGAGUGACGAAACAAAGCAACAAAUUUCAGCAAUUAGACACAAUUCCACUCAAAAUCUCAACAAAUAUCUCCAAUGGACAGUCUUACACAACUUAACCAACUGGAAUUAGCAAAUAUCCCCAAGAAACUGACAAAACAAGCAAUAGUAGUUCAAAAUUUGGACUACAACUAAAUCAAAAUGUUGUUUCAGUUUUCAAUCAGGUAGCCAACCAAGUAGAAUCAAUAAAUGUAGACAAAAUACCCCAACCAGUACCACUGGUGUAUUCCACAGAAAAGAAUUAAUUCAAAUGCCAAUCCAAACGACUGAGAAACCCUAACCAAGACCAAACCGUACCAGAAAUUAGAAGAAAUGAAAAUGGGAAUCAAUUGGCAAGCAACUCCCAAAUCAACCCCAAAGAACUCCCAAAUAAAUGAAUUAUCAGAGGUGCCUUCAAAAACCAAAUACCAAAAAUGCAUAAAAACUCCCAACCAAUUCAACGGGAAAAACAAAAUUAAGCAAAUCACCUCCUGUGUUUAUCCAUCAAGGAACCCAAAAGCACAAAUUCCAGUAACUGAGGAUUCAGGAAAAAUGCCAAAACAAGGGUAGAAAGUUAAUACCUCCACCUGUCAAUUUUGACAGGUAGUGAUGCGCGGCAAGGAGGUGGCGCACGAGGUGGUGGCCGCGAGCUUUGGAAGAUGAGUUGGCGAUAGAGGCUGUCAGCUACGCGUGCGACUGUGCGCACAAUGGGAGGAGAGAGGCGCGGCGAGCUGGUGGACAGCAGCAGCGGCACGGGCUGGUGGCAGUGGCUGUGGAGCGUGGGCAGGCGGCGGUGCGCAGCUGGUCAACGAAGGAGGAGAUGGGCGGCGCUCGGGCUAAGGAGAGAGUGAUUUGGGGGCUGUGGCGGCGUGGGGUGGAGUUGCGGCGGCGGUCAAAGGCACUGGUGAGUGGAGGUGGCGGGGAUGGAGCUUGGAACGGAGGAGCUCAGCGAGCUGUGGGUGGACGGCCGUGGGCAGGGGAGCAGCGGCGGCCUUUGGAGCUGCUGAAGGUGGUCCGUGAGGUGGAGCUUGGAGCUCGGAGGCGGCGGCGAUGGAAGCUAGUCAGCGGCGUGCGGCAAUGGAUGAGAAAGGGAGACUGGUGGCGUCGGGCUAAGGAGAGAGUAAGGGAGAUGAUGGCGGAUGAGCGAAAGAAAAGAAGGAAAGGGAUACAGGGCAGCGAGGAAGAAGAGGAAGAAAAGGGAAAGAAAGGAAAGAAAAAAGAGAAGAAAAAGGAAAAAGAAAAGAGAGAAAGAAAAAAAGAAAAUAAAAUGGUUUUGGGGUUUUUUUUUCAAUAUUUUUUUUUCAAUUUUUUCCCUAAUUUAAAUUUUCAAAAUUUGAAUUUUUGAAGAAAAAGAAAGAAAGAAAAAUGCUCUUUGAAUUUUUGAAUUUUCUCAAUGUGAAAUUUUAAAUUUUUUUUUGGUUUUGGAUCGUCAAACACCGCGUGAGCACGCCAAGAUUACACUUCCUGGUCACAGUAGAGGAAAAUAUUAAGACCGACUACCACCCAAAUGAGAAAUGACAAAAUGAAAGUAAUGAACAAUGAAAAACGAUAAAACUAAUAUUUGGGUUGCCUCCCAAAAAGCGCCUUUCUUUUAUGUCUUUGGCCAGACAUUGCCAUAUUUGUUUAGGGAGGAUAAAAUCUUGUACCUCGGUUUAAUGUUUCAUCCUCUAUAUAGUCCUGAUAACCCUCGUAAAUAGAGUAAUUCUUGAACACAUGAGCUACGGUCUUCCCUGGACUAGUAAAUGGUGCCAAACAAGUCAACAAUAAGUUGAAUUUUCCAUUCACUCCUCCAUCACUUGCAUUUAUUGGUUUAAGAUAUCUUGCCAUCGCCACUCUUAAUUUAUUUCUGUCAUGAAAUUCGAAAUUUUCUGAUAUAAUAAAAUCAAUUUCAUUAACAGGAAUUGAAGAAUAAGAGUUAGAAGAAUAUUGAUGAAGGAAUGGAUGCGAUGUCACCGCAUUUGAAGAUUGUUCACUGGUUUCAUUCACUUGAACGAGUUGAUACUGGGGCAUUAUUUCUUGCACUUCACCUUUUUUUUCAACUGCAUCUUUAGAUCCGUUUUCUUGAAACUCUUGCAGUUCCAUGUCAUUUGACGGGAUAACUGCACUCUCAUCCUCUUCAAGGUUGAUAUUGGUUUGUGAGGGCAAUUCUUCAAGGUGAGAAGCUAAUCGCUCUAUCCUGGAUGUCAAUUGAUUCAUUUGAUCCGCCGGAUCCCUAAUGCUCGCUUGUGUCUCCUGAUGAAAUCGAUAUGUAUUAGUAGCAAAUAAUUCAAUCAAUUCCUGAAGAGACAUACCUGACAUGGAUGAUGGCUGUUGAGAUUCUUGCUGUUGAAAAUCCAUUGGCCCGGUCGCAUAAUUAAAAUUGGAAUCAUCCCACCAUCCUUGAUCAUACCCGUUUGAAUAAGGAUCGUACCACGUUUGAAAUCGAGGUGAAAAAUCUCCAAAAGUAUCAAUUGGAGCACUUAGAUUAUCUUGAAAUGCGGGGCAUGUGUCGGUUGAGUAACCUGAGUCAAAAUAAGUUCCACAAUUUGCAACAGUCCAUUGACCAUUAGGAAAAACUCGAGUCUCAUAACCUCAUUCGGGAAUAAAGUCCAGUCUAUCAUCAAAAUAUGGAAUGUUAGCUACCAUAAACUAUAUAUAACAAAAAAGAGAAAAAAAAAAAACAAGAUGAACUAAAAAAAAACAAAUUAAUUAGGCACCAGUCCCCGGCAAUGGCGCCAAAAAUUGACAGGGUGUCGAGCCUGUGCAAUAAUAAUUACCUACUCAAGAAAAACAUAAAUUCUGUAUAUAGCGGUGAGCAGGGUCGAAUCCACAGGGAUUGGAGAUAAUUCGUUUCUUUUAGAGUCCAAAGUAUGGGGGGGGAGUUUUUUGGAGAAUAUAAAAUAACUAAUUAACUAACUAAUAAAACAACUAAUAGAAAUAAAUAGAAAUUAAUCAAUUACCAAUAUGACUCUAGUCAAAAGUGCAACUUUUCAGAUACGGUCCAUUCAACUGAUCAUCGAUGCAAAGAUAAUUCAAUUACUCAUUACUAGAUUGGUUAUAGUUGUCAUACACGUGAUGAACAACCAGCCUUUUCUUAAUUUCUCGAUAGUUAAGGUACGACCGUUAACUAUUUUUCUAACCAAGUAAUAACCCUAGGUACGACCAUAGGAUUUAAUUACUCGAUUGCGUUAAUAAUUAGAAAAGCCCAACUCUAACCAACAAACACGCUACGAGGGUUUGUUUAAGUUAGAUCAUACGUUUCCCUAACAUGAAACCAAUCACGCUAGUCGCCACUGGUAUUAAUCAAUUGAACAAUUACGGAUUCAAUCAAUUAAUUUAGAAUUAGAUCAUUAAGUUAAUUCGAAUAUCGGGCCCUUGACAUUCAAAUAACAUAACAAACAUAAGCAAUUAAAUCAGGAAACGUACAAAUACCAAUGAAUAAAAGAAAUAAAUAAAAUUAAUUCGAUCUCACAGAUAUUUGGAACCGCGUCUUCAAAUUGACUUUCGACUAGAUAAAAGGCUUAGUUCAUCUACAUGGAGGAAACUCCAUGCGAAAUUGUAUAAGUAAUUAUUCUAAACAAAGCUAUGUUUUCGUCCUCCAUAGAAGAAAACGGCAAAGCUAUAUAUAAAGUAAUGAAUACGAAGGAACUACCUAGAAGCAAAAACAAAACGAAGCUCUCCUAUUCUAAAACAAAAACUACUUGUCUAGUGGUCCCCGCCGAAUUUAGAUAAAAAGGUGCAAUCUGUCAGAUCAAGCUCUGCCGACUUUUUCUCCUCUUAGUUGCCUAUUGCUAGGCAAAGACUUCAGUGCCCAGACCAUUCCUAAUCAGUGGAAAGAAAAUGCACUCCCUCUGCUGCACUCUGUGGGCUAGGUUGUUGAAGCUCUUUGGAGUCUCCCAUGUGUGGAGCUGUUUUAUCCUUCAGAUGGUCUCCCUCUUUUUUUUCUUUUUAUUUUCUUUUGUAUACUUUUCUGCUCCAUUCCUGAAAUGAGAUUCAAAUACUAAAUAUAAAUAUAUAUUAACAAUUAAACAAUAUUUAGUAAGGAUAGAGAGAAAAUUAAUAAUAAAAUAAUCAAUAAUUAACACCCUAUCAAUAUACAUUUAAGCUCAAUUUUUACUAAGUGUUAAGAUGAUAAAUUUGAAUUUCCUAUGACUCUAAUAACAAUAAAAUAUCAUUUUUCUUGUCAAACAACAUGCAAAAAACAAAAAAAGGUAGAAUUUCAAAUUAAUCAUAAAUGGGUAAUUGAGUAUUCUCAUGUCUAUUUGUUAAAUUGAUAUAAAUGAAUUGAUUCAAUUAUAACUAUUACUCAACUAGAAUCCGCUCAAACCCGUUUAAGUUAAUCAUUUUGACACCCCUAAUGUUAAUAUAUAUUGACAAGUGAAAAGUGCAGCAUUUAUCACGAAGAUAUACUUAUUUAUUUUAAUAUUAAAGUCAUUUUUUCAUUACAAAAAUAUUGAUAAUUUCAUAAUUUCAUGGAAGUAUGUAACCAGUGACAUAACAUAGUCGCCAGUGGCGAAUCUUGUCACGAGCCUUCUUUUCAACGCUUUGAUUAUGGCAUACACCUUUAACAAUAUGCCCCCACGUUGUCUUUCGAUCACUUUUUUUUUUUUUUUUAACCUCACAUUCGUUCGUUAUGUAUGUAUAAUUUCUUUACAAAAAAGUGAAAAACUCCAAAAACGUGGCAGCUCAAACGGGGCCAACAAUCUACUAUGUUCGCCUGUUCUCCCGCCGGACCCACCAGCCGCCGGCGGCCAUGGGUCAUCUAUAAAAGCAUAGAUCAAGACUACACUAAUCCCUCAUCAGUCCAAUCCAUCCAUACUUCUUCUUCAGGCCUCAGCUACUAAACAAUAAACUCUGCUCCACUCAAUUCUUUCCUCUGUUUCUUGUGGUUUUUGUCUGAAAAUGGCGGCAUCAGAAGAAGUGAAAGUGCCAAGAAUCAAGCUGGGGUCGCAAGGUUUUGAAGUUUCAGCUCAAGGGCUGGGCUGCAUGGGCAUGUCAGCCUUCUACGGGCCGCCAAAGCCCGAGCCUGAUAUGAUCAAACUCAUUCACCAUGCUAUUAGCAGAGGCAUCACCCAUCUUGACACCUCCGAUAUGUAUGGACCUCACACCAACGAAAUACUCAUUGGCAAGGUACCGUAUUUGCAAAUUUUCUGCUGUUGUGUGCUAUGCAUAAACUCUUGUACUUCUAAUUUCUAAAAGAGCAUAUUUGUAAGUAUUUUAUUUGGGUAUAUUAUAUUUAACCCCCUGCACUUGAAAUCUUGUCUCCCUUUGUGCCCCCUUAAUUUUGUUUGUCAGCACUUAAACUCCAUCUGUUUAAAUUAUAAGUAUUAUUAGUCAAAUAAGACAAUAAUAUUCUUCAUUUCUUCUUCUUCUUCUUCUUCUUCUUCAUUUUUUCAGAUGUUUGUCCUCAAUUGUAAGAGAAGGUCGUAGGUCUAGCACAUACGUUGAGUAGCUGUAUCCGAUUAGAAGGAUUUAGAUCAUAAUGGAGUUGGUAAAAUAGUACUAUUUUCGUCUUUGAAGUUAAAAUUGUCAUCAAUUUAUGGAAAGUUUACUAUUUCUCUGAUAAGAGAUGGUAAAAUUUACUUUUUACGAGUACUAAAGUUUUAAAGAUUAUGAAAAGAGAAUUGUACGAAUGAAUAUAAGGGAAAAGAAAGGUAAGAACAUAAAUAGAUUGUGUUUGGAUUGAUUUUGGGAGGGGCAAGGAGAGGAAAGGGAAAGAAAAGGAAAUGGAUGGAUUGUGUUUUGCUCAGACAUCAUUUCCAUACAAAAGUAGACGGAAACAGAGGGAAAGAAAAUCUAGUUGAUGAUUUUCUUAUAAAAUGCCUCAAGCACCCAAAUUUUACAUAAACUUGAGUAACCAUGUGUUUCAUAUCUGUAGAACUUGCCAUUUGUGAAACCUGCUUUAGAUAUGAAUUGUGGGAUGCAACAGCAGGCUAGGAAUGUUUGACUAAGCAACUUAUGUAAAUAUUUUAUCGUUAAGUGAAGUUCCUCUUUUGCUGUUUAAAAAAAAAAAAAAAAAAGAGAGAGAAAAACCAUUCCUUUAAUGUCUGUCAUUCUACCAAACAGCAGAUUUAGGAUUUCUUUUUUUCCCAUCCAUAUCUAAUCCAAAUAAGGCAAAUGAGAACUAUUUUCCACUACUCUCCUUUCCUUUCUUUUUCACUAGGAUGUUUUAUUUAUUCUUUCCUUUGAUCCUAAUGGUUCCUAAAAGGGCACUAAUUAUUCUACAUUGAUCGUUCCCCAUAUUUGUAUUAAUGUGCAUGUUCACGAUUCUGUGUACGUUCAUGUUGUGCAUCAAAUCUUGUGAAUGUCAAAGCUAAGAUUGUAAAUUUAAGUUGAAGAAACAUAAAAGAAAAAAGAAAAUGGAUUGGCUCCUUUAAGAGUAUCAGACUUCUAAACCCCAAGGAUUACAUAAUUUUCAUAUCCUUUGCUAUACAAAGAAGUGGCAUAGCCUUAACAAUGAAGUGCUGGAAAAACUCCAGAAGGACUGUGCCAUCCAUGAAAUCACAAUUCCGCUUGCUAUACCAUGCAUUAAUGUGUAUGCCCUUGAUGAUUAAUAUAAUGAAAUCAUGGUUCUAGGCCUUGAAGGAAGGAAUAAGAGCGAAAGUGGAGCUAGCAACAAAAUUUGCAAUCAGUUAUCAGGAUGGGAAAUUUGAUGUACGUGGUGAUCCAGCCUAUGUGAGGGCUUGUUGUGAAGCGAGUUUGAAGCGGCUUGAUGUGGACUGCAUUGAUCUCUAUUAUCAACAUCGCAUUGAUACACGUGUGCCCAUUGAAGUCACGGUUUGCUCGUCUUGCCUUUCUUGUAUUUUAGCUCCACCUCAUUCUUGAUGAAACAAAAGUUUGAUCAACUCCAAAUUUCGAAUAAUUCAGUUUCAUGUGCGUUUCAAUUCUUCAAAAAUUGCACAGAAAAGUUAGUCAACCUUAUGGUCUAGGCUAAUCUGCAGUAUGCUAAAUCUUAUUUAGCACCAGGCACCCUGAAAAGUGAAAACAAUGAAAAUGUCUUAUAUUAGCUUGGCAGUCCUGCUGAGGGAUAUACAGGUGGAUAUCAUGCUAUACAUUGUACAGCUUUCCUUUAGAAGCAAGAGACCUGAGCAUUCUCUUUCAUUUGAGAUAGGCUAUCCAGUUGAGUAAUGAUAUGCUAUUUACUUACCUUGUCAUUCGUUUUCAGUCGGUGCCAAAAGCACUGCAGAUAGAAGUUUUUUAGUCAAUAUCUAAAAAACGUGGUACUCAUUUUGUUCAGAGUAUAGCUUUUUGUCUAAUUGUGAAAGCCAGCUGCGACUACCCCGUUGACCUCUCUAAGCAAUUCAAAGAUUGCAGCUGCUUGCUUACAUUCAGCUUUUAUGAAAACAAUUUCUGUCUUCUUUUUCUAAUAUAGUCAGCAAAGAAUUGUCUUGUUUUUCCUGAGUAUUAGGAAGAAACUUUCUUGCAGUUUAAUCACUCAAAAUACAGGCAAGUAUAAAGGAAAUCAAGGAAAUCGACAACUGAUAAUUGAUAUGUGCAGCCAUUAUUAUAUCUAGACGAAGUCAACAAUGUCGUGUAAUCAUAUUGGAGGAGCAUUAUGUUGGCAUGGUCCAAUAGAGCUAAGUCAUCCGGUGGGCUGUACAUAGAGAAGUAUCACUGGAUGCUUAUUGCCAUUUUUGUCAAUUAUUGAUUUCAGUUUGACGUAUAAUUUGUCCACGACUUCAUUGAACUAGUCCAACUUUUACUUUUUUGCACGUAAUAUUUCGAUUAUCUGCCUAAGUAUUGAAUGUAAUAAAUCAGCUUUGCAUUUUCUUGUCCAUUGAAAUUCUCUAGAUAGGAGAGCUCAAGAAACUGGUUGAAGAGGGUAAAAUAAAGUAUAUAGGUCUGUCUGAGGCCUCAGCUUCAACAAUUCGAAGAGCACAUGCUGUUCAUCCAAUAACAGCGGUACAGUUGGAGUGGUCAUUGUGGGCCAGAGAUGUCGAGGAAGAGAUUAUUCCCACUUGCAGGUAGUGCAUAUAUUCUGCUGCAUUUUCUACGUGGUCUAGAAGAAAUAUGAAGUUCUUAAUUCAGUUUUUGGUAUAAUCUUUCAGAGAGCUUGGAAUAGGGAUUGUUGCAUACAGUCCACUUGGAAGAGGAUUCUUCUCUUCAGGUCCAAAGCUGGUCGAGAAUUUGGCUGAAGGUGACUGCCGAAAGGUUUGUGCAUAUCCAAAACUAUGAAGUUUUUGAGUAUAGAUUGUUUAUAGUUCGAAUAAGUUUCUCACUCAUCUACUUUUACCACUUCAGUGACAAUCUUGCUUGAUAUCCCUAUUCUUGUCUAUCUGUCAUAUGUUGCUGCACUUUUUGAUGUCCAAUAAUUUGAUUAAGCCUUAUAAUAUGAUCACAUUUAAUCAAAUUUCUAUUAAGCAGAGCAAAUCAACAGGCUUUUUUUUUUCCUGUCGAACAAGUCUUGAGGUCUUUAGUUGAUUAAAUGAAUGCAGAUUUUGGUGUCCUCUGUAUUUAGUUCAAAUUAAAAGAUAUAGCGCUAGCUUUGUCAAAUUUUAGAUCUUAUAUUAAUUGAAGGUUGUUAUUGCAUGCUGGAGAUUUAUAUAGUGGACAACAAUCACAAGCAAUCGAUAGUAUCGAAUUUUAAAGUGCAAAGAUGUCGCAAGACAUCAAAACAGGAAGAAACUAUGUCACUUUUUAUGUAAAAGUCUCUUUUCAGUUUUGAGGGGAAAUGGACCUUGGACUUCAAUUUCAUCAUUUAGUCUCAGGCACAGAAUUUCAUCAUUUUGUCCUGUGAAACUAUCAUUUUUCCUUUACCAUUAAUCCUAAAACUGAGUUUCAUUGGUCAGAAGUGUACUUCUUAGUACAAACAUUAGUUGAUAUGCAUUUUAAGGUUCCCCUUUGAUGGGAAAUGUAUCUCAGAACUUAACUCCAACAGUUGAUGUUUCCUACUUGGAUUAUUCAGUCCACCUUGAUGCAUUGUUCUUUGCCCUGAACUUGUGUCCUUCAAACAAUAUUGCUGAUCAUCUUGAAGUAAUGUACCGUUUGUUCAUUUCUCCCUUCUGAUUUCUUGCAUUAUAGUUUCCUCUUUAAUGGGAAAUGUAUCUCAUGAUCUACCUUCUACAAUUAAUGUUUCUUAAGAGUACUCAGUCCACCUUACUGGAUUGUUCCUUCCCCUGAACUUUUUACACCUUAAACAAUACUAUCAAUCAUCUUGAAGUUAUUCAUAUUGUCUUCAUACCUAUCACCCUUUACAGUUGCUUGAAUUUUUGAAAUUCAUACAAUGUAGGAUAUGCCAAGGUUUCAAGCAGAGAAUUUGGAGCACAACAAGAAGUUGUAUGAGCGGGCCAAUGCCAUUGCUUCAAGGAAGGGUUGUACUCCAUCACAGCUAGCAUUGGCCUGGGUCCAUCACCAAGGCAAUGAUGUUUGCCCCAUACCUGGCACUACCAAGAUUGAGAACCUCAAUCAGAAUAUAGGAGCUUUGUCUGUAAAACUGUCAGCCGAGGAAAUGGCGGAACUUGAAUCUAUUGCUUCUGCGGGAGUCAAGGGUGAUAGGUAUGCGCCUGGCCUUGGUACUUGGCAAACUUCUGAAACUCCGCCUUUGUCAACCUGGAAGCGGACAUGAAGACAUAC